AGCCAGGUGUCCUUCCAACAGCCUCUGCAACAAUAUCCAUUAGGCCAGGGCUCCUUCCGGCCAUCUCAGCAAAACCCACAGGACCAGGGCUCUGUCCAGCCUCAACAACUGCCCCAGUUCGAGGAAAUAAGGAACCUAGCGCUACAGAUGCUACCUGCAAUGUGCAAUGUCUACAUCCCUCCAUAUUGCACAAUCGCGCCAUUUGGCAUCUUCGGUACUAACUGAGAAGAAAAUAACUCUAGUACUAGAUAUAUGAAACACCGUUUUCUCAGUCCAUGGUUUGGUCAUUGUAGCGUCGAAAAAAUAAUGUGACAUGCACUAUCAUAUAAGAAUCCGAACUAUACUAGUUCAAACUUGGGAAUAAAAGACAAACACAUGUCUUGUCUACAUAUUUAUGUUGCAUCUAUUUAUAUAUUAAAAGUAAUAUAAGGUGAACCAGGAGCAAGGUAAAUAUGCUAGAAAAUUGCACGUUAAUUAGAAAUUACUUGCCCUCGAUCUGGUAAAUCUUAACAAAUAGAAUUAUCUUGACCGUUAGAUUUAUAUAACAUAUAUAAUGCUCUGGGCCUCCAACGACUGUACGUGACACAUCUGAACGAACAUAUGGUAAAGAAAAUAUAUUUGGUAAAUGGUGGGCCUGUUUAAAAAGAGAACUCACGUACAUGCACCAACUAAGAAAAACACAUACAUGUAAACGGGAAAAGGAUGAGAUUUUCUCACGUACGUGCUCCCUGGCUCCACCCCGUUGAAAAAAUAUACAUCUGGAGGCCACUUUGUUUCCUCAUCAAAAAAACUUACGUUAAAAAGAUUGCAUGCAUCCCAGGGAAAAUAGUCAAGAAGAAGUCGGACUUUUCCUUACAAAAACAAGGAACGUGUUAAGUUGACUUCAAAGAAAAAAGGAACAUGUUAAGUUAAAAAAAAACAAGAAACCUGUUAAGUUAGAAAAAAACAAGGAACGUGUUGUCCAAGGAAAGAUAUGUGUCAAAUCUUACAAAAAAAAAGAAUACACACACGUACGUUCAUGCACUUGGAAAAUAGAAAAAAAGGAACAUCACGUAUGUAUACACUUCGGAAACUCAUUACAUGACCAUGUCUGAUAUACUCCUCUAAUGCUUAAUAUUAGUGCCUAAUAAUUUAUAUUUAAAAUUUAAUUUACUGAUCAAAUAUCCCCACUGUUUAAAUUUUAAUUUGGCACAUUGUUUGGCUAUAGUAUGAACCUGAAUUUCCUCUUAUUAUUAUAUAUCAUGGUAAUAAUCCAAAGGCGACUAAUCUGCACCGGCGCACCGGCGCAAUCAAUUCGGCUGGACACAGCGCGGCCGUUUGAUUAGAUUGCAUUUAACCAUCAGAUCUGGAAUCGUUUUCUUUCCAAUUAAACGGAUUCAACCAAACAGCAGAGGGGAAAACAAAGCAGCGCCGCCGCCAACACUAGCCAUGGACGACCGAUGUAGCAAAACCUUGAAGAACCGCCGCCGGUCGCCACCCUCGCCUCUGGUCGCUGCCCUCGCCGUCGGUCACCGCCGGUCGCCGCCCUCGCCGCCUGCGUUUCUCAUCGGCUUCAUGCAUGCAACAACAUGCACUCGUGGUUGCAGGCUUGCAUCUCCGGCUCCGGGGACAUGGCCGCAUCUCCGGUAGCGCCGGCCGCCGGCCGCAGCACCUGUCGUUGUGGUCGCGCUGUACCUCGCCGUGUGCCCUCCCGAGGCUCUUGCUGGUUCCAACAAAAAACGAUACCUGUUGUAGCAAAAAAGUAUCGCUUCCAGCAAAAAAGCUUACCGCUACAGCCCGCCAUCGUCAUUGUAGCAAAAAUGUUAACCCGAUGUAGCUUCUGUGGUUGCCGACUGCAGCAAAAAAUGACAUGGCUGUAGCAAAACACAAAAGAAAAACACUGGCCGGCCGCUGUGUAUGGUGGUAACAAACCCUAUAGCCGGUGGUAGCGAAAAACUUCAUAGUGUGCUGCAAAAAAAUGUUGUCACCCGUCGUCGAGGUUGCAUCAUCUUCAUGAAUUAUGCCGCAAAAAAACGUUGUCGCCGGUAGUAGCAAAUGAAGCCGCCGGUAGUAGCAAAACAAGACACUGGUUCCAGCCAAAAAAAAAAUCAGCGACAGAACCUUUGGUUGGUUCCAACAAAAAAACUUGUCGGUUGUAACAUCCCUCGCCGCCGGAUGUAGCAUCUCCCGGGGCUGGUUGCAACACUCCAUAAAAAAAGUUGUCUAUGAGCGCAUCCAUGGUGACUGCUGCACCGUCAGCAAUGAGGGGAAGAGGAGGCAAUGAAAAUCAUUCGAGUCAUAGCUCCACAGGACGCGGCUGCAGCAUGGGGAGUCCAAAAAUCUGUCACAAGCAACAUGCGCCGCGCCAUCCUCCUGCGCAGGAGAGAGAAGAAAAAGGAAUAAGAGGAAGAAGAAAGGAAACAGGAGAAAGAAAAAAGAAAGGAUUGGUGGUUGGCUCAGGCAAUUAGUCAAGCGAGGGGCACGCGGGGCCGCAGGACACAGCGCAAUCGAACGAAGCGCGCGCGUCCGGGCGAAGACUCGGCCGGACUGCCGUCUGGAAACGUUUCCCUAAUCCAAAGGCUUUAUCUGAAUGACAAGUCGUCUGGGUUACCGGCUAACUAGAAAAAAGAUAAAUAUGCUAGAGAAUUCCAUAAUAAUUAGAAAUAUCUAGCCUUUAAUUAUGUAAACCAGAAAAUCACAACCGUUGGAUUUACUUUAAAGGUAAAUUUCUAUAAAUUCCCACCAUUGCCAGUAUGUAGAAACAUGUGCUGCUUCAAUUCUCCCAUAAUCACCAAUCAAUCAACAACACAAAACAUACCUCAGUUAAAAAAACUGAACAAAAAAAAGAAAAAAAGAAGAAAGGACAAGAUACACGCAUGUACACGACAGCCUUGGCUUGAAACACAUCAGUAGAUCAAGUGUCCGCCUCCCUUACACGUACGUCCCAUGAGGUUUACUAGCCUACCGCCGCCGCAUCAUGCCAUCCUCUCCUUUCAGCUCCCAUGCUCUCCAGCACCCUCAUUGCGGCGCCACUACUCGCCUAGGGAUAUUGCUGCUCAGACCGUGGAGCUUAACCACAUCAGCAUCAGCACGUAUGGGCCUCAUUAUACUGCAGCACGUAUUGCGCCCCCUUAAGUCCAGGUCUGUUUGCUGGCACAUAUGCUUUGGAAAUAGGCCACUAUGUUUGUACUUCAAAAUUGUUUCUGUAUUCUUGAGUGGUACAUCCUUUUAAGCGCCAGUUUUUUAUGUUAAUUCAUGCUGACAACACUUAACCUAGCCUUUCAUGUUCACGUACUAAAUACAGGAGCAAGUAAAAACAACAGACCACCUAAUUGCUCUGCAUGUACUACAUAGGAAAAUUUGUCAUGUUCUACGAUCGCACCAUCCCACCCUUCUCUCUUGGUAUGGGCGCCAAUUGAGGGAUUGAUAAAACUGAAACGAAGACGUCACAGGGCUGGAAGUACCGCUAGCCUGGUUUGCACUGCAACCUACCCAACGCCAUCAGAAACUAGCAACUGAGUCAGGUGUUGAUCGAUUCUCUCAAAUUGCUCUCAUGUAAGUACUACCCCUUGCAUGUGCGUACAUACCUUUGUUGCAUUCUCAAACAGAUAGAACAUGUUUGAUCGGUGCAUGGCUAUUUUUCAUCACAUGACAUCCAGAUAACAAGCAUGAAAGGACUACAUUGGAGAUCAAAAAAUAUUGGUUCCUGGCUAGAGUACCACUACCUAUGGACUUGUCUCCAUAGAAUUUGUUCCCAAGAUGUUAUUUUAAUUAAUCUCUUUAGCUUUCUUCCAUUGCAAACGGUGAUGUGCAUCAUGGUAUAUACGUGACCAUCUUGCACAUGUAUACACAAGAGGCUCAGAUGGAGGUGCUGGAUUCUGGACGAGGGAAUAUGAAGCAGGAGUGAGCGAAGAGUAAAUAAUGGUGGGAGUACCGAUUGGUGUUAUGAAGAAAAAUGCCAUCCAAAGAUUGAUUAGUGUCAUGGAAGAUUAAUUUCUGAAUGCGAAUAUAUAUGUUACAUUGGUUUGGAUCUUUUUGAGAUAAUUCCACCUAAAUUAGGUUCUUUCUUAUUUCAUAUGUAUACCUUAUUUCAGUAAAAGUUCACAACGAACUUAGUAGGACAAAUAUAAUUUUGUUUGUUCUUUCUGUUGUCCGCCACCAAAGCUCAAUUUGAACUCUCUAGAAAUGGACAAUGAUUUAUGCAUUCUAUAUCUUCUUGAUUGAUUAGCCAUGACAAGGAAAUAAAAGGAUUGACUGAUAUAGCAUAACUUUGGAACGAUUAGAGGUUACUACAAAUAAGAGUAGUGUCUGUUGGAAUUUUGCUAGUAGGCCUUUGGCCCAAAGCCCAACUAAAAUUCUGAAAUUCUCUUGGCUCAUUUAUGCACACAUGUGAGUUGAGUGAGUGAGACUAAAGUUUAGUCCCACCCUGGAAGUUGAGAGAGAGUUGCACCUCUUUAUAAGGUGAGCUCUUCUACCACUUGUAUGAGCAUGAGAAGAGGAGACCUACACGCGCGCUCCUCCUCCACGCUCGCCACGCCUCGUCGCGCCGCGCCGUGCCGCGGGUUGCGGGAUUGAGCCGAGCCGAGGACGUUUUCUAUAUUUUUGCUGCUCGGGAAAAAUUAAUGAGUCAUUAAUUAAUAAUUAAUGGACACAUUAAUUACUGAACCGUUUCCGAUUUUUUUGGAUCGUGACGACUCGGACGUGGGGUUUACUCCCAGGACCUACCCGGCCCGCACUAUAUAGUCAGGAAGACGUCUACCCUAGCCGCCGCCGCUUCGUAUGGUUUCUCACCAUCGUUACAGAUCAUUGCGCCGCCAAGCAAGUUUUCUCCAUCCCUCCUUUCGGCGUGCACCGGGAGAAGGGACAGCAGACCUCCGGAACCCCGCCUCUCGUGAUCCUAUACGGGAGAGGGGCGAUCAGGUUUUUGGGGAGCGCACUCGCAUGACUGCUGGCAGCGACGACUUCGCAAACGACGACUUCUUCCCCGACCUCGGCAACCUCAUCCUCGACGACAUGGGCGACAACGUCAACGCCGGCGGUGCUACACCCACUGCACCGUAUGUUAUUCUCUCCUUCUUGUUCGAGAUCAUGGUAGAAUUCAUGUUUCUAGUAUAUGUGCCCUAGAUGUGAUCUGUUCAUCUACUAUGGUAGUUCGCAUGAUUAGUUUAAUCUCUGUUAUUGCUGUCAUGAUCUAUUUCCUAUUUAUUCGGAUUAAAUCUCGUAGUAAUUUUCUCAUUUUUCCAACAAUCCAAAAACCUGAUUAUAGGAAAUUUACUCCGAGUGGUUUUGCUGCGCAUCUGAAAGCCGCUUGCCUUUAAGGGGGCGCAAUAUAAGAGGUGGCGCACCAGAGCAGUCUACUGGUUUCAGAUCAUGGGCUGCUAUGACGCCACCAAGGGCAAGCCUGAGGGCGAUCUUAAUCCAGCACAGCUGGAAGCUUUCAAGAAGAUCAAUACCCUCUUUAAAGGCACGCUUCUGAGUGUUCUUGAUGACUCCAUUGUAGAUUCGUAUAUGUCGUUUGACAAUGGCAAGAACAUGUGGGCUACGCUCGAGGCCAAGUUUGGUGCCUCGGACGCCGGCAGCGAGUUGUACGUCAUGGAGCAAUUCUAUGACUCCAAGAUGACUGAUGGGCGCCCUGUUGUACAGCAGGCUCAUGAGAUACAGUUGCUCGCAAAAGAACUUGAGUACUUCAAGUGUGUGUUGGCGAACAAAUUUGUUGCCGGAGGCAUCAUUGCCAAGCUUCCACCUUCGUGGAACAAUUUUGCUACUUCCCUGAAACACAAGAGACAGGAGUUUUUCGUUGCGGAUCUCAUUGGUACUCUUGAUGUUGAAGAGAAGGCGAGAGCAAAGGAUACACGUGCUUGAGUUGCUAAGGGAGGUUCUAGUGCCCACAUGGUACAGAAGAAGAACUUCCAGCCCAACAAGUUCAAAAACAACAAGAACAAAACUUAGGGCAAAGGCAAGUUCGAUACAAAGAACAAGCCAUCACAUUCUACCAACUUCAAGAAGAACUCUCAUAAGAAGGGGAAGGGACUUUGCCAUGUCUAUGGUGAUCCUAAUCACUGGGCUCCGAAGUGUCCCAACCGCUUUGAGGAGCGCGAACAUGAGAAGAGCGGCAAGUCUGCUAAUGUUGUCAUCGGUGAUACUGAUAUGAAGGAAUCAGGGUACGGUAUUUUUCCUACCAUCCUUUCAGUAUUCCAAACCCCUGACUGGUUAAUUGACACCGGUGCCAAUGUACAUGUUUGUGCUGAUGCCUCCAUGUUUUCUUCUUACCAGGCCACUGGGACUUCUCCUAUGCUGAUGGGGAACGGGUCACAUGCCAUCGUUCGAGGUGUUGGUACGGUCGAUCUGAAGUUUACUUCGGGGAAGACCGUGCGUCUGAAGAACGUUCAUCAUGUGCCGUCCAUCAAUAAAAAUCUCGUUAGCGGUUCCCGUUUAUGUCGAGAUGGUUUUAAGUUGGUUUUCGAAUCCAAUAAAGUUAUAAUUUCUAAGUAUGGACAAUUUGUUGGAAAAGGCUAUGAGAGCGGAGGCUUGUUUCGCCUGUCUUUGUCAGAUAUUUGCACUAAAGUUAUUAAUAAUGUUUGCCACAACAAUGAGUCUGAUAUUUGGCAUUCACGACUUUGUCACAUUAACUUUGGUUGCAUGACGCGGCUAGCCAAUAUGAAUUUAAUUCCGAAAAUCUCUACUGUCAAAGGAUCUAAGUGCCAAGUAUGUGUGCAAGGUAAGCAACCUCGCAAGUCCCAUAAGACUGCAGAGGCAACAGACUUGGCGCCACUAGAGCUUAUACAUUCUGAUAUUUGUGAGAUGAAUGACGUGUUGACAAAAGGUGGAAAGAGAUACCUCAUGACGUUGAUUGAUGACUCCACUAGAUAUUGUUAUGUGUAUCUUAUGAAAUCAAAAGAUGAGGCUUUGGCUUUCUUCAAAAACUAUAGAGCUGAGGCAGAGAACCAACUUGAUCGAAAAAUUAAACGGCUUAGGUCCGAUCAUGGUGGAGAGUAUUUUUCCAAUGAAUUUGAUCUAUUUUGUGCGGAACAUGGUAUAAUCCAUGAGAGGAUGCCUCCCUACUCACCCCAGUCAGAUGGGGUAGCCGAAAGAAAGAACCAAACUCUAACUGAUAUGGUUAACACCAUGUUAGACACUUCGGGUCUAUCCAAGGAAUGGUGGGGGGAGGCGCUAAUGACUGCGUGUCAUGUCCUAAACCGAGUUCCCACAAAGCAUAAGACCAUGACUCCAUUUGAGGAAUGUUAAAGGAAAAGGUUGAAACUCUCUUACCUACGUACUUGGGGUUGUUUGGCGAAAGUCAAUAUACCAAUUCCCAAGAAGCGCAAGCUUGGACCAAAAAUCGUGGGUUGUGUUCUUCUUGGCUAUGCUUUUCAUAGCAUCGGCUAUAGAUUUUUGAUAAUAAAAUCUGAGGUAUCCGACAUGCAUGUUGGUACGAUUAUGGAGUCGAAUGAUGCAACUUUUUUUGAGGACAUAUUUCCUAUGAAGGAUAUGUCGAGUUCAUCAAAUCAGGAGACACCUACUCCAUCUAGUGAGGAAUUCAUUGUAAUUCCUGAACCCACCAUUGCGAUGGAACACAUUGAGAAUCCUGUUGAGGGUGACAAUGGAACUCUUGUGAGGAGUAAGAGACAUAGGACUACAAAGUCCUUUGGUGAUGAUUUCAUUGUGUACCUCGUGGAUGACACACCCAGGACUAUUUCAGAAGCCUGUGCAUCUCUUGAUGCUGACUACUGGAAGGAAGCUGUACGUAGCGAGAUGGAUUCCAUCUUAGGUAACGGAACCUGGGAGAUCACUGACCGUCCUUAUGGGUGAAAACCUGUAGGAUGUAAGUGGGUGUUCAAGAAGAAGCUUAGACCUGAUGGUACGAUUGAAAUGUACAAGGCACGGCUUGUGGCCAAGGGUUAUACCCUGAAAGAAGGUGUAGACUUCUUUGAUACUUACUCACCCGUGGCUAGACUGACCACAAUUGGGUGCUACUAUCACUUGUUGCCUCACAUGGUCUUCUCGUUCAUCAAAUGGACGUUAAGAACGCUUUCCUCAAUGGAGAGUUGAAGGAGGAAAUUUACAUGGAUCAGCCAGAUGGUUUUGUAGUACCUGGUUAGUAAGGAAAGGUGUGCAAGUUAUUAAAGUAUUUAUAUGGCCUUAAACAAGCUCCUAAAGAGUGGCAUGAGUAGUUUGAAAGAACAUUAACUGCUACCGGCUUUGUAGUAAACGAUGGUGACAAGUGCGUGUACUAUCGCUAUGGUGGGGGCGAAGGAGUUAUUCUUUGUUUGUAUGUCGACGACAUAUUGAUCUUUCGAACCAAACUUGAUUUAAUCAAGGAGGUUAAGGAUUUCUUAUCUCGCUGUUUUGAGAUGAAGGAUCUAGGAGUAGCUGAUGUUAUCUUAAACAUCAAGCUGUUGAGAGAUGAGAAUGGUGGGAUCACACUGCUUCAGUCACACUAUGUGGAAAAGGUCUUGAAUCGUUUUGGGUAUAGCGACUGCACACCUUCUCCAACCCCAUAUGAUGCUAGCAUGUUGCAUCGAAAGAAUCGACGGAUUGCUAGAGAUCAACUGAGGUAUUCUCAUAUUAUUGGCUCGCUUAUGUAUUUGGCGAGUGCCACGAGGCCAAACAUCUCGUUUGCUGUUAGCAAGCUGAGUCGGUUUGUGUCAAAACCAGGAGAUGAUCAUUGGCAUGCACUUGAGAGAGUUAUGUGCUAUUUGAAAGGCACCGCGAGCUAUGGGAUUCACUACACCGGGUAUCCAAGAGUACUGGAGGGUUAUAGUGACUCAAACUGGAUAUCUGAUGCUAAUGAGAUUAAGGCCACAAGUGGUUAUGUUUUUACACUUGGUGGUGGCGCUGUUUCUUGGAAGUCCUGCAAGCAGACCAUCUUAAUGAGGUCAACUAUGGAAGCAGAACUCACAACAUUAGAAACUGCCACUGUUCAAGCAGUGUGGCUUCAUGAGCUCUUGAUGGACUUUCCUAUGAUUGAAGAACCAAUACCCCCUAUCCCAAUGAACUGUGAUAAUCAAACUAUGAUCGUCAAGAUAAAUAGUUCUAAGGACAAUAUGAAGUCCUCAAGGCAUGUGAAGAGGAGACUGAAAUCUGUCAGAAAAUUGAGGAACUCCGGAGUUAUUACGUUGGAUUAUAUCCAAACGUCAAAAAAAUUGGCAGAUCCCUUCACAAAGGGUCUAUCACGUAAUGUGAUAGAUAAUGCAUCGAUGGAGAUGGGUCUGAGACCCACCGCAUGAGUUGUCCAUAGUGGUAACCCACUCUUUGUGAUCGGAUAUCCCGUGAAGUAUAAGUGGGAGACAAGCUGUUGGUCAGCUGGGAGGAGAGUAUCCCUAUAUUACCUGUCCCACUCCAUGAAGAUGCAAUACUCUCCUAAUCUGCAUGGCAGGUUGAUACUUAUCUUAAUGUGUUCCAAGUGGCUUAUUCGGGUAAGCAGAGAUGUUGUCCUGCAGAACAUCUUCUGAGGAACACACCUAUAUGAAUUUGACUGUUAACGUCGCAGUCUGUGAGAAUUGGGUGUUCUCUAAUAAAUUCAUGAAAAGGCCCUGGAGUAUGACGUAUACGCUCCACCCGCAGGGAAGCCUUGCGGCAGCCCAGUAUCGGUCAAGAAUUUGUGUGAAACUAGUUGCGCAGAAAAUUUGUAGUUCAAGGCAUAGUCCACUAUUCAAGUUGUGAUCUAGUGUAGCAUAAAUCUCUAAGUGGAAGUUCAACUUCACAGUCUCCACUAAGCCCCGGUAUAUAAACAAUGUUUUGGAACUAAAUGAUGAGAUGUGCCAAUGAGACUUUGUGGGGGAUUGUUGGAAUUUUGCUAGUAGGCCUUUGGCCCAAAGCCCAACUAAAAUUCUGAAAUUGUCUUGGCCCAUUCAUGCACACAUGUGAGUGGAGUGAGUGAGACUAAAGUUUAGUCCCACCCCGGAAGUUGAGAGAGAGCACCUCUUUAUAAGGUGAGCUCUUCUACCACUUGUAUGAGCAUGAGAAUAGGAGACCUACACACGCGCUCCUCCUCCUCGCUCGCCACGCCACCCCUCGUCACGACGCGCCGCGGGUUGCGGGAUUGAGCCGAGCCGAGGACAGAGCUAUGCACAUUGUCUAUUUUUUGCUACCCGAAAAAAUUAAUGAGUCAUUAAUUAAUAAUUAAUGGACACGUUAAUUACUAAACCGUUUUCGAUUCUUUUGGAUCAUGAAGACUCGGACAUGGGGUUUACUCCCACGACCUACCGGGCCCGCAUUAUAUAGUCCGGCAGACGUCUACCCUAGCUGCCGCCGCUUCAUAUGGUUUCUUACCACCGUUCCAGAUCAUUGCGCCGCCAAGCAAGUCUUCUCCAUCCGUCCCUUCGGCGUGCAUCGGGAGAAGGGACAACAGGCCUCCGGAACCCCGCCUCUCGUGAUCCUGUACGGGAGAGGGGCGAUCAGGUUUUUGGGGAGCGCACUCGCGCGACUGCUGGCAGCGACGACUUCGCGAAUGACGACUUUUUCCCUGACCUCGGCAACCUCAUCCUCGACGACAUGGGCGACAACGUCAACGCCGGCGGUGCUGCACCCGCUGCACCUUAUGUUAUUCUAUCCUUCUUGUUCGAGAUCAUGGUAGAAUUCACGUUUCUAGUAUAUGCCCUAGAUGUGAUCUGUUCAUCUACUAUGCUAGUUCGCAUGAUUAGUUUAAUAUCUGCUAUUGCUGUCAUGAUCUAUUUCCUAUUUAUUCGGAUUAAAUCUCGUAGUAAUUUGCUCAUUUUUCCAAUAGUACCAUCUAAUAGAUGAUGUAAAUCUCCUCUAGUUUGACGUUGUUGAGCUAAUUUACAAAAAAAACCUCAUCAUUAUUGGACGUCCUUAACAGCUCAAGAACAAGUUGGGGUCGAACUAAUGGAUUUUACACUUUUACAUUAAAGGUUUAGCUAAAGCUAGCAGGUGUUUUUAAACCUGAAUUUUUUUCCUCCUGAAUUUCUUUGUAUUUUCUUAUUGACACUAUUUAUACAAUCAUCUGACAAAGAUUAGCUAAAGCUGUUUGUAGAUACGUUGAAACCUGAAAAGCUUCUUUGGUUAUCCUUUUAAUAGUUCUACGUUUAUUUUCUCAUAGGUCAUAAUUCUUAUGUAAUACCAAGAUGCAUUGUGGUAGUGUACAUGUGUUAAAUUCAGGUUGUUAUUCACAAUUUGCGACAAAAUUUAGCUCACGCUACAUUCAAAUAUGUUGAAAUGUGAAAGCUUUUUUUUCUUCUCCUUUCUACACCUUGCAUCGGAUUGCAUCCCUUUAGUUAUCCAACAUUUUGUACAACAUGUAGAGAUUAGGAAGUUCAUCAUAGUUUGUUUAUUUCGGUGCUAAUAAAUGUAUGAAAUCUGCAUUUCCAAGCUACUAGGACAAGUAAAAAAUAAUAAUUUUACUAUAGGAUUCAAAAACAGCAGUUCUGAAGUGCACUUUAUUUAUUUUUGAAAGUGAUCACAUUUUGUUUCAUUUUUCUAUAGACAAAUCUACUAAUACAUACUCACGAUAAAACUAUAAAAGUUCUAGUCCGCACAUUGGGCGGGCCACCCGGCUAGUUAGUCUAAAGAUAACAAAAUGAGUCUGGAAUUUGAAUUAAAUUGAAGUAUUUUCUUGGACUUUCAAAUUGAGUUUUAUUAAAGUAGUAAGGACUAUCCACAUCCUUGGCUUGCCCCUGAUCAAUUAUUUCCAGAGAAGCAUUCAAUUCAUCAAUCAAUUACAUUGAUUUUAGUGGCUGGUACUUCUCCUCAACAUCAGUAUAUUCACCGUGGCCACUCCAAAUCGGCAAGAAUGAGGUACCAGUGCUCUGGAGCAGUGCAAGCUAAUUGCUUCUCAUCUGAAGGGGUGCGGCCGCAGGAGAGGUAUUUCUGGUGGGCCAAGGGACUAAGAAGCGACUGUGGCAGCGGUAUAGACGCCCGCAAAGCCCCAUAAUUUGUUUUUGGUUUACAGGAAAAAUGCACAUCCAUACCAGCCUGGGGAAUAUAGGACCGUAUUGGAUGGAAAACCAUGUCCGGAUGGUUGCGAGCGGUUUAAGGGUUAGCUUUUGUAACGCCCGGUUAGUUAUGCUAUAGCAAUUCCCUGCUAAUGAUGUCACGUUACCACGAUUACUGUUGUUAACCUCACAAUGAUUCAAUCCCCUUCAAAUUGAAAUUUAAAAUAAAGGCAAACAUCAAAAGUUUUCAAAUAUUAAAACUAAAAUCUUUGAGAGGUGACAAAUAAUGCAUAAGUAAUUAUGGUGGAGAAACCACACUUUAAUCAAAUGUUUAAAUACUCUAAAAUGAAAAAAAACAGUUGCUUAAACUAUUAUUUAAAUGCUUUUAAAAUAGUAAAAAUCUUCUAACUAAAUUAUUUGGGUACCAAACUUUUGGUGGCAGUGGUAUAUUUAGUACAACUAAUUUAGAUGCUAAUUAUAUAAAAAGGAAAAGCAAAAGGGGGCAACCCCUCGCUGGGCCUCGGCCUAGCUGCCACUAGGCUAGCUAGGCUGGCCCCGCCGCCUCCCUUAACCCCCCCCCCCCACUCCCCAUCGAACCCAAGCCCGAUCGCCCCACUUCCCCCANNNNNNNNNNNNNNNNNNNNNNNNNNNNNNNNNNNNNNNNNNNNNNNNNNNNNNNNNNNNNNNNNNNNNNNNNNNNNNNNNNNNNNNNNNNNNNNNNNNNNNNNNNNNNNNNNNNNNNNNNNNNNNNNNNNNNNNNNNNNNNNNNNNNNNNNNNNNNNNNNNNNNNNNNNNNNNNNNNNNNNNNNNNNNNNNNNNNNNNNNNNNNNNNNNNNNNNNNNNNNNNNNNNNNNNNNNNNNNNNNNNNNNNNNNNNNNNNNNNNNNNNNNNNNNNNUUGAUCCCAUCUGGAUCGGGGAGGGUAAUGCCCCAAUCGACCCCGUUGCCGUCGCGGGAUUGCCCGCCGACGUCGCCAGGCCUCCUCCCCGCCACCCGUCUCCGGCUCGCCUCCCCUCUCGCUCCUCUUCCCCGACCCGAUCUGGAUCGUGAACGAGCAAUGAGCUCGAAGCCCCCUUCACCGGCGCCAUCACCGUGCGCCACCACCACCGCCUGAAGACCUCACCGUCGCCGAACCUUGCGUCGCCUCCUCGUAUCCCUCCCCUACUCGCGUCCUCAAGCCAGGCCGAGCCCCUUCUCGGCAACGCCGUGAGACGCCCCCGUCUCCCUCCUCUUUCCACUGCGUUCACCGCGCCGCCCGCCGUGCCCCUCGCCGUGCGCACGCCCACCACCGCACCAGCCCCCGCUCCGCGCACGACCCUACCCGCGUCCGCGCCAUGAUCCCCUUUUCCACCCUACCUUCCUGCGCUCGCCGCGGUCCUGAUGCUCCCCCGCGCCCUCUUUUGGGGGCGCCGACUGCCCCUGUCCCACUGCUCGCCGCCGUGCCUCGCCAUCGCUCUACUGCUAAGUUAUUGCUGCGCUGCGGCCGUCGCCUCUUCCCGCUGCUCCGCCAGCGCCGAAGCUCCCGAUUGGCUCCACCACUUCUCACGUUAAACCGCCGGCCUAAAUGGCCUAACCCCCGGCUAAUGAACCCCCACUAUCCCACUGACACCGGGACCCACAUUCCCUAAUUAACCAUUUAAUAAAUUAAAACUCUUAAAUUAACAUUAGUGUAUGACAUGUGCGUCCCCUAUUAAUUUAUAAUUUUACUGCUAGUUUUAUUAGUUUCUGUUUUUUCUGCAUAUUUCUUUUGUAUUUGAACAGGCUUUAUAUAAUAAUAUUUAGCGUCUCAUACACAUAUAAAUGUAAUUAUAGCAUAUACAUACAAAUAGUCUCAUCAAAUCAUGUCAUCACCAUAAUCAUCAUCCAUCACAAAGUGAUCUCUCGUCAUCAUCUCGAAAAUAGCAAUACAAGUCUCGAUUACUUGCAACUACAUCGUCAUCCAUCUAAACAAUGAUAUACGCGAGAAGCGCUAUCACUAUGAGUGAGAGCGGAACUAUGCAGUACAUGAGUUUGUAUCCCUCUCUCACAUUAGCGUGAACCUAAACUAACUACUGGCUGUUGCUCGGAAACCGGAAACCGGUACACCUGGGCCUGACACUCCGGCCACUCGUCGUAUACUCCUGGCGUAGCACUUCUUCGCCAUCGAUGAUCUAUAAACCUACAUCGUCAGAUGAGUCGAUGAUAUGCAACAUAUAUAGUUGAGCAACAGAAAGAGACAGACUUGGCAAAAAUAGAAGCAACAUAUCAUAAGCAUAAAUAACAAAGUUCAUCGUACGCAAAAUGCCCUAACUAGAGUGAUCUUCGCUAGUCGAGGAGGACGGUUUAAUUACAUCACAAAUAAUUUUUCGUCGUGCAUAACUCAAAGUUCCGUCAUACAGAAAGUAUGAACUAAAUGGACACAUUGUCAUAUUUCAAAAAUCACUCCCACAUGUCGUGCCAUCCAUCCAAGUCAAGGAGAUAGUGCCCGAGCUUAGUGAAAGGCUUUAGGUCGAGACGCUGAGCGGCUAUGCGUGUUCGGACGUCUUCCCACGACAUUUGUCCUUCUUCAUAGAACAUCCCUGUUUUUUCGACGACCUCCUUCAUCACUGGAAGAAAAAGGGCCUGUUGUCCCGGUUCUGGAACCGGGACUAAAGGGUCGGUACUAAUGCCCUGUCCCUUUAGUCCCGGUUCAAUCCAGAACCAGGACAGUUGGGCCUCCACGUGGCCUGUGCGCGGAGCCUAGGCGGGAGACCCUUUGGUCCAAUAAGCAUCCACGCAUCAGCAUUUAUGUGGUUGGGGUUUUUGUUUUUUUUGAAGGGGGGGGCAUUGGGGGUUUUGGGGGGUUAAUUUUGGUGUUUCAUAUAUUGUGUUAGCUAGCUAUAAUUAAUAGAGAGAAUUGUCCUCUCUUAUGUCCGUGCUUGCUCGACGCUACGUACUAUACAUACGUAUAGAGAGGACUAGACACGGUAGCUAGCUAGUAAGCAAACGAAGGAAAUAGAAGAUCGUCAUGAACAUAUAUGCAUACAGAGAGAAGUAAUAUCGACCACCUCUCCUUCUCCGAGAGAUUGGUCGAACAACAAGUUCUCAUAUAUCUAUCCGACACUACCGGCUACAUAUAUACAAUAAUUAUCUCUUACAAAUAUAAUCAUACGGAUUCAGGGUCCACAUAGUAUUCUCUGUCUUCAAGGAUCACGUGGUCAAGAAAGAAUGCCGCCAAUUCCUCUUGAAUUGCUCGCAUGCGAGCUGGUGCUAGGAGUUCAUCCCGCUUCCGAAACAUCUAAUUUAAAGAAGGGGGUUAAUACAUAUAUACAUAUAUAUAUAUAUAUAUAUAUAUAUAUAUAUAUAUAUAUAUAUAUAUGAAUGAAUGAAACUCAACACGAAUGAUGGUAAUAAAAUAAAAUUGUGAAUGUUGUUAUUUACGUACUUCAUAUUGUUCGUCAGUGUAGCCCCGCUCAUAGGUCGUGUGGCGGAUGGACUCGCAAACGUAGUAUCCACAGAAAUCAUUCCUUUGUUCCUGCCACAACCACUUUAUAAGAAAUAGAGGUCAAUCAAACUGAUAAGCAAGAAUGCCAAAUGGUAUUGAUGAAACUUGUCAGGACCCCGAUUCCAAGCCACAUCGAUCUAGCCGGUAACACCUCAUAUCACUUUGCGGCCUCACGCACGAUAUUCCACGGGUGUCGCCUUACCAUGGCCCGGGACCGUUUGCGCCUUUUGGCUCACGUAUAUGAUAGUGUUGCUAGCAUCCAUAUGACAGAGAACCCGGGCCGACAUGGCUAGUCGUGAACCCAAAGUGGCACAGACCUAUGGAGACAGGCAUACAUGAAUCACAUCGAGCAUGUCGGUCAUCAGUGUGUGAUUCCGGGCUGUAGCACUGGGCUAACAGGACUCCGGGGAACCCGGGCUGUAGCAGGCUAGGCAGGACUCCGGAAGUCACCGCGUGACAUUUACCCGAAGGGACAGACAUAGGAACGAAGUGAAUCACAUGCCGGCAAGUCAAGUGUCCUGAGCAGUAGUACUGGGCUAGCAGGACUCCGGUGAACCGGGCUGUAGCGGACUACUAUGGCUCGAGGAACACUAGACUACAUUUCCCCAUAAGAAAGGCUGCCAAGGAUAAACAACUAGAUUGUCGGAUCCCACUCAUACCAAGCAUUUCAAUCAUACACACAAUAUGCCCGAUAUGAGUACAUACAACAUGGCAUCACAACAAAACUCUACAACUCAAGUACUUUAUUUAAAGGCUCUAGAGAGCCAUACAUAACAUGUUCAUACAGAUAGGGGUCACAUGACCCGACACUCAAGUCAUACAAUCAUACAAGCACAUGCGGAAGCAACCGGUCUGAGUACAGACACUAGAAAGAAAGAAGGCUCCUCGAGGCCUGUCUAUCUACAUAGGGCCCUCCAUGGCCAGGAUCACCACCUGGGUGGCUAGUCACUCGUCGAUGUCAAGGUCUACAUAGAACCCAUCGAAGGGGGCUGUGUUGUCGUCUGAAAACAGUAAUUAAGCAAACAUGAGUACAAAGGUACUCAGCAAGUCUUACAAAAGAACCUACUAUACAUGCUUAUUCUCAAGAAGGUGGUGGGGAUAUUGCAGCAAGCCAGUUUUCACUCUUGGCUAAACUAUCCUACAGAACUUCUCUAGUAAAAUAGUUUUCGCACACGAGUCCACUACUCACCAACACAAUACUCCACCGGGGAUCCUCCCUCGUCAUCCUAUGAGAGGGCCAUCCUCGGUACUCACACUUAUCUUGACUAUUUUAGUAGUAUCCAUUUAAUUGUCUAUGAACUGUAUAGGCAACCAAGUAGUCCUUUACCGCGGACGCGGCUAUUCGAAUAGUUUUAUACCCUGCAGGGGUGUACUUCGUCAUACAUGCUUUCACCACUUAUCGUCGUUUACACGACAUGUACUCGGCAACCUUCAAGCGAAAGCCCAGCGAGGGUGUCGGCCACGGCCUACCUAAACACUUAAGUCUCUAGUCCAGGUUUAUCGCCUAUCUAGGUUCCAUCCGCAGGGAGUCCGGGCGAGGUUUCCACAUACGGCCCCGAACGAUGUGAACAGGGUCCCGAGACGCCAAACGGGCGCCCGGCAUACCCGGCCAUGGUGUAUCUACCGCAACAUAGCCCACCCUUAGGGUCAGCGCUACGCACGGCCGCCAACACAUAACCUACAAACACCAGAAACUAUUUGCAACUCCUAGACAGAGUACAAGGGUGAUUAAGAAGCCGAGAGGGUCAAUUAAGGAUCCCAAUGCAUGGUAGUAGCUGAAUCUUAAAUCACACAUACCGAUCUCAGUUCUUAGGGACGGUCUCAAUGAAACAACCCACCAUGUACUCCUACAUGGCCUCUCAUCGAUACCUUUACCAAAACAUGUUCAACACAUUCCUCAUAUUACCGACAUAAUCAUAUCACCCUAGCCCAUCACCCAGAUGAACCAGACCUGACACAACUAUAAGCAUAGCAGGCAUAGCAAGGUAGGAAUCACAUACAUGGCUCAAUCAACUCCUACACAUGCUAGUGGGUUUCAUCUAGUUACUGUGGCAAUGACAGGUCAUGCAGAGGAUAAGGGUUCAACUAUCGUAGCACACAGCAGUUUGAAUCACAUUGUCUUAAUGCAGUAAACAAGAGCAGAGGCAAGAACAUGGGUUGUAUCGGAAUGAUCAAUGGGUUGCUUGACUGAUGGAGUGGUAGUGGGAUACUGCCCUUCAGUUGGAUACUCAUGAAUAUCCUCGGAGGCAGAACCUACCACGAAGAACACAUCGGAACACAAUCAACACAUGAUGAUAUGCAACAAUAUGAUGCAUGCUAUGACAUGGCAAUAUGAAUGUGUCUUGGCCUAAUGCAAGCUAAAAUAGAAAGGGAUGAACUCAUUUGAAUCAAAGAUUCAAAUAUUAGCUCAUUAAACAUGGCCUUAGUAGUGCAUUUCCUUAUUCUGCUUAAACAGCAAGGUAAACUUGUUUUUUCAUGCUUGAAACCAUUACAGAUGGAUAUAUUGAAUUUUUCUGAUAAUUUUUCAUAUAUAAAUUAUUUCAUUUGGAGUUACGGUUGAAUUUCUAUGAUUUUUAGAAGUUUCAAACAUUUUCUGGAAUUUCUUGAAUAAAAAUAAAUCCAGAAAAUGCAUUACUGCGUCAGCAUUGCAUCAUGCUGACCUCCGCAGGUCAAAGGCACCAGCCUAGGUCAAACCUGACUGGUGGGCCCCUUCUGUCAGUCUCUCAGUUAAAUAACAGGAUUAGAUUAACACUAAUUAGCUGUCAGUGGGGCCUGGGCCCACAUGUCACUGACUGAUUAAAAUAAAAUUAGUUAAAACUAAUCCUAGAUUAGUUAGCAAACCGGCCCCACCUGUCAUAGACUUAGGGGGGGUCUACCUGGGCCCACCCAGGGUCAAACUGGGUCAAACUCGCCGGCGCAGCUCGGAAAACGCCUACAGGGCACGAGCGAGGCCGUUCUUGGGCUCAUUGGAGAGCUCUUGCAGUCGCGCAUCUAGUGGCGGUGGUGGCCGGAGACGACGACGGCGAGCUCCAAGGCGGCGGCCGGAGUUCGGCCAUGUGCGGGGUGUCGGCUGUGGCGUGCAAACGUGGAAACUGAGGCACUAGCGAGGCACUACGCGAUGCGGCAAGCACGUUGCAUAGCACGGGAUAAUCAAAUGGUUGCCGGAGCGGCACCGGUGACAAGCUCGAGCGGAGACGAGCUUCGGCCAUGGUGGAACUAUGGCCUAGAGGGUGCAAACGCGUGGAAAAGAAGAGGGGAAAGGUGGCGGAGCUCACAGGGAGGUCGAUGAGCAGCUCAGUGGGCUCGGGGGCGACAGAAGUGAGGCGAAUCGAUGAGCAGCGUCCGGCGGGUACCGAGGUUGAAGACGAUCCGAUGGCGGCGAUGCAGGGCCUCCGGCGAUGCGUGGCUCGGUGGGAAGGGCGAGGGGGUGACGGAGGGCGCGACUACGGCGGUGAGACGGCGACGGGUGCGUCGGCCAUCGCGGGAGAGGGAGAGGGAGAUGAGUGGGAGAGUGAGAGAGGAUGAGAGGGGGACGUGGGGGUCGCGUGGCAUUCCCUGGACGUCUCCCGGCAUCGGCGGAAGCAGGAGGUGGCCGGCGUGUGGCCGCGGGCGCCGGCCACGCGCUCUGCGUCCUUCUGGCGCGAGGAGGACGACGACUGGCAGCGCCAGUAGGCUGGGCCGAGCCAGGUGGGCUGGCCAGCACAGGUAAGGCUCAGGUGGGCUUCUCCCUCUUUUUUUUAAUUUGUUUCUGUUUUCUAUUUAACUGUAAAUGUUGGGCUUUAUUUAAAAUACUAAAACAUUUCCAAAAAUCCUGAAAAUAAUUGUGGGCUCUGUUUGGAUUAUUUCCAAUAGCAAACAUUUAUUUGCAGAAUUAUUUGAGCAUUUAAAUGCCCAAAUUCAAAUACUUAUGAUUUAAAUCAAUGACCUUCUGUUGACCUAGAAAAGUUGUGCACCAAUUUUGCCAGAGGUUCUAACCCAAGACAAAGAGGGUGAACUUUUUAGAAGGGCAUUUCAGGUUCAUUGAAAAUAAUUUUAGUAAUCCCUAGUUGUUUCCAGGGGGGUGUUGGGGGUUUCUGCCUUCCCCAAUUCAAAUUUAAGAGGAAUUUAAACAUGAUGCACAUUCUAAUGCUUGAACUAGCUAGGGUGUGACAACUCACCCCCACUCAAAAGAAUCUCGUCCCGAGAUUUAGGAUCCUCUGGAAAGAAGGUGGGGUACUCGAGUCGAAGACGAUCCUCCCUUUCCCAAGUGGCUUCUUUCUCGGAAUGGUGUGUCCAUUGAACCUUGAGAAACUUGAUAUUAUGACGUCGAGUGGUACACUCGGCUUGAUCAAGGAUACGAACGGGAUAUUCCCGAUAAGAGAGGUUAUCUUGUAGAUCAAGCAUUUCGUGGUCCACUCCACGGAUAGGAUCCGCGAAGCAACGCCUGAGUUGUGAAACGUGGAAGACAUCAUGAACUCUGGAAAGAUGCGGAGGUAGUUCCAAUUGGUAGGCAACUUCUCCUCGUUUGGCAAGAAUGCGAAAGGGUCCAAUGUAACGAGGAGCCAAUUUGCCUUUGAUACCGAAAUGAUGGGUUCCUUUUAAUGGGGUAACCCGAAGGUAAGCCUUCUCGUCGAUUCAUAAGUCAUAGGCUUAUGUUUACGAUCAUAUUGACUCUUUUGACGAGAUUGGGCUGUUUUCAAUUUCUCACGAAUAACGCGAACCUGCUCUUCCGCUUCCUGAAUCAUAUCCGGGCCAAAGAGUUGUCUUUCCCCGGUUUCUGACCAGUUAAGAGGCGUUCGACAUUUUCGUCCAUAGAGAACUUCGAAAGGAGCUUUGCCCAAGCUAGCUUGAUAACUAUUGUUAUAAGCAAACUAUGCGAAUGGGAAGCAUUUCUCCCAACUCAUUCCGAAUGAGAUAACAGAAGCUCGGAGCAUAUCUUCUAGAAUUUGAUUGACUCGCUCUACUUGACCACUUGAUUGAGGAUGGAAGGCGGUACUAAAAGAGAGACGAGUUCCCAUAGCAUUUUGGAAACUUUCCCAAAAUCGAGAGGUGAAGAGACUCCCACGGUCUGAGUUAAUUUCCAAUGGGACACCAUGGAGAGACACUAUUCGGGAGAUGUAUAAAUCGGCUAGCUGGCUAGCAGUGAUACUCGCACGAACAGGUAGGAAAUGGGCUACUUUGGAAAGACGGUCGAUCACGACGAAGAUGGCAUUAUUCCCUCUCUUGUUCCUGGGAAACCCAGUAAUGAAAUCCAUACUGAUUUUAUCCCAUUUCCAUUCAGGAAUAGCCAAAGGUUGAAGGGUGCCAGCAGGCCGUUGAUGCCCUGCUUUAACACGAUGACAGACGUCGCAGCUAGCAAUGUAUCGAGCGAUUUCUCUCUUCAUCCUAGUACAUCAAAACCUCUGGCGUAGGUCUUGAUACAUUUUAUUGCUACCGGGAUGAAUGGUGAGAGGGGAUUCAUGAGCUUCCUUAAGGAUCAAUUGGCGUAGAUGUUGUUUCUUGGGAACCACCAAACGGUUCUCAAAGAAGACAGCACCCCGCUUAUCCAUGGAAAAACAUUUAGCAACUCCGCUAGCAAUGUUUUCCUUAAUCCGGGAUAUGCCCUUAUCAUACCGCUGGGCAGUUAUGAUCUGAUCCAUAAGGUUAGGUUUCGCCACCAGGGUGGAUAGGAAUCCUCGAGGAACAAUGUGAAGAUUAAGCUUACGGAAUUCCUCAUGGAGAAGUGGUUGACUUUGUUGUAACAUCAGGUUGUUACAAUAGGAUUUACGGCGUAGUGCAGCAGCCAUGACAUUGGCUUUGCCCGGUGUGUAGGUUAUUCCUAAGUCGUAAUCCGAGAUCAACUCAACCCAACGUCUUUGCCUGAGAUUCAAAUCUGGUUGGGUGAAGAUAUAUUUCAAGCUUUGGUGAUCGGUGAAGAUCUCGCAACGAUUAAGUGCAUGGACUACAGCUGCCAGCUCUAGAUCAUGUGUGGGAUAAUUUUCCUCAUGUGGGUGUAAUUGCCGUGAAGCGUAGGCAAUUACCUGACGAUCUUGCAUGAGUAUGCAACCUAGUCCUUGUCGCGAGGCGUCACAAUAGAUAAUAAAGUCCUUGGAUAAAUCAGGUGGUACCAGUACGGGAGCAGAUGUCAGGCGUCUUUUCAGUUCCUAAAAGCUGAACUCGCACUGUGGAGUCUACUCGAACUUUUUAUCUUUCUUGAGGAGUUUAGUUAGAGGUUUAGCAACCUUGGAGAAAUUCUCGACGAAGCGGCGGCAAUAGCUCGCUAAGCCAAGGAAGCUCCAAACUUGCUUGACCGUCUCAGGUGGAGUCUAAUCAAGGACGGCUUGAACUCGCUCGGGAUUGACGGCAAUACCCUUACCAGAGAUUACAUGGCCUAGAUAGGUUACUUCUGGCAACCAAAAUUCACACUUGGAGAAUUUGGCAUAAAGGCGAUGCUCUCGAAGUUUCAUCAAUACCAGCCUUAGAUGUUCGGCAUGUUCCUCUUCAUUCUUGGAGUAGAUUAGUAUGUCAUUGAGGUAUACUACGAUGAAUUUAUCCAAGUACUCCAUGAAAACCGAGUUCAUUAGCCGGGAGAAGGUAGCCGGGGCAUUGGUUAAACCGAAGGACAUAACGGUGUACUCGUAUUGGCCAUAACGAGUAACAAAGGCCGUUUUGGGAAUGUCCCCGUUUCUGAUUUAGAUUUGAUGGUAGCCCAACCUCAAAUCCAUCUUGGAAAAGACUGAGGAUCCAGCAAACUAAUCAUACAGAUCAUUGAUCCUGGGAAGUGGGUAUUUGUUCUUGAUGGUGACCAAGUUGAUAGGUCGGUAAUCCACAACCAUUCGAUCUGUUCCAUCCUUCUUGACGAAGAGGACGGGGCAAGCCCAAGGAGAGGAACUAGGACGGAUGAAACCCUUUUUCAAGGACUCAUCGAGUUGGUUCUCAAGCUCGGCUAGUUCUAAGGGUGCCAUCUUGUAGGGUCUUCUAGAAAUUAGAAUGGUUCCUGGAACAAGGUCUAUCACAAACUCGACAUCCCUGUCAGGUGGAACACCUGGCAGUUCUUCUGGAAAGGCAUCCGGAAAGUCUCGGACUACCGGAACAUCCUCAAGGUCUGGAAGGGGGUUGGCAUUUAGGGAGUAAAGUUGGCACUUGGCCACUCGAGUUAAGACAUUAACUGUCUUGCCCGAUGGGUGAGUAAGUUGAACGGUUCUAGUGGCACAGUCAAUCUUAGCAUAAUGAGCUGACAUCCAGUCCAUACCUAAGAUGAUGUUUAUGUCCGAGGACUUGAGAGCUAUUAAGGAUGCAAGGAAGACAAGUCUAUCGACAAGAAUUUCGUUCCCAUGGCUUACUCUAGAAGUUUGCCAUCUAGAGCCAGGGGUUUGAAUUUCCAUGGUAGAGGGCAUGUCACAGAAUGUCGUGUUGUGCAAUCGAGCAUAGUUCUCGGAUAUGAAUGAAUGAUAUGCUCCAGUAUCGAAAAGAACAGAUGCCGGAUGGCAGUUAACAAGGAGCGUACCAAGGACGACGUUGGGAUCCUCAUGAGCCUCCUCGGCUGAAACAUAGUUGACAUGGCCACGUGCAGUGGUGGCUGGCUUAGCGUAGAAUGUUUUUCCCGCGGGCUUACCACGGCCAACGGACUUUCCAGUUUGAUUGGGGUUGUUGUUCUGGGGACACUCUCGGCUAUAGUGACCCGGCUCUCCACACUUAAAGCAUGUCACCACAUUGGGGCGUGGAGCAGCAUUAGCAGCGGGGCCACCAUAGGGCUUGGGCGGUGCAAAUUGCUGGUUGGGACGUGGUGCCUCAAAGGAUGGCCUCGGGAUGAACCUGGGUGGCAGUGCCGUGCUUGGAAUCCACACCCGGCGCUUCUGAGCUCCAGAGCCGAUGAAGAGCCAAAAUCACGGGAGUGCUUGCGUGAAGUGUCAUAAUCAGUCUGGCCUUUCUCAGCACUGAUGGCUUUAUGGACCAACUUCUAAAAGGAGGUGCACUUGUGCAGACGAAGACCACGGUGAAGCUCAGGGCUAAGUCCCUUGCGGAACCUUGCCUGCUUCUUAGCAUCAGUAGAUACCUCUUCAGGGGCAUAACGUGCCAGAUUCCCAAAUUCACGACUGUAAGCAUCCACAGUCAGUCUUCCUUGGGUGAAGUUGCAGAACUCCUCCCUCUUGCGAUCCAUGAGACCUUCCGGAAUGUGAUGCUCACGGAAAGCCUCACUGAAUUCAGCCCAAGUAGUGAUUUGGCCGACCGGGCGCAUAGCUUCGAAGUUUUCCCACCAAAGGCUAGCAGGGCCUUUGAGGUGAUAGGCAGCAUAAGUAACCUUGUCGGCUUUGGCUACGUUGGCAGAACGUAGCUUGUGGGUGAUGCUGUGAAGCCAGUCAUCCACGUCGAGGGGCUCGACGGAAUGGUUAAACUUUGGUGGGUACAUCUUGAUAAAGUCAUUGAUUGACACCAACUCAUUUCGCGGGUGGCGUGCAGUGUUCUGCUCAAUCCGCUCCAGCAGGCGGUUGGUCUCACGCUUCUUUCUUUCUGCCUCCAGCAUUACUUCGGCCAGAGAAGGCGGGUGAGGCAGAUUUUCACCUCUAGCAGCACUGGCUUCCCCCUGCUCCGGGGCAACAGGGUUGCUGCGAGUAUUGACCAUCCUAGGAGAAAACAAGACAACGGUUUAGACAAGGAUGGCUCAAACUGAGCAAGGAUGUGCAGAAUGUAAUGGAUAACACGGAACACAGAGAUGUUCAUCCGUAUGUCAUGGUAAUAUAAAACUGCCAUAUAUAUACCAACGGUCAUACACAUCACACAUAGUUUAGUACAAGCCCAGGCUACAGUACAACUAUGAUGAAAGACGUUACAUCUCAUCGGAGGCAUUCCAAGCUCCUAUACAUUAUUGUCUACACCUUCGGAAUUGAUUACACGCAAAGUCAUAUUCCAAAAGUCACGCAGGACAGUGGAGAUACAACUACUACAAUACUAGUGGUACUACUACUAACUCAGACAGCUCCGUACUAGUCCUCAUAGAAGUCACCUCCAUAGCCUGGAAGUUCAACGUGACCAUCCGGGAACAGACGGUCCUGAGGAGCCUGUGGACCAUAGGGGCUUGGAUGGGGUCUUGGACCAACAAACGGUGGCCUGCGGGGACCACAGGGUGGGGUGAUGCCUCCCACAUCACGCCAAUCCACCACGUCUGGCAAAGCAGACCUCACAGGAUACAAAUCCCUUGUAUCCAUACAUCCAGCUUGCACCACAGGUGCAAACCGAGUCAAUGUGGCCCAAUGAUCAGCACGGGUAUUAAAAAGCUCCAGCCUCAAGGCCUGAUUCUCUCGGUCCUUAUAUUCGAGCAUCUCGGCAGUGGUACGAGUUAAUGAAUCCUCCUGAGUGGAGUCAGCAUAGAUAGCCUGAAGAUACCCUUGCGCUCCCGGAAGUGAAGCUAGCAUGUAUCGGAAGUCGGUGUUCCGAAGCAGGCCAGUCCGGACUCGCAUGAUUGUCAUCAUGGAAUAGGCAGCAUCCUGCACAGCCAUCUCAACAGUAACCCCGAGUCCAUAGGAACAGUGAAGGGGCUCGGUAGAUCCAGGAUAAGAAGGAAAUAUCUUGACGGUGCAGAAAUACUGGCUUUGAUUAAAGUCUCAGAAUUGCUCUUCGACGGUGUAUUCGGGAUACCAACGGUAACCCGUCUCGAUCAUGACCCGGACUAACAUAGCAGUAUGACCGGGCACGUCGAGCCACCGGGUCAGGCGAACCACUUUGUUUUGAGCACGGUUGGGCAUCUGAAAGCACAACCACAAUGCAAAGACAUCAGAAUUUCUAGGGAAAAUUGGACAGCAUAACAGCUGUAAAUGCUCAGAAAAAGAUUUGAGACAUCCACAACAGUUCGCAAUACCACUCAACAACAUCAUAUCAAGGUUCUGAUCCAAAUAGCAGCAUACUAAAAAUAGUAGAAACUGAACUGGGGCUUGUAACAACAAUCCUAUAAGCUACUACGGAUUAGUAACACGUGAACCUGAUAGAAGAAGAGAGACUAGUCCUUAACCCACAUUGAAUGAAAAGGGAAUGACUCAGAUAAGAGGCAUAGGGUAAAGGAGUAAAAGAGCCUUACGUUCCCUCCCACAAUCAAUUCCCCUACAUAUAACUAAAGCAUUUCCAGACUCGACAUCGACCAGUUUGGCUCAACGAACCUACAGGCAGUCCGGCACUGAUGCCAACGCUGUCAGGACCCCGAUUCCAAGACACAUCGAUCUAGCUGGUAACACCUCAUAUCACUUUGCGGCCUCACGCACGAUAUUCCACGGGUGUCGCCUUACCAUGGCCCGGGACCGUUUGCGCCUUUUGGCUCACGUAUAUGAUAGUGUCGCUAGCAUCCAUAUGAUAGAGAACCCGGGCCGACAUGGCUAGUCGUGAACCCAAAGAGGCACAGACCUAUGGAGACAGGCAUACAUGAAUCACAUCGAGCAUGUCGGUCAUCAGCGAGUGAUUCCGGGCUGUAGCACUGGGCUAACAGGACUCCGGGGAACCCGGGCUGUAGCAGGCUAGGCAGGACUCCGGAAGUCACCGCGUAACAUUUCCCCGAAGGGACAGACAUAGGAAUGAAGUGAAUCACAUGCCGGCAAGUCAAGUGUCCUGAGCUGUAGUGCUGGGCUAGCAGGACUCUGGUGAACCGGGCUGUAGCGGACUACUAUGGCUCAAGGAACACUAGACUACAUUUCCCCAUAAGAAAGGCUGCCAAGGAUAAACAACUAGAUUGCCGGAUCCCACUCAUACCAAGCAUUUCAAUCAUACACGCAAUAUGUCCGAUAUGAGUACAUACAACAUGGCAUCACAACAAAACUCUACAACUCAAGUACUUUAUUUAAAGGCUCUAGAGAGCCAUACAUAACAGGUUCAUACAGAUAGGGGUCACAUGACCCGACACUCAAGUCAUACAAUCAUACAAGCACAUGCGGAAGCAACCGGUCUGAGUACAGACACUAGAAAGAAAGAAGGCUCCUCGAGGCCUGUCUAUCUACAUAGGGCCCUCCAUGGCCAGGAUCACCACCUGGGUGGCUACUUACUCGUCGACGUCAAGGUCUACAUAGAACCCAUCGGAGGGGGCGGUGUUGUCGUCUGAAAACAGUAAUUAAGCAAACAUGAGUACAAAGGUACUCAGCAAGUCUUACAACAGAACCUAGUAUACAUGCUUAUACUCAAGAAGGUGGUGGGGAUAUUGCAGCAAGCCAGCUUUGACUCUUGGCUAAACUAUCCUACGGAACUUCUCUAGUAAAAUAGUUUUCGCACACGAGUCCACUACUCGCCAACACAAUACUCCACAGGGGAUCCUCCCUCGUCAUCCUAUGAGAGGGCCAUCCUCGGUACUCACACUUAUCUUGAGUAUUUUAGUAGUAUCCAUUUACUUGUCUAUGAACUGUAUAGGAAACCAAGUAGUCAUACACGCUAUUCGGAUAGUUUUAUACCCUGCAGGGGUGUACUUCGUCAUACACGCUUUCACCACUUAUCGCCGUUUACAUGACAUGUACUCGGCAACCUUCAAGCGGAAGCCCAGCGAGGGUGUCGGCCACGGCCUACCUAAACACUUAAGUCUCUAGUCCAGGUUUAUCGCCUAUCCAGGUUCCAUCCACAGGGAGUCCGGCCGAGGUUUCCACAUACGGCCCCGAACGAAGUGAACAUGGUUUCGAGACGCCAAACGGGCGCCCGGCAUACCCGGCCACGGUGUAUCUACCGCAACAUAGCCCACCCCUAGGGUCAGCGCUAUGCACGGCCGCCAACACAUAACCUACAAACACCAGAAACUAUUUGCAACUCCUGGACAGAGUACAAGGGUGAUUAAGAAGUCGAGAUGGUCAAUUAAGGAUCCCAAUGCAUGGUAGUAGUGAAUCUUAAAUCGCACAUACAGAUCUCAGUUCUUAGGGACGGUCUCAAUGAAACAACCCACCAUGUACUCCUACAUGGCCUCUCAUCGAUAUCUUUACCAAAACAUGUUCAACACAUUCCUCAUAUUACCGACAUAAUCAUAUCACCCUAGCCCAUCACCCAGAUGAACCAGACCUGACACAACUCUAAGCAUAGCAGGCAUAGCAAGGUAGGAAUUAUAUACAUGGCUCAAUCAACUCCUACACAUGCUAGUGGGUUUCAUCUAGUUACUGUGGCAAUGACAGGUCAUGCAGAGGAUAAGGGUUCAACUACUGUAGCACACAGCAGUUUGAAUCACGUUGUCUUAAUGCAGUAAACAAGAGCACAGGCGAGAACAUGGGUUGUAUCGGAAUGAUCAAUGGGUUGCUUGCUUGAUGGAGUGGUAGUGGAAUACUGCCCUUCAGUGGGAUACUCGUGAAUAUCCUCGGAGCCAGAACCUACCACGAAGAACACAUCGGAACACAAUCAACACAUGACGAUAUGCAACAAUAUGAUGCAUGCUAUGACGUAUCUUGGCCUAAUGCAAGCUAAAAUAGAAAGGGAUGAACUCAUUUGAAUCAAAAAUUCAAAUAUUAGCUCAUUAAACAUGACCUUAGUAGUGCAUUUCCUUAUUCUGCUUAAACAGCAAGGUAAACUUGUUUUGUCAUGCAUGAAACCAUUACAGAUGGAUAGAUUGAAUUUUUCUGAUAAUUUUUCAUAUAUAAAUUAUUUCAUUUGGAGUUACGGUUGAAUCUCUAUGAUUUUUAGAAGUUUUAAACAUUUUCUGGAAAUUACUGAAUAAAAAUAAAUCCAAAAAAUGCAUUACGGCGUCAGCAUUGUGUCAUGCUGACCUCAGCAGGUCAAAGGCGCCAGCCCAGGUCAAACCUGACUGGUGGGCCCCUUCUGUCAGUCUCUCAGUUAAAUAACAGGAUUAGAUUAACACUAAUUAACUGUCAGUGGGGCCUGGGCCCACAUGUCAGUGACUGAUUAAAAUAAAAUUAGUUAAAACUAAUCCUAGAUUAGUUAGCAGACCGGCCCCACCUGUCAUAGACUCAGGGGGGUCUACCUGGGCCCACCCAGGGUCAAACUGGGUCAAACUCGCCGGCGUUGAGCCGCCGGCGAGACCCGAGACAGUGGCGCAGCUCGGAAAACGCCUACAGGGCACGAGCGAGGCCGUUCUUGGGCUCGUUGGAGAGCUCUUGCAGUCGCGCAUCUAGUGCUGGUGGUGGCCGGGCCUACGGUGGCCGGAGACGACGACGGCGAGCUCCAAGGCGGCGGCCGGAGUUCGGCCAUGUGCGGGGUGUGGGCUGCGGCGUGCAAACGUGGAAACUGAGGCGCUAGCGAGGCACUACGUGAUGCGGCAAGCACGUUGCGUAGCACGGGAUGACCAAAUGGUCGCCGGAGCGGCGCUGACGACAAGCUCGAGCGGAGACGAGCUUCGGCCAUGGUGAAACUAUGGCCUAGAGGGUGCAAACGCGUGGAAAAGAAGAGGGGAAAGGUGGCGGAGCUCACAGGGAGGUCGAUGAGCAGCUCAGUGGGCUCGGGGCGACCGGAGUGAGGCGAAUCGACGAGCGGCGUCCGGCGGGUACCGAGGUUGAAGACAAUCCGAUGGCGGCGAUGCAGGGCCUUCGGCGAUGCGUGGCUCGGUGGGGAGGGCGAGGGCGUUACGGCGGAGCUUCUGGACAGGUCAGAGAGGCGAGGUGGUGAUGGAGGGCGCGACUAUGAUGGUGAGACGGCGAUUAAAAAGAAAGAUCUGGUUCACUCGUACGUGAAAAAAGUAGCAAGCGCUCGAUGCCUUCCUUUGCAUCGAUGCCAGACGCGGUGCUGGGAAUCGACAAGAUAACCGCCAAUCUACCACGAUUAAAUUCCUAGCGCCUCCUUCUAGCGCCUCCCACUGAAAAUGCCCUAAAGGUUUUGGAGGGAUUUUUUUACUGUGUCCUACUUCACGAAUCACGAGGCAAAUCAAGUAGCCGGCAUGGCCUGGCCGGUGAGUGCCAUUGCACUUACUUGCCCCAGCAAUUUUCCGCGUGCAUUGUAGAAUUCUUUCUCCGAGUCCUGUGAAUUAAAGAUGGUGCAGACAAAAAUAUAUCCUAUAUGCGUACAUGUGCAUGAUCAGAACAUGUUUUUACGUGCGUCUACUAUAAAUCAUGACCAUUUUUAACACAAAUCAUGACCAUUCAUGAUUAGUGAAUCAUACUGUCUUAACUUAUGUGAAAUCAUGUGGAGUAAUAUAAUAUAAUAUAAUAAAUAGAUAGAUCCAUGUUGUAUUAUUUUUUGUUUACAAAAAAUAUCUGUCAUUACACAUUUUGAUUUAUGCAUUUGUUUACAAAAAAAACAGUAACAUUUCAUGGUGGAAAGUUUGUAUUGUUUCAUACUGAACACCAAUGUUUUCCUGUAAAAGAAAAUAAUGCCUACGCAUAUGCUUUUAUAUUAUUAUUAUUCUUUCAAACUUAUUCAUACAGUAUUUUUGAUUGUGCAACCAUAAUUUUUAUUGUCUCUCUCGUUCCACUACAUGCUCUUACUCAAUGAUUUUUUUAUAACGGGUGUUUUUAUUAACUCAAAAUAUAGUAUCAAGCGGAUACAAAACAUAAUGAGCCACACCUGGUCUCUGCAUAACUAAGAUGCACACAGCCAAAAGCAGAUGUCUGACAAAAAUAAGAUAAGAAAAUCGACAUAUCGACAACAGUGAGUCAUAUAGUCCCGACACUAUGCCCCCGUUGAAGGACGGGGUGGAGCGAUCUGGAGAUUAUGCUGCCCUCCAUGUUGAGUAAAUACCUCCCUGGCCACUUGUUCCAAACGCAUAGACGCCGCCACGAAUAAUGGUCGGUACUCUGUUCAGUGUAGCAUACACCAUGUAGGAAGUGAGUGCUCACUCCUAGUUACUAAAUUAUGUACACACUAGUAGAAAAAGGGCCAUUUGUCCCGGUUCGUAAGGCCCAUUUGUCCCAAUUGGGGAACCGGGACUAAAGGGUCGGUACUAAAGCCCUACACCUUUAGUCCCGGUUCUUACACCAACCGAGACAGAUGGGGCUCCACGUGGCCGCUACAGCUUGCCGUGGCAGGGGGGCCUUUUGUCCCGGUUGGUAGCACCAACCGGGACCAAUAAGCUACCACGCGUCCGCAUUUGAGGGGCUAGGGUUUUUGUUUUUUUUCUGAAGGGGGGGGGGUGGGUUUGUAUGGUUAAUUUUGGGGGGUUUCACAUAUUGUGUUAGGUAGCUAAUUAAUUAAUAGAGAGAAGUGUCCUCACUUAUCUCCGUGCUUGGUCGACGCUACGUACUAUACGUAUAGAGAGGCCCUCAACACGCUAGCCAGUAAGCAAAUGAAGUAAACCAUUAAGUACAGAAGUUCGUCAUGAACAUAUGCAUACAAACAUAAGUGAUAUCGACCUCUCCUUCUCCGAGAGAUAGGUCGAACAACAAGUUUCCGUAUAUCUAUCCGGCGCUACUAGCUACAUAUAUACAAUAUUAAGAUCUCUUACAAUAUAAUCCCCUAAUUAUAUAUGAACUCAGCUUCCAGAUGGUAUUCUCCGGCUUUAUUGAUGGCGUGGUCAAGAAAGAUUCCCUCCAAUUCCUCUUGAAUUGCUUUGAUGCGAUCUUGUGGUAGGAGUUCAUCUCGCAUCUGCCACAUCUAAUUUGAAGAAGGGGGUCAAUCACCAGUAGAAUAACAACCAUUUGUCCUGGUUCAUAAGGUUAAUUUGUCCCGGUUGGGGAACCGAGACUAAAGGGUCUUUACUAAAGCCCUACACCUUUAGUCCUGGUUCUUACACCAACUGGGACAGAUGGGCCUCCAUGUGGCUGCUGCGGCGAGCCCAGGCCGGAGGUCCUUUGGUCCCGGUUAGUGGCACUGAUACGUCUCCAACGUAUCUAUAAUUUUUGAUUGCUCCAUGCUAUUAUGUUAUCUAUUUUGGAUGUUAAUGGCUUUAUUUUACACCUUUAUAUCAUUUUUGGGACUAACCUACUAAUCGGAGGCCCAACCCAAAUUGUUGUUUUCUACCUAUUUUAGGUUUUCGAAGAAAAGGAAUAUCAAACGGAGUCCAAACGGAAUGAAACCUUCGAGAACGUGAUUUUCUCAAUGAACAUGAUUCAGGAGAAUUGGAGUGUGCUCCAAGAAACAAGGGAGGAAGGCACGAGGCAGGGGGCGCGCCUACCCCCUUGGGCGCGCCCUCCACCCUCGUGGGCCCUCCGCUGCUCCACCGACGUACUUCUUCCUCCUAUAUAUAUCCACGUACCCCCAAACAUCCAGGAGCACCACGAAAACCUAAUUCCACCGCUGCAACCUUCUGUACCCGAGAGAUCCCAUCUUGGGGCCUUUUCCGGAGGUCCACCGGAGGGGGCAUCGAUCAUGGAGGGCCUCUACAUCAACUCCAUGGCCUCUCCGGUGAUGUGUGAGUAGUUUACUUCAGACCUAGGGGUCUAUAGUUAUUAGCUAGAUGGCUUCUUCUUCUCUCUUUGGAUCUCAAUACAAAGUUCUCCUCGAUUUUCUUGGAGAUCUAUUUGAUGUAACCUUCUUUUGCGGUGUGUUUGUCGAGAUCCGAUGAAUUGUGGGUUUGUGAUCCAGAUUAUCUAUGAACAAUAUUUGAUUCUCCUAUGAAUUCUAGUAUGUAUGAUUGGUUUAUCUUUGCAAGUCUCUUCGAAUUAUCAGUUUGGUUUGGCCUACUAGAUUGAUUUCUUGCAAUGGGAGAAGUGCUUAGCUUUGGGUUCAAUCUUGCAGUGUUUGAUCCCAGUGACAGAAAGGGAACCGAUACGUAUUGUAUUGUUGCCAUCGAGGAUAAAAAGAUGGGGUUUAUAUCAUAUCGCAUGAGUUUAUCCCUCUACAUCAUGUCAUCUUCCUUAAAGCAUUACUAUGUUCUCUUGAACUUAAUACUCUAGAUGCAUGCUGGAUAGCGGUCCAUGUGUCGAGUAAUAGUAGUAGAUGCAGAAUCGUUUCGGUCUACUUGUCUCGGACGUGAUGCCUAUAUACAUGAUCAUACCUAGAUAUUCUCAUAACUAUGUUCAAUUCUGUACAAUAUGGUGCACGGGGUUACAUCGGCCUGCAAAGACAUUUCUGCGAUGUGAGACAUCCGAAAAGCAACGAAAACGGGAGAUUAUACAUUUAUUGAAGAGGGCAGGUGUGACAGAUACCGUGAGGGCGUCGAGCUCAGCCAAAGACGAUGGACAGCUGAGCACGGCCUGUGUCAGAGCCGGUGCGGGAGCAGGUGCAGGUGCAGGUGCUGGUGCAACGCUAGUCGAGCUGCUCCUGAAGAAGUCAACAAUGGGAAAGUCCGCUGCAUUUUUUCUGCAUUUUGCGUGCUCCAAUUGAAAAUGGCUGGAACCAAGACAGUAGACAUAUCUGCAACCACCUGUUUUCCGGCAGCUACCGCUGUCGCGACUGUCUCAGAUGAUUUCUUCUCAACCGCAAUCUCAACCUUCUUGUCGAUGUUUUAUUCGGUUAACCUCCAUCUUUCCUUUCUCUCCUCCGUGGUCUCACGGUAGUACUUCUUCCACGUGGCCCCGUCUCCGACACCGUGAACGCGUCCAUACGACGACCGAGUCUCCACGGGGAGUCCUUUCAAUAUGUUCAAUGCCCGGUUGAAUGGAGUGUCCCACUUGGGCCUUGCCAAUGCCUCAGACGGCGAGUCGCUUUCGGCCGCAAUCUUAUGCUGCUCUCUCUACAAAAGGAACACGGAUCAUUUACAAAUAUGACUAAACGUGCAGUCGAACUGAUCAGAAACUAAAAUUACCAGCAGUCUCAUGAACUCCGUCGUGAUCGGGUCCGUCUUGAAAACCUUCUUGACUGAGUCCCAAUGGUGUCGUGCCCUGAGGACGUCAUGCUCCUACGGGACGGUGAAGUCCGCCAAGGGGUCUGGGAUGCCAGAUUUUCGCGUUUCGUGUCCUCCUUGGCCCAUAUGGACCUCUUCCUGCCGUAACCACUGCUUCCGAGGUGGUGGCGCCCCAUGUUCCUUUGUGGAAGCCCCUUCAUGUACUUCGACUUUGUUUUGGCAGCUUCGGCCUCGCAAGCCGCCUUGAAUAUUUCAAAGUGUUCUCUAGUGAUUGUCAGAUUAUCCUUUACAAUCUCGGAGUAGGGUUGAUACGUCUCCAACGUAUCUAUUAUUUUUGAUUGCUCCAUGCUAUAUUAUCUACUGUUUUGGACAUUAUUGGGCUUUAUUAUCUACUUUUAUAUUAUUUUUGGGACUAACCUAUUAACCGGAGGCCCAGCCUAGAAUUGUUGUUUUUUGACUGUUUUAGGGUUUCGAAGAAAAGGAAUAUCAAACGGAGUCCAAACGGAAUGAAACCUUCGGGAACGUGAUUUUCUGAAUGAACAAGACCCUGGAGACUUGGACCCUACGUCAAGACACAAAAGAGGAGGACACGAGGUAGGGGGCGCGCCUAACCCCCCCCCCCCCUCGAGGCACGCCCUCCACCCUCGUGGGGCCCCUGUUGCUCCACCGACGUACUCCUUCCUCCUAUAUAUACCUACGUACUUCCAAACGAUCAGAUACGGAGCCAAAACCCUAAUUCCACUGCCGCAACUUUCUGUAUCCACGAGAUCCCAUUUGGUGCCUGUUCCGGAGCUCCGCCGGAGGGGGCAUCGAUCACGGAGGGCUUCUACAUCAACACCAUAGCCUCUCCGAUGAAGUGUGAGUAGUUCACCUCAGACGUACCGGUCCAUAUUUAUUACCUAGAUGGCUUCUUCUCUCUUUUUGGAUCUCAAUACAAUGUUCUCCCCCUCUCUUGUGGAGAACUAUUCGAUGUAAUCUUGUUUUUGCAGUGUGUUUAUUGAGAUUGAUGAAUUGUGGGUUUAUGAUCAAGUCUAUGUAUGAAUAAUAUUUGAAUCUUCUCUAAAUUCUUUUAUGUAUGAUUGUUUAUCUUUGCAAGUCUCUUCGAAUUAUCAGUUUGGUUUGGCCUACUAGAUUGAUCUUUCUUACAAUGGGAGAAGUGCUUAGCUUUGGGUUCAAUCUUGCGGUGUCCUUUCCCAAUGACAGUAGGGGCAGCAAGGCAUGUAUUGUAUUGUUGCCAUCGAGGACAACAAGAUGGGGUUUUCAUCAUAUUGCAUGAGUCUAUCCCUCUACAUCAUGUCAUCUUGCUUAAGGCGUUACUCUGUUUUUAACUUAAUACUCUAGAUGCAUGCUGGAUAGCGGUCGAUGAGUGAAACCUAUGGCCCCCGGGUCUAUCUUUAUCAUAUUAAUCUCCUACUACUUAGUUAUUUCCUUUGCUUUUUCCUUUGCCUUUAUUUUACUUUUGAUCUUUAUCACAAAAAUACCAAACAUAUUAUCUUUAUCAUAUCUAUCAGAUCUCACUCUCGUAAGUGGCUGUGUAGGGAUUGACAACCCCUAUUCGCGUUGGUUGCGAGGAUUUAUUUGUUUUGUGCAAGUACGAGAGACUCGCGCGUAGCCUCCUACUGGAUUGAUACCUUGGUUCUCAAAAACUGAGGGAAAUACUUACACUACUUUGCUGCAUCAUCCUUCCUCUUCGCGGAAAACCAACGUAGUGCUCAAGAGCUGGCAAUAAGGAUUUCUGGCGCCGUUGCCGGGGAGGUCUAAGCAAAAGUCAACAUACCAAGUACCCAUCACAUACCCUUAUCUCCUGCAUUACAUUAUUUUCCAUUUGCCUCUCGUUUUCCUCUCCCCCACUUCACCCUUGCCGUUUUAUUCGCCCUCUCUCUCUCUCUCUAUCCUCCCUCUCUUUCUCUAUUUGCCUCUUUUUUCCCACUUGCUUUCUGUUUGCUUGUGUGUUAGUUGCUUGCUUGUCACGAUGGCUCAAGAUAAUACUAAAUUACGUGACUUCACCAAUACCAACAACAAUGAUUUUAUUAACACUCCGAUUGCUCCUCUUACCGAUGCUGAAUCUUGAGAAAUUAAUACUGCUUUGCUGAAUCUUGUCAUGAAAGAUCUGUUUUUCGGCCUUCCUAGUGAAGAUGCCGCUACCCACCUAAAUAGAUUCGUUGAUUUGUGUGACAUGCAAAAGAAGAAAGGUGUGGAUAAUGAUAUUGUUAAAUUGAAGCUAUUUCCUUUUUCGCUUAGAGAUCGUGCUAAAGCUUGGUUUUCGUCUUUGCCUAAAAAUACUAUUGAUUCAUGGAAUAAGUGCAAAGAUGCUUUUAUCUCUAAGUAUUUUCCUCCUGCUAAGAUCAUCUCUCUUAGAAACGAUAUUAUGAAUUUUAAGCAACUUGAUCAUGAACAUGUUGCACAAGCUUGGGAGAGAAUGAAACUAAUGAUACGUAAUUGCCCUGCCCAUGGUUUAAAUUUGUGGAUGAUUAUACCAAAUUUUUAUGCCGGAUUGAACUUUGCUUCUAGAAAUCUUUUAGAUUAGGCCGCGGGAGGCACUUUUAUGGAAAUCACUUUAGGAGAAGCUACUAAACUCCUAGAUAAUAUUAUGGUUAAUUAUUCUCAACGGCAUACCGAAAGAUCUACUAAUAAAAACGUGCAUGCGAUAGAAGAAAUUAAUGUUUCGAGUGGAAAGAUGGAUGAACUUCUGAAAUUAUUUGCUAAUAAGAGUAUUUCUUCUGAUCCUAAUGAUAUGCCCUUGUCUACUUUGAUUGAGAAUAAUAAUUAAUCUAUGGAUGUGGAUUUUGUUGGUAGGAACAAUUUUGGUAACAACGCGUACAGAGGAAAUUUCAACCCUAGGCCUUAUCCUAGUAAUCUCUCUAAUAAUUAUGGUAAUUCCUACAACAAUUCUUAUGGAAAUUAUAAUAAGAUGCCCUCUGAUUUUGGAUCUAAUAUUAGAGAAUUUAUUACUUUCCAAAAGAAUUUCAAUGCUUUGAUUGAAGAAAAAUUGCUUAAGAUUGAUGAUUUGGCUAGGAACGUUGAUAGAAUUACUCUUGAUGUUGAUUCUUUGAAACUUAGAUCUAUUCCACCUAAGCAUGAUGUCAAUGAGUCUCUCAAAGCCAUGAGAAUUUCCAUUGAUGAGUGCAAAGAAAGAACCACUAGGAUGCGUGUUAAGAAAGAUGCCUUUAUAAGAGCGUGUUCUUCUAAUUCCUAUGAAAAUAAUGAUGAAGAUCAAAAAGUUAUUGAUGUCCUCCCUAUUAAAUCUUUGUUUUGCAAUAUGAAUCUUGAUAAUCAUGGGACUGAAUAUGAUCCACCUUUACCUAGAAGGCGUUCCAAUAAUUCAGAAUUUGUUGAUCUUGAUGCUAAAAUUGAUAAAGGUGGGAUUGAAGAAAUUAAAACCCUAGAUGUUGCUAAACCCACUAUUAUGGAUUUCAAGGAACUUAACUAUGAAAACUGCCCUUUGAUUGAUUGUAUAUCCUUGUUACAAUCCGUGCUAAAUUCUCCUCAUGCUUAUAGUCAAAAUAAAGCAUUUACUAAACAUAUUGUUGAUGCCUUGAUGCAAUCUUAUGAAGAAAAACUUGAAUUGGAAGUUUCUAUCCCUAUAAAGCUUUAUGAUGAGUGGGAACCAACUAUUAAAAUUAAAAUUAAAUAUCAUGAAUGCUAUGCUUUAUGUGAUUUGUGUGCUAGUGUUUCCACGAUUCCAUAGACUUUGUGUGAUUUGUUAGGUUUCCGUGAUUUUGAUGAUUGCUCUUUAAACUUGCACCUUGCGGAUUCCACUAUUAAGAAACCUAUGGGAAGAAUUAAUGAUGUUCUUAUUGUUGCAAAUAGCAAUUAUGUGCCCGUAGAUUUUAUUGUUCUUGACAUAGAUUGCAAUCUUUCAUGUCCUAUUAUUCUUGGUAGACCUUUCCUUAGAACGACUGGUGCAAUUAUUGAUAUGAAGGAAGGAAAUAUUAGAUUCCAAUUUCCAUUAAGGAAAGGCAUGGAACACUUUCCUAGAAAGUAAAUUAAAUUACCUUAUGAAUCUAUUAUGAUAGCCACUUAUGGAUUGCCUACCAAAGAUGGCAAUACCUAGAUCUAUCCUUGCUUGUUAUGCCUAGCUAGGGGCGUUAAACGAUAGCGCUUGUUGGGAGGCAACCCAAUUUUAUUUUUAUUCCUUGAUUUUUUCUCCUGUUUAGUAAUAAAUAAUUUAUAUAGCCUCUGUUUUGGUUCUGUUCUUUGUGUUUAAUUAGUGUUUGUGCCAAGUAGAACCGUUAGGAAGACUUGGGGAAAGUCUUGUUACACUUGCUGUAAAAAACUGAAACUUCAGCGCUCACGAGAACUGCUGCCAUUUUUAUUUGGAAAGUGCUAUGUAGUUAAUUAUUUUUCAGAUGAUUAACAGAUAAAUUCCUCACGUCCAGAAAUUUAUUUUAGAAUUUUUGGGGUUCCAGCUCUUGAGCUAGCUACAGAGUACUACAGGCUGUUCUGUUUUUGAAAGAUUCUGUUUUUCGUGUGUUGUUUGCUUAUUUUGAUGAACCUAUGGCUAGUAAAAUAGUUUAUAUACCAUAGAGAAAUUGGAAUACAGUAGGUAUAACACCAAUAUAAAUAAAUAAUGAGUUCAUUACAGUACCUUGAAGUGGUCUUUUAUUUUCUUUCGCUAACGGAGCUCAUGAGAUUUUCUACUUUAAGUUUUGUGUUGUGAAGUUUUCAAGUUUUGGGUAAAGAUUUGAUGGAUUAUGGAACAAGGAGUGACAAGAGCCUAAGCUUGGGGGUUCCCAUGGCACCCCCAAGAUAAUCUAAGUACACCUAAAAACCAAAGCUUGGGGAUGCGCCGGAAGUCAUCCCCUCUUUCAUCUACUUCUAUCGGUAACUUUACUUGGAGCUAUAUUUUUAUUCGCCACAUGAUAUGUGUUUUGCUUGGAGCGUCUUGUAUUAUUUGAGUCUUUAUUUGUUAGUUUACCACAAUCAUCCUUGCUGUACACACCUUUUGAGAGAGCCAUACAUGAUUUGGAAUUUGUUAGAAUACUCUAUGUGCUUCGCUUAUAUCUUUUGAGUUAUAUAGUUUUGCUCUAGUACUUCACUUAUAUCUUUUAGAGCACGGUGGUGGAUUUGUUUUAUAGAAACAAUUGAUCUCUCAUGCUCCACUUAGAUUAUUUUGAGAUUCUUAAUAGCAUGUUAAUUUGCUUAAAAUCCUAAUAUGCUAGGUAUUCAAAGUUAGUAAAAUUUUCUUAAGAGUGUUUUGAAUACUAAGAGAAGUUUGAUGCUUGAUGAUUGUUUUGAGAUAUGGAGGUAAUAAUAUCAAAGUCGUUCUCGUUGACUAGUUGUGAAAUUGAGAAAUACUUGUGUUGAAGUUUGCAUGUCCCGUAGCACGCACGUAUGGUAAACGUUGUGUAACAAAUUUGAAACAUGAGGUGUUAUUUGAUUGUCUUCCUUGUGAGUGGCGGUCGGGGACGAGCGAUGGUCUUUUCCUACCAAUCGAUCCCCCUAGGAGCAUGCGAAUAGUACCAAGGUUUUUGAUGACUUGUAGAUUUUUGCAGUAAGUAUGUGAGUUCUUUAUGACUAAUGUUGAGUCCAUGAAUUAUACGCACUCUCACCCUUCCAUCCUUGCUAGCCUCUUCGGUACCGUGCAUUGCCCUUUCCCACAUUGAGAGUUGGAGCAAACUUCGCCAGUGCAUCCAAACCCCGUGCUAUGAUACGCUCAUUCACACAUAAACCUCCUUAUAUCUUCCUCAAAACAGCCACCAUACCUACCUAUUAUGGCAUUUCCAUAGCCAUUCCGACAUAUAUUGCCAUGCAACUUUCCACCAUUCCGUUCAUCAUGACACAUUCAUCAUUGUCAUAUUGCGUAGCAUAAUCAUGUAGUUGACAUAGUAUUUGUGGCAAGGCCACCGUUCAUAAUUCAUUCAUACAUGUCACUCUUGGUCCAUUGCAUGUCCCGGUACACCGCCGGAGGCAUUCAUAUAGAGCCAUACUUUGUUCUAGUAUCGAGUAGUAAUUAUUGAGUCGUAAAUAAAUAGAAGUGUGAUGAUCAUCAUUAAUAGAGCAUGGUCCCAAAAAGAAAAAAAAGGAAGGGCCAAAAAAAGGCCAAAUAAAAAAAUAUAAAAAAGGGGGCAAUGCUACUAUCCUUUUUUUCCAAACUUGUGCUUCCAAGUAGCACCGUAAUCUUCAAGAUAGAGAGUCUCUUGAUUUGUCACUUUCAUAUACUAGUGGGAAUUUUUCAUUAUAGAACUUGGCUUGUAUAUUCCAACAAUGGGCGUCCCCAAGUUCCCUAGGUCUUCGUGAGCAAGCAAGUUGGAUGCACACCCACUUAGUUUCUUUUGUUGAGCUUUCAUACAUUUAUAGCUCUAGUGCAUCCGUUGCAUGGCAAUUCCUACUCCUUGCAUUAACAUCAAUCAAUGGGCAUCUCCAUAGCCCAUUGAUUAGCCUCGUUGAUGUGAGACUUUCUCCUUUUUGUCUUCUCCACAUAACCCCACUCAUUAGAUUCUAUUCCACCCAUAGUGUUAUGUCCAUGGCUUGCAAUCAUAUAUUGCGUGAAAGUUUAUAGGUUUGAGAUCACUAAAGUAUGAAACAAUUGCUUGGCUUGUCAUCGGGGUUGUGCAUGAUGAGAGCAUACUUGUGUGACGAAAAUGAAGCAUGACUAAACUAUAUGAUUUUGUAGGGGUGAACUUUCUUUGGCCAUGUUAUUUUGAGAAGACACAAUUGCUCAGUUAGUAUGCUUAAAGUAUUAUUAUUUUAUGUCAAUAUGAACUUUUGUCUUGAAUGUUUCAGAUCCGAAUAUUCAUACCACAAUUAAGAAGAAUUACAUUAAAAUCAUGCCAAGUAGCACUCCACAUCAAAAAUUCUGUUUUUAUCAUUUACCUACUCGAGGACGAGCCGGAAUUAAGCUUGGGGAUGCUUGAUACAUCUCCAACGUAUCUAUAAUUUUUGAUUGCUCCAUGCUAUAUUAUCUACUGUUUUGGACAAUAUUGGGCUUUAUUAUCCACUUGUAUAUUAUUUUUGGGACUAACCUAUUAACCGGAGGCCCAGCCCAGAAUUGUUGUUUUUUGCCUGUUUUAGGGUUUCGAAGAAAAGGAAUAUCAAACGGAGUCCAAACGGAAUGAAACCUUCGGGAACGUGAUUUUCUCAACGAACAAGAUCUAGGAGACUUGGACCCUCCAUCAAGACAUAAAAGAGGAGGCCACGAGGUAGGGGGCGUNNNNNNNNNNNNNNNNNNNNNNNNNNNNNNNNNNNNNNNNNNNNNNNNNNNNNNNNNNNNNNNNNNNNNNNNNNNNNNNNNNNNNNNNNNNNNNNNNNNNNNNNNNNNNNNNNNNNNNNNNNNNNNNNNNNNNNNNNNNNNNNNNNNNNNNNNNNNNNNNNNNNNNNNNNNNNNNNNNNNNNNNNNNNNNNNNNNNNNNNNNNNNNNNNNNNNNNNNNNNNNNNNNNNNNNNNNNNNNNNNNNNNNNNNNNNNNNNNNNNNNNNNNNNNNNNNNNNNNNNNNNNNNNNNNNNNNNNNNNNNNNNNNNNNNNNNNNNNNNNNNNNNNNUGGGCCCCCCUGUUGCUCCACCGACGUACUCCUUCCUCCUAUAUAUACCUACUAUUGGGGAACGUAGCAGAAUUUUAAAAUUUUCUACGCAUACCAAGAUCAAUCUAUGGAGUCAUAUAGCAACGAGGGAGAGAGGAGUGCAUCUACAUACCCUUGUAGAUCGCGCGCGGAAGCGUUCAAGAGAACGGGGUUGAUGGAGUCGUACUCGUCGUGAUCCAAAUCACCGAUGACCAAGUGCCGAAUGGACAGCACCUCCGCGUACAACACACGUACGGUUGGGAAGACGUCUCCUCCUUCUUGAUCCAGCAAGGGGGAAGGAGAGGUUGAUGAAGAUCCAGCAGCACGACGGCGUGGUGGUGGAUGCAGCAGGAUCCCGGCAGGGCUUCGCCAAGCGCAAGCGGGGAGGAGAGGUGUUACGGAAGGAGAGGGAGGCGCCAAGAGCAAGGGUGCGGCUGCCCUCCCUCCCCCCCCUCUUUAUAUAGGGGCCUUGGGGGGGCGCCGGCCCUAGGAGAUGGAUCUCCAAGGGGGGCGAAGGCCAAGGGGUGGCUUCCCCCCCAAGCCAAGUGGGGGGCGCCCCCACCCCUAGGGUUUCCCAACCCUAGGCGCAUGGGAGGCCCAAGGGGGGCGCACCAGCCCACUAGGGGCUGGUUCUGCUCCCAAUUCAGCCCAUGGGGCCCUCCGGGAUGGGUGGCCCCACCCGGUGGACCCCCGGGACCCUUCCGGUGGUCCUGGUACAAUACCGGUGACCCCCGAAACCUUCCCGAUGGCCGAAAUUGUACUUCCUAUAUAUAAAUCUUUACCUCCGAACCAUUCCGGAACUCCUCGUGACGUACGGGAUCUCAUCCGGUACUCCGAACAUAUCCUUGGUUACUACAUACUAAUAUCUCUACAACCCUAGCGUCACCGAACCUUAAGUGUGUAGACCCUACGGGUUCGGGAGACAUGCAGACAUGACAGAGACGCCUCUCCGGUCAAUAACCAACAGCGGGAUCUGGAUACCCAUGUUGGCUCCCACGUGCUCCACGAUGAUCUCAUCGGAUGAACCACGAUGUCGAGGAUUCAAUCAAUCUGUGUAGAAUUCCCUUUGUCAAUCGGUACGUUACUUGCCCGAGACUCGAUCGUCGGUAUCCCAAUACCUCGUUCAAUCUCGUUACCAGCAAGUCACUUUACUCGUGCCGUAAUGCAUGAUCCCAUGAUCAACCACUUGGUCACAAUGAGCUCAUUAUGAUCAUGCAUUACCGAGUGGGCCCAGAGAUACCUCUCCGUCAUACGGAGUGACAAAUCCCAGUCUCGAUUCGUGCCAACCCAACAGACACUUUCGGAGAUACCUGUAAUGUACCUUUAUAGUCACCCAGUUACGUUGUGACGUUUGGCACACCCAAGGCACUCCUACGGUAUCCGGGAGUUGCCCAAUCUCAUGGUCUAAGGAAAUGAUACUUGACAUUCGGAAAAGCUACAGCAAACGAACUACACGAUCUUUGAGCUAUGCUUAGGAUUGGGUCUUGUCCAUCACAUCAUUCUCCUAAUGAUGUGAACCCGUUAUCAAUGACAUCCAAUGUCCAUAGUCAGGAAACCAUGACUAUCUUUUGAUCAACGAGCUAGUCAACUAGAGGCUCACUAGGGACGUGUUGUCGUCUAUGUAUUCACACAUGUAUUACGAUUUCCGGAUAACACAAUUAUAGCAUGAAAAAUAGACAAUUAUCAUGAACAAAGAAAUAUAAUAAUAACCAUUUUAUUAUUGCCUCUAGGGCAUAUUUCCAACAGUCUCCCACUUGCACUAGCGUCAGUAGUCUAGUUACAUUUUGAUGAAUCCAACACCCAUGAAGUUCUGGAGUUGAUCAUGUUUUGCUCUAGGGAGAGGUUUAGUCAAUGGAUCUGCCACAUUCAGGUCCGUAUGUACUUUACAAAUCUCUAUGUAUCCAUUUUGAACACUUUCAUGAAUGGAGUUGAAGUGACGCUUGAUAUGCCUGGUCUUCCUGUGAAAUCUGGGCUCCUUGGCAAGUGCAAUAGCUCCAGUGUUGUCACAGAAUAGAGUCAUCGGGCCCGGUGCAUUGGGUGUGACUCCUAGGUCGGUAAUGAACUCCUUCACCCAGAUUGCUUCUUGUGCUGCCUCCGAGGCUGCCAUGUACUCUGCUUCACAUGUAGAUCCCGCCACAACGCUUUGCUUGCAACUCCACCAGCUUACUGCCCCACCAUUCAAAAUAUACACGUAUCCGGUUUCCGACUUAGAGUCAUCCAGAUCUGUGUCGAAGCUAGCAUCAACGUAACCCUUUACGACGAGCUCUUCGUCACCUCCAUAAACGAGAAACAUAUCCUUAGUCCUUUUUAGGUACUUGAGGAUAUUCUUGACUGCUGUCUAGUGUUCCAUGCCGGGAUUACUUUGGUACCUUCCUACCAAACUUACGGCAAGGUUUUCAUCAGGUCUGGUACACAGCAUAGCAUACAUGAUAGACCCUAUGGCCGAGGCAUAGGGGAUGACACUCAUCUUUUCUCUAUCUUCUGUCGUGGUCGUGCAUUGAGCCUCGCUCAAUCUCGUACCUUGCAAUACAGGCAAGAACCCUUCUUUUACUGAUCCAUUUUGAACUUCUUCAAUAUCUUAUCAAGGUAUGUACUCUGUGAAAGACCAAUGAGGCGUCUCGAUCUAUCUCUAUAGAUCUUGAUGCCUAAUAUAUAAGCAGCUUCUCCAAGAUCCUUCAUUGAAAAACACGUGUUCAAGUAGGCCUUUAUGCUUUCCAAGAAUUCUAUAUCAUUUCCCAUCAACAAUAUGUCAUCCACAUCCAAUAUGAGAAAUGCUACAAAGCUCCCACUCACUUUCUUGUAAAUGCAGACUUCUCCAUAAGUAUGCGUAAACCCAAACGCUUUGAUCAUCUCAUCAAAACGAAUGUUCCAUCUCCGAGAUGCUUGCACCAGCCCAUAAAUCGAAUGUUGGAGCUUGUACACCUUGUCAGCAUUCUUAGGAUCGACAAAACCUUCCGGCUGCAUCAUAUACAAUUCUUCCUUAAGGAAACCAUUAAGGAAUGUUGUUUUGACGUCCAUUUGCCAUAUUCAUAAUCAUAGAAUGCGGCAAUUGCUAACAUCGUAGUCAACCCCUUGAACUUGCCGAUAACCCUUAGCGACAAGCCGAGCUUUAUAGAUGGUCACAUUACCAUCCGCGUCUGUCUUCUUCUUAAAGAUCCAUUUAUUUUCUAUGGCUCGCCGAUCAUCGGGCAAGUCAGUCAAAGUCCAUACUUUGUUUUCAUACAUGGAUCUUAUCUCGGAUUUCAUGGCUUCCAGCCAUUUGUUGGAAUUCAGGCCCGCCAUCGCUUCUUCAUAGUUCGAAGUUCACCGUUGUCUAACAACAUGAUUUCCAAGACAGGGUUGCCGUACCACUCUGGUGCGGGACGUGUCCCCGUGGACCUACGAAGUUCAGUAGCAACUUGAUCUGAAGUUUCAUGAUCAUCAUCAUCAAUUUCCUCUCUAGUCGUUGCAGGCACCUUAGGAACAUUUUCUUGAGCUGCGCCACUUACCGGUUCAAGAGGUAAUAAUACUUCAUCAAGUUCUACUUUCCUCCCACUUAUUUCUUUCGAGAGAAACUCUUUCUCUAGAAAGGACCCAUUCUUGGCAACAAAGAUCUUGCCUUCGGAUCUGAGGUAGAAGGUAUACCCAAUAGUUUCUUUAGGGUAUCCUAUGAAGACGCAUUUUUCCAAUUUGGGUUCGAGCUUUUCAGGUUGAAGUUUCCUUACAUAAGCAUCGCAUCCCCAAACUUUUAGAAAUGACAUCUUAGGUGUCUUCCCAAACCAUAAUUCAUACGGUGUCAUCUCAACGGAUUUCGACGGAGCCCUAUUUAAAGUGAAUGCGGCAGUCUCUAAAGCAUAGCCCCAAAAUGACAGCGGUAAAUCGGUAAGAGACAUCAUAGAUCGCACCAUAUCUAAUAGAGUGCGAUUAUGACAUUCCGACACACCAUUACGCUGAGGUGUUCCAGGCGGCGUGAGUUGUGAAACUAUUCCACAUUUUCUUAAGUGUGUGCCAAAUUCGUGACUCAAGUAUUCUCCCCCACGAUCUGAUCGCAAGAACUUGAUUUGCCUGUCACGUUGAUUCUCAACCUCACUUUGAAAUUCCUUGAACUUUUCAAAGGUCUCAGACUUGUGUUUCAUUAAGUAGACAUACCCAUAUCUACUCAAGUCAUCAGUGAGGGUGAGAACAUAACGAUAGCCACCGCGCCUCAACACUCAUUGGACCGCACACAUCAGUAUGUAUGAUUUCCAAUAAGUUGGUUACUCGCUCCAUUGUUCCUGAGAACGGAGUCUUGGUCAUUUUACCCAUGAGGCAUGGUUCGCACGUGUCAAAUGAUUCGUAAUCAAGAGACUUUAAAAGUCUAUCUGCAUGGAGCUUCUUCAUGCGUUUGACACCUAUGUGACCAAGGCGGCAAUGCCACAAGUAUGUGGGACUAUCAUUAUCAACCUUACAUCUUUUGGUAUUCACACUAUGAAUAUGUGUAACAUUAUGCUCGAGAUUCAUUAAGAAUAAACCAUUCACCAAUGGAGCAUGACCAUAAAACAUAUCUCUCAUAUAAAUAGAACAACCAUUAUUCUCGGAUUUAAAUGAGUAGCCAUCUCAAAUUAACCGAGAUCCUGAUACAAUGUUCAUGCUCAAAGCUGGCAGUAAAUAACAAUUAUUGAGGUUUAAAACUAAUCCCAUAGGCAAAUGUAGAGGCAGCGUGCCGACGGCGAUCACAUCAACCUUGGAACCAUUCCCGACGCACAUCGUCACCUCGUCCUUCGCCAGUCUCCGUUUAAUCCGCAGCUCCUGCUUUGAGUUACAAAUGUGAGCAACUGCACCGGUAUCAAAUACCCAGGAGCUACUACGAGUACUGGUAAGGUACACAUCAAUUACAGGUAUAUCACAUAUACCUUUAGUGUUGCCGGCCUUCUUGUCCGCUAAGUAUUUGGGGCAGUUCCGCUUCCAGUGACUACUUCCCUUGCAAUAAAAACACUCAGUCUCGAGCUUGGAUCCAUUCUUUGGCUUCUUCCCGGAAACUUGCUUAGCGGGCGCGGCAACUCCCUUGCCGUCCUUCUUGAAUUCUUCUUACCCUUGCCUUUCUUGAACUUAGUGGUUUUAUUCACCAUCAACACUUGAUGUUCCUUUUUGAUUUCCACCUCUGCUGAUUUCAGCAUUGAAUAUACCUCAGGAAUGGUCUUUUCCAUCCCCUGCAUAUUGAAGUUGAUCACAAAGCUCUUGUAGCUCGGUGGAAGCGACUGAAGGAUUCUGUCAAUGACCGCGUCAUUCGGGAGGUUAACUCCCAGCUGAGUCAAGCGGUUAUGCAACCCAGACAUUUUGAUUAUGUGCUCACUGACAGAACUAUUUUCCUCCAUCUUAUAGCUGAAGAACUUGUCGGAGACUUCAUAUCUCUCGACCCGGGCAUGAGCUUGAAAAACCAUUUUCAGCUCUUCGAACAUCUCAUAUGCUCCAUGUCUCUCAAAAUGCUUUUGGAGCCCCGGUUCUAAGCUGUAAAGCAUGCCGCACUGAACGAGGGAGUAAUCAUCAGCACGUAACUGCCAAGCGUUGAUAAUGUCUUGGUUCUCUGGGACAGGUGCGUGACCUAACGGUGCUUCUAGGACAUAAUAUUUCUUGGCAGCUACGAGGAUGAUCCUCAGGUUCCGGACCCAGUCCGUAUAGUUGCUGCCAUCGUCUUUCAGCUUGGUUUUCUCUAGGAACGCGUUGAAAUUGAGGACAACGUGGGCCAUUUGAUCUACAAGACAUAUUGUAAAGAUUUUAGACUAAGUUCAUGAUAAUUAAGUUCAUCUAAUCAAAUUAUACAAUGAACUCCCACUCAGAUAGACAUCCCUCCAGUCAUCUAAGUGAAACAUGAUCCAAGUUAACUAGGCUGUGUCGGAUCAUCACGUGAAACGGACUAGUCAACAUCGGUGAACAUCUUCAUGUUGAUCGUAUCUUCUAUACGACUCAUGCUCGACCUUUCGGUCUUCUGUGUUCCGAGGCCAUGUCUGUACAUGCUAGGCUCGUCAACUAAACCUAAGUGUAUUGCGUGUGUAAAUCUGGCUUACACCCGUUGUAUUCGAACGUUAGAAUCUAUCACACUCGAUCAUCACGUGGUGCUUCGAAACAACGAACCUUCGCAACGGUGCACAGUUAGGGGGAACACUUUCUUGAAAUUAUUUCGAGGGAUCAUCUUAUUUAAGCUACCGUCGUUCUAAGCAAAUAAGAUGUAAAACAUGAUAAACAUCACAUGCAAUCAAAUAGUGACAUGAUAUGGCCAAUAUCAUUUGCUCCUUUUGAUCUCCAUCUUUGGGGCUCCAUGAUCAUCGUUGUCACCAGCAUGACACCAUGAUCUCCAUCAUCAUGUCUUCUUGAAGUUGUCUCGUCAUCUAUUACUUCUACUACUAUGGCUAAUGCUUUAGCAAUAAAGUAAAGUAAUUACAUGACGUUUAUGUUGACACGCAGGUCAUAAAAAAAUAAAGACAACUCCUAUGGCUCCUGCCGGUUGUCAUACUCAUCGACAUGCAAGUCGUGAUUCCUAUUACAAGAACAUGAUCAAUCUCAUACAUCACAUAUAUCAUUCAUCACAUCCUUUUGGCCAUAUCACAUCAGACGGCACAUGCUGCAAAAACAAGUUAGACGUCCUCUAAUUGUUGUUGCAAGUUUUUACAUGGCUGCUAUAGGUUUCUAGCAAGAACGUGUCUUACCUACGCCAAAACCACAACGUGAUAUGCCAAUUUCUAUUUACCCUUCAUAAGGACCCUUUUCAUCGAAUCCGAUCUAACUAAAGUGGGAGAGAUAGACACCCGCCAGCCACCUUAUGCAAGUAAUGCAUGUCAAUCGGUGGAACCAGUCUCACGUAAGCGUACGUGUAAGGUCGGUCCGGGCCGCUUCAUCCCACGAUGCCGCCGAAUCAAGAUAAGACUAGUAACGGCAAGCAAAGUGACAAUAUCCACGCCCACAACUGCUUUGUGUUCUACUCGUGCAUAGAAACUACGCAUAGACCUGGCUCAUGAUGCCACUAUUGGGGAAUGUAGCAGAAUUUUAAAAUUUUCUACGCAUCACCAAGAUCAAUCUAUGGAGUUAUCUAGCAAUGAGGAAGAGAGGAGUGCAUCUACAUACCCUUGUAGAUCGCGCGCGGAAGCGUUCAAGAGAACGGGGUUGAUGGAGUCGUACUCGUCGUGAUCCAAAUCACCGAUGACCAAGUGCCGAACGGACAGCACCUCCGCGUUCAACACACGUCCGGUUGGGAAGACGUCUCCUCCUUCUUGAUCCAGCAAGGGGGAAGGAGAGGUUGAUGAAGAUCCAGCAGCACGACGGCGUGGUGGUGGAUGCAACAGGAUCCCGGCAGGGCUUCGCCAAGCGCAAGCGGGGAGGAGAGGUGUUACGGAGGGAGAGAGAGGCGCCAAGAGCAAGGGUGCGGCUGCCUUCCCUCCCCCCUCUUUAUAUAGGGGCCAUGGCGGGCGCCGGCCCUAGGAGAUGGAUCUCCAAGGGGGGCGAAGGCCAAGGGGUGGCUCCCCCCCCCAAGCCAAGUGGGGGGCGCCCCCACCCCUAGGGUUUCCCAACCCUAGGCGCAGGGGAGGCCCAAGGGGGCGCACCAGCCCACUAGGGGCUGGUUCCCCUCCCAAUUCAGCCCAUGGGGCCCUCCGGGAUGGGUGGCCCCACCCGGUGGACCCCCGGGACCCUUCCGGUGGUCCCGAUACAAUACCGGUUACCCCCGAAACCUUCCCGAUGGCCGAAACUGUACUUCCUAUAUAUAAAUCUUUACCUCCAAACCAUUUCAGAACUCCUCGUGACGCCCGGGAUCUCAUCCGGGACUCCGAACAACUUUCGGCUUACUACAUACUAAUAUCUAUACAACCCUAGCGUCACCGAACCUUAAGUGUGUAGACCCUACGGGUUUCGGAGACAUGCAGACAUGACUGAGACGCCUCUCCAGUCAAUAACCAACAGCGGGAUCUGGAUACCCAUGUUGGCUCCCACAUGCUCCACGAUGAUCUCAUCGGAUGAACCACGAUGUCGAGCAUUCAAUCAAUCUGUAUACAAUUCCCUUUAUCAAUCAGUACGUUACUUGCCCGAGACUCGAUCGUCAGUAUCCCAAUACCUUGUUCAAUCUCGUUACCGGCAAGUCACUUUACUCAUACCAUAAUGCAUGAUCCCGUGAUCAACCACUUGGUCACAUUGAGCUCAUUAUGAUGAUGCAUUACCGAGUGGGCCCAGAGAUACCUCUUCAUCACGCGGAGUGACAAAUCCCAGUCUCGAUUCAUGCCAACCCAAUAGACACUUUCGGAGAUACCUGUAAUGUACCUUUAUAGUCACCCAGUUACGUUGUGACGUUUGGCACACCCAAGGCACUCCUACGGUAUCCGGGAGUUUCACAAUCUCAUGGUCUAAGGAAAUGAUACUUGACAUUCGGAAAAGCUACAGCAGAUGAACUACACGACCUUUGAGCUAUGCUUAGGAUUGGGUCUUGUCCAUCACAUCAUUCUCCUAAUGAUGUGAUCCCAUUAUCAAUGACAUCCAAUGUCCAUAGUCAGGAAACCAUGACUAUCUUUUGAUCAACAAGCUAGUCAACUAGAGGCUCACUAGGGACGUGUUGUGGUCUAUGUAUUCACACAUGUAUUACGAUUUCCGGAUAACACAAUUAUAGCAUGAACAAUAGACAAUUAUCAUGAACAAAGAAAUAUAAUAAUAACCAUUUUAUUAUUGCCUCUAGGGCAUAUUUCCAACACCUACGUACCCCCAAACGAUCAUAUACGGAGCCAAAACCCUAAUUCCACCGCCGCAACUUUCUGUAUCCACGAGAUCCCAUCUUGGGGCCUGUUCCGGAGCUCCGCCAGAGGGGGCAUCGAUCACGGAGGGCUUCUACAUCAACACCAUAGCCUCUCUGAUGAAGUGUGAGUAGUUCACCUCAGACCUACGGUUCCAUAGUUAUUAGCUAGAUGGCUUCUUCUCUCUUUUUGGAUCUCAAUACAAUGUUCUCCCCAUCUCUUGUGGAGAACUAUUCGAUGUAAUCUUCUUUUUGCGGUGUGUUUGUUGAGACCGAUGAAUUGUGGGUUUAUGAUCAAGUCUAUCUAUGAAUAAUAUUUGAAUCUUCUCUGAAUUGUUUUAUGUAUGAUAGGUUAUCUUUGCAAGUCUCUUCGAAUUAUCAGUUUGGUUUGGCCUACUAGAUUGAUCUUUCUUGCAAUGGGAGAAGUGCUUAGCUUUGGGUUCAAUCUUGCGGUGUCCUUUCCCAGUGACAGUAGGGGCAGCAAGGCACGUAUUAUAUUGUUGCCAUCGAGGACAACAAGAUGGAGUUUUCAUCAUAUUGCAUGAGUCUAUCCCUCUACAUCAUGUCAUCUUGCUUAAGGCGUUAAUCUGUUUUUAACUUAAUACUCUAGAUGCUUGCUGGAUAGCGAUCGAUUAGUGGAGUAAUAGUAGUAGAUGCAGGCAGGAGUCGGUCUACUUGUCUCGGACGUGAUGCCUAUAUACAUGAUCAUACCUAGAUAUUCUCAUAACUAUGCUCAAUUCUGUCAAUUGCUCAACAAUAAUUUGUUCACCCACCGUAGAAUAUUUAUGCUCUCGAGAGAAGCCACUAGUGAAACCUAUGGCCCCGGGUCUAUCUUUAUCAUAUUAAUCUCCUACUACUUAGUUAUUUCCUUUGCUUUUUACUUUGCCUUUAUUUUACUUUGCAUCUUUAUCACAAAAAUACGAAAAAAAUUAUCUUUAUCAUAUCUAUCAAAUCUCACUCUCGUAAGUGGCCGUGUAGGAAUUGACAACCCCUAUUCGCGUUGGUUGCGAGGAUUUAUUUGUUUUGUGCAGGUACGAGGGACUCGCGCGUAGCCUCCUACUGGAUUGAUACCUUGGUUCUCAAAACCUGAGGGAAAUACUUACGCUACUUUGCUGCAUCAUCCCUUCCUCUUCGGGGAAAACCAAGGCAGUGCUCAAGAGGUAGCAAGGGUUCCUUUUUGUCGACGAUCCGAUGUUUCAACCCUGUUUUCCAGGUGGCCAACGCGUCGCUAAACUUGGUGACGGCGUGUUUGUUUAUCUUCUUCAUUGCCAGGUCCUUAUCUGGAUCUUUAUUAUCCUUUUCACUGCGGUCUGGGAACAAGAUUAUCUGGUGCAGUUUCUUAAGGAGGGAGGGCCUCAUAUUAUCUAUCUUCUGUAGUUUCCCAUCGUUGAUCGUGGCAGUUGUCCGUACGAUGCAACCUAUUUGAUUGCCGUAGCACGAUCGCGCUUCCUCGGGCGCUAUUGUCUCAAAAAUACCGCCGUCCAUCUCCGUGACCGCCAGUCUACUACUCAUGAGCUGGUUUGGGCGCUGUGGCCUCUUUGCUUUCGGUUCUAGACCAGCUCCGCUAGUCUCGGCGCCUGUCUCAGUUUCAUCAUCGGUCCGCAUGUCGGUAUCAGUCCCCGAUGCGACACCACAGUUGCUGCAACAUGGGUAAGGGAGACCACGUCAGUGGUGGGGGGUCUGAAAAUCAGAACACACUUUCGCGCGUCGCGGGCCGCCUCUCAGACAGCUACUGGGGAGGCGGUGGAGUACCUGGGUGCGCGGCGAAUCCCCGGGAACUCGGUGACCAACUUCCUUCCCGUGUGGCGCAUGGAGACGACGGCGACCCCGGCGAAGAGCAGCUUAGCCGCGAGCUGCACAGCCUCGUCCACCUCCUAAGUUGGGACCUCCGCGCGAGCGUUGCGGGGCCGCCACUCGGAUGGCUUCUGGAAGGCGGUUGUACAUGGGCACAUGGUGAAUCCCGGCGAGAGCUGGCCAUUGGCGCGCGCAAGUAGACGACGAUGUCCUCGAAGAAGAGCAGCCCGGCCAGCUCGCCUCACUAUCCUUUGAUUAGAAAUGAAAGAUUGGGAAGAAGCAGACUUGAGCCUGCAGGGAAAGGAUAAGGUGACGAUGCAGUCUCCACUCGUUCGGGGCGACACUCGUACUGAAUGUAUGAGAAACGUGACGUGGCAGAGACCCCAAGAUACUCCCUCCAUUUAUUUUUAGUCUGCAUAUAAAGUUUGGUCAAAGUCAAGAUUUGUAAAUUUUAACUAACUUUAUAAUAAAAAAAUAUCAACAUUCACAAUAUGAAAUCAAUAUUACCAGAUGCGUCAUGAAAUGUAUUUCCAUACUAUAUAGUUUUGGUAUUGUAGAUGUUCAUAUUUUUUUAUAUAUAUGGGAAGUAGAGGCACUCUUCUAUAUAAUGAAGUUUAUAAUAUAUGUGCUUAUAUUGUACUAUAAUUGUUUGAAUAACUUAGCAUAUAUUCAGAUGUAUGAUAUCUGUAAUUUAAACGCUUGAAUUUUACAUAUGAAUAUUUAUUAAUAAAUAUGUACCCCUAUAAUAGCUAGGCCGUGCAGUUGCACGGGUAGAUGACUAGUGAUUACAAUCUUGCUUGUGUGCAAGUCAAGCUUAUCUAGUUUACACGUAACAACUUAUAGAACAUUACAAAAUUUAUGCUUGCUAAUAACUUCUAGAACACUACAACACUUGACAUGUAAAAGGAAUUUGAUGAGUCAUGGCCUACUAAAGCAAGUUACAUUACUAGUCUUAUCUAUCUUAACAGACCACACAAGAUUACAAACUAUGUACCGUGACAGCCAUGCUUAUCUAGUUUAUGCGUAACAAUUUGCAGAAAAUUACAAACUUAGUUUCAGAAAGAUAGGCAAUCUAGAUUAGUGUUUGAGCUGUAAAGUGAAUAAGAUGAGUCAUGCAUGUCAUCACACCUUUUUGGUGGUGGAAUGAUAGUGCAACAACAAGGAACUUUAAUGACCAGUCCAAGAAUACACUUGUAAGUAGUGCCACCAAACAGAACAUACCAAAUGAUGAUUUUGAGAAGCAUCCAAGCACUUUCCACACAAACAAAUGCCAAUUGUGAAAGAGAUCAUUCCAUGGCAGCUAUAAAUAGCCCCAUAGCAUGACGAUCAUCCUUCCUCAUCCAUCAUUCUCAUAAGUAGAGCACAUCAUUUAAGCCAAGCAAGUUGUGGUCAAUACAAAUCCACCAUGAAGACCUUUCUCAUCCUUGCCCUCCUUGCUAUCGUGGCGACCACCGCCACAACUGCAGUUAGAGUUCCAGUGCCACAAUUGCAGCCACAAAAUCCAUCUCAGCAACAGCCACAGGAGCAAGUUCCAGUGGUACAACAACAACAAUUUCUAGGGCAGCAACAACCAUUUCCACCACAACAACCAUAUCCACAGCCGCAACCAUUUCCAUCACAACAACCAUAUCUGCAGCUGCAACCAUUUCCGCAGCCGCAACUACCAUAUUCGCAGCCACAACCAUUUCAACCACAACAACCAUAUCCACAACCGCAACCACAGUAUUCGCAACCACAACAACCAAUUUCACAGCAGCAGCAGCAGCAGCAGCAGCAGCAACAACAACAACAACAACAACAACAACAACAACAACCACAACAAAUCCUUCAACAAAUUUUGCAACAACAACUGAUUCCAUGCAUGGAUGUUGUAUUGCAGCAACACAACAUAGCGCAAGGAAGAUCACAAGUUUUGCAACAAAGUACUUACCAGCUGUUGCAAGAAUUGUGUUGUCAGCACCUAUGGCAGAUCCCUGAGCAGUCGCAGUGCCAGGCCAUCCACAAUGUUGUUCAUGCUAUUAUUCUGCAUCAACAACAAAAACAACAACAACAACAACAACAACAACAACCAUCGAGUCAGGUCUCCUUCCAACAGCCUCAGCAACAAUAUCCAUUAGGCCAGGGCUCCUUCCGGCCAUCUCAGCAAAACCCACAGGCCCAGGGCUCUGUCCAGCCUCAACAACUGCCCCAGUUCGAGGAAAUAAGGAACCUAGCGCUACAGACACUACCUGCAAUUUGCAAUGUCUACAUCCCUCCAUAUUGCACCAUCGCGCCAUUUGGCAUCUUCGGUACUAACUGAGAAGAAAAUAACUCUAGUACUAGAUAUAUGAAACACCGUUUUCUCAGUCCAUGGUUUGGUCGUUGUAGCGGUGAAAAAAUAAUGUGGCAUGCACUAUCAUGUAAGAACCCAAACUAUACUAGUUCAAACUUGGGAAUAAAAGACAAACACAGGUCUUGUCUACAUAUUUAUGUCGCAUCUAUUUAUAUAUUAAAAGUAAUAUAAGGUGAACCAGGAGCAAGGUAAAUAUGCUAGAAAAUUGCACGUUAAUUAGAAAUUACUAGCCCUCAAUCCGGUAAAUCUUAACAAAUAGAAUUAUCUUGACCGUUAGAUUUAUGUAACAUAUAUAAUUCUCUGGGCCUCCAACGACUGUACGUGACACAUCUGAACGCACAUAUGUUAAAGAAAAUAUAUUUGGUAAAUGGUGGGCCUCUUUAAAAAGAGAACUCACGUACAUGCACCAACUAAGAAAAACACAUACAUGUAAACGGGAAAAGGGCUCCACCCCGUUGAAAAAAUAUACAUCUGGAGGCCACUUUGUUUCCUCAUAAAAAAAAACUUACGUUAAAAAGAUUGCAUGCAUCCCAGGGAAAAUAGUCAAGAAGAAGUCGGACUCUUCCUUACAAAAACAAGGAACGUGUUAAGUUGACUUCAAAGAAAAAAGGAACAUGUUAAGUUAAAAAAAACAAGAAACCUGUUAAGUUAGAAAAAAACAAGGAACGUGUUGUCCUAGGAAAGAUAUGUGUCAAAUCUUACAAAAAAAAGAAUACACACACGUACGUUCAUGCACUUGGAAAAUAGAAAAAAAAAGGAACAUCACGUAUGUAUACACUUCGGAAACUCAUUACAUGACCAUGUCUGAUAUACUCCUCUAAUGCUUAAUAUUAGUGCCUAAUAAUUUAUAUUUAAAAUUUAAUUUACUGAUCAAAUAUCCCCACUGUUUAAAUUUUAAUUUGGCACAUUGUUUGGCUAUAGUAUGAACCUAAAUUUCCUCUUAUUAUUAUAUAUCAUGAUAAUAAUCCAAAGGCGACUAAUCUGCGCCGGCGCACCGGCGCAAUCAAUUCGGCCCGACACAGCGCGGCCGUUUGAUUAAAUUGCAUUUAACCGUCAGAUCUAGAAUCAUUUUAUUUCCAAUUAAACGGAUUCAACCAAACAGCAGAGGGGAAAACAAAGCAGCACCGCCGCCAACACUAGUCAUGGACGACCGAUGUAGCAAAACCUUGAAGAACCGCCGCCGGUCGCCACCCUCGCCGCUGGUCGCCGCCCUCGCCGCCUGCGUUUCUCAUCGGCUUCAUGCAUGCAACAACAUGCACUCGUGAUUGCAGGCUUGCAGCUCCGGCUCCGGGGGACAUGGCCGCAUCUCCGGUAGCGCCGGCCGCCAGCCGCAGCACCUGUCGUUGUGGUCACGCUGUACCUCGCCGUGUGCCCUCCCAAGGCUCUUGCUGGUUCCAACAAAAAACGAUACCUAUUGUAGCAAAAAAGUUUAUCGCUUCCAGCAAAAAAGCUUACCGCUAUAGCCCGCCAUCAUCAUUGUAGCAAAAAUGUUAACUCGAUGUAGCUUCUGUGGUUGCCGACUGCGGCCAAAAAUGACGUGGUUGUAGCAAAACACAAAAGAAAAACGCCGGCCGUCCGCUGUGUAUGGUGGUAACAAACCCUAUAGCCGGUGGUAGCGAAAAACUUCACUGUUUGCAGCAAAAAAAUGUUGUCGCCCGUCGUCGAGGUUGCAUCAUCUUCAUGAAUUAUGUCGCAAAAAAACGUUGUCGCCGGUAGUAGCAAAUGAAGCCGCCGGUAGUAACAAAACAAGACACUGGUUCCAGCCAAAAAAAUCAGCGACAGAACCUUUUGUUGGUUCCAACAAAAAAACUUGUCGGUUGUAACAUCCCUCGCCGCCGGAUGUAGCAUCUCCCAGGGCUAGUUGCAACACUCCAUAAAAAAAGUUGUCUAUGAGCGCAUCCAUGGCAACUGCUGCACCGUCAGCAACGAGGGGAAGAGGAGGCAAUGAAAAUCGUUCGAGUCGUAGCUCCACUGGACACGGCUGCAGCAUGGGGAGUCCAAAAAUCUGUCACAAGCAAGAUGCGCCUCGCCAUCCUCCUGCGCAGGAGAGAGAAGAAAAAGGAAUAAGAGGAAGAAGAAACGAAACGGGAGAAAGAAAAAAAGAAACGAUUGGUUGUGGGCUCAGGCAAUUAGUCAAAUGAGGGGCACGCGGGGCCGUAGGAUACAGCGCAAUCGAACGAAGUGCGCGCGUCCGGCCGAAGACUCAGCUGGACUGCCGGUCCAGCUGGAAAUGUUUCCCUAAUACAAAGGCUUUUCUGAAUGACAAGUCGUCUGAGUUAUCGGCUAACUAGAAAAAAGAUAAAUAUGCUAGAUAAUUCCAUAAUAAUUAGAAAUAUCUAGCCUUUAAUUAUGUAAAUCAGAAAAUCACAACCGUUGGAUUUACUUUAAAGGUAAAUUUCUCUAAAUUCCCACCAUUGCCAGUAUGUAGAAACAUGUGCUGCUUCAAUUCUCCCUUAAUCACCAAUCAAUCAACAACUGAAAACAUACCUCAGUUAAAAAAACUGAACAAAAAAAAGAAAAAAAGAAGAAAGGACAAGAUACACGCAUGUACACGACAGCCUUGGCUUGAAACACAUCAGUAGAUCAAGUGUCCGCCUCCCUUACACAGAAUAAAUUCUAGGGAAGAAAAUAAUAGUGCAACCUAACCUUAUACGUACUAUUCUAUCCUCACGUCCCAUGAGGUUUACUAGCCUACUGCCGCCGCAUCAUGCCAUCCUCUCCUUUCAGCUCCCUCCUUGCGGCGCCACUACUCGCCUAGGGAUAUUGCUGCUCAGACCGUGGAGCUUAACCUGCUUCUUCUUCAGCAAAUAUGGAACUGCUUUAGGAUCCUUCUGACAUCAGCGCGUAUGGGCCUCAUUAUACUGCAGCUCCUGGACCUCCUACAAUUGGUUGGCUAUGGCCAGUUGAUCGAUGUGCUGAAGUCCAGGUCUGUUUGCUGGCACAUAUGCUUUGGAAAUAGGCCACUAUGUUUGUACUUCGAAAUUGUUUCUGUAUUCUUCAGUGGUACAUCCUUUUAAGCGCCAGUUUUUUAUGUUAAUUCAUGCUGACAACACUUAACCUAGCCUUUCAUGUUCACGUACUAAAUACAGGAGCAAGUAAAAACAACAGACCACCUAAUUGCUCUGCAAGUUCUACAUAGGAAAAUUUGUCAUGUUCUACGAUCGCACCAUCCCACCCUUCUCUCUUGGUAUGGGCGCCAAUUGAGGGAUUGAUAAAACUGAAACGAAGACGUCACAGGGCUGGAAGUACCGCUAGCCUGGUUCGCACUGCAACCUACCCAACGCCAUCAGAAACUAGCAACUGAGUCAGGUGUUGAUCGAUUCUCUCAAAUUGCUCUCAUGUAAGUACUACCCCUUGCAUGUGCGUACAUACCUUUGUUGCAUUCUCAAACAGAUAGAACAUGUAUGAUCGGUGCAUGGCUAUUUUUCAUCACAUGACAUCCAGAUAACAAGCAUGAAAGGACUACAUUGGAGAUCAAAAAAUAUUGGUUCCUGGCUAGAGUACCACUACCUAUGGACUUGUCUCCAUAGAAUUUGUUCCCAAGAUGUUAUUUUAAUUAACCUCUUUAGCUUUCUUCCGUUGCAAACGGUGAUGUGCAUCAUGGUAUAUACGUGACCAUCUUGCACAUGUAUACACAAGAGGCUCAGACGGAGGUGCUGGAUUCUGGACGAGGGAAUAUGAAGCAGGAGUGAGCGAAGAGUAAAUAAUGGUGGGAGUACCGAUUGGUGUUAUGAAGAAAAAUGCCAUCCAAAGAUUGAUUAGUGUCAUGGAAGAUUAAUUUCUGAAUGCGAAUAUAUAUGUUACAUUGGUUUGGAUCUUUUUGAGAUAAUUGCACCUAAAUUAGGUUCUUUCUUAUUUCAUAUGUAUACCUUAUUUCAGUAAAAGUUCACAACGAACUUAGUAGGACAAAUAUAAUUUUGUUUGUUCUUUCUGUUGUCCGCCACCAAAGCUCAGUUUGAACUCUCUAGAAAUGGACAAUGAUUUAUGCAUUCUAUAUCUUCUUGAUUGAUUAGCCAUGACAAGGAAAUAAAAGGAUUGACUGAUAUAGCAUAACUUUGGAACGAUCUGUUCGUAGAGGUUACUACAAAUUAGAGUAGUGUCUGUUGGAAUUUUGCUAGUAGGCCUUUGGCCCAAAGCCCAACUAAAAUUCUGAAAUUCUCUUCGCUCAUUCAUGCACACAUGUGAGUGGAGUGAGUGAGACUAAAGUUUAGAGAGAGUUGCACCUCUUUAUAAGGUGAGCUCUUCUACCACUUGUAUGAGCAUGAGAAGAGGAGACCUAUACACGCGCUCCUCCUCCUCGCUCACCACGUCUCGUCACGCCGCGCCGCGCCGCGGAUUGCGGGAUUGAGCCGAGCCGAGGACGUUGUCUAUAUUUUUGCUGUUUGGGAAAAAUUAAUAAGUCAUUAAUUAAUAAUUAAUGGAUGCGUUAAUUACUGAACCAUUUUCGAUUCUUUUGGAUCGUGACGACUCGGACGUGGGGUUUACUCCCACGAUCUACCCGGCCCACACUAUAUAGUCAGGCAGACGUCUACCCUAGCCGCCGCCACUUCGUAUGGUUUCUCACCACCGUUACAGAUCGUUGCGCCGCCAAGCAAGUUUUCUCCAUUCCUCCUGUCGGCAUGCACUGGGAGAAGGGACAGCAGGCCUCCGGAACCCCGCCUCUCGUGAUCCUGUACGGGAGAGGGGCGAUCAGAUUUUUGGGGAGCGCACUCGCACGACUGCUGGCAGCGACGACUUCGCAAACGACGACUUCUUCCCCGACCUCGGCAACCUCAUCCUCGACUUCUGCACCGUAUGUUAUUCUAUCCUUCUUGUUCGAGAUCGUGGUAGAAUUCAGAUUUCUAGCAUGUUCCCUAGAUGUGAUUUGUUCAUCUACUAUUCUAAUUCGCAUGAUUAGUUUAAUCUUUGCUAUUGCUGUCAUGAUCUAUUUCCUAUUUAUUCGGAUUAAAUCUCGUAGUAAUUUGCUCAUUUUUCCAACAGUGCCAUCUAAUAGAUGAUGUAAAUCUCCUCAAGUUUGACGUUGUUGAGCUAAUUUACAAAAAAAACCUCAUCAUUAUUGGAUGUCCUUAACAGCUCAAGAACAAGUUGGGGUCGAAAUAAUGGAUUUUACACUUUUACAUUAAAGGUUUAGCUAAAGCAAGCAGGUGUUUUUAAACCUGAAUUUUUUUCCUCCUGAAUUUCUUUGUAUUUUCUUAUUGACACUAUUUAUACAAUCAUCUGACAAAGAUUAGCUAAAGCUGUUUGUAGAUACGUUCAAACCUGAAAAGCUUCUUUGGUUAUCCUUUUAAUAGUUCUACGUUUAUUUUCUCAUAGGUCUUAAUUCUUAUGUAAUACCAAGAUGCAUUGUGGUAGUGUACAUGUGUUAAAUUCAGGUUGUUAUUCACAAUUUGCGACAAAAUUUAGCUCACGCUACAUUUAAAUAUGUUGAAAUGUGAAAGCUCUUUUUCUUCUCCUUUCUACACCUUGCAUCGGAUUGCAUCCCUUUAGUUAUCCAACAUUUUGUACAACAUGUAGAGAUUAGGAAGUUCAUCAUAGUUUGUCUAUUUCCGUGCUAAUAAAUGUAUGAAAUCUGCAUUUCCAAGCUACUAGGACAAGUAAAAAAUAAUAAUUUUACUAUAGGAUUCAAAAACAGCAGUUCUGAAGUGCACUUUAUUUAUUUGUGAAAGUGAUCACAUUUUGUUUCAUUUUUCUAUAGACAAAUCUACUAAUACAUACUCACGAUAAAACUAUAAAAGUUCUAGUCCGCACAUUGGGCGGGCCACCCGGCUAGUUAGUCUAAAGAUAACAAAAUGAGUCUGGAAUUUGAAUUAAAUUGAAGUAUUUUCUUGGACUAUCCACAUCCUUGGCUUGCCCCUGAUCAAUUAUUUCCAGAGAAGCAUUCAAUUCAUCAAUCAAUUACAUUGAUUUUAGUGGCUGGUACUUCUCCUCGACAUCAGUAUAUUCACCGUGGCCACUCCAAAUCGGCAAGAAUGAGGUACCAGUGCUCUGGAGCAGUGCAAGCUAAUUGCUUCUCAUGUGAAGGGGUGCGGGCGCGGGAGAGGUAUUUCUGGUGGGCCAAGGGAUAAGAAGCGACCGUGGCAGCGGUACAGACGCCCGCAAAGCCCCAUAAUUUGUUUUUGGUUUACAGGAAAAAUGCACAUCCAUACCGGCCUGGGGAAUAUAGCACUGUAUUGCAUGGAAAACCAUGUCCGGAUGGUUGUGAGCGGUUUGAGGGUUAGCUUUUGUAACGCCCGGUUAGUUAUGCUAUAGCAAUUCCCUGCUAAUGAUGUCACGUCACCACGAUUACUGUUGUUAACCUCACAAUGAUUCAAUCCCGUUCAAAUUCAAAUUUGAAAUAAAGGUAAACAUCAAAAGUUUUCAAACAUUAAAACUAAAAUCUUUGAGAGGUGACAAAUAAUGCAUAAGUAAUUAUGGUGAAGAAACCACACUUUAAUCAAAUGUUUAAAUACUCUAAAAUGAAAAAAAAACAGUGACUUAAACUAUUAUUUAAAUGCUUUUAAAAUAGUAAAAAUCUUCUAACUAAAUUAUUUGGGUACCAAACUUUUGGUGGCAGUGGUAUAUUUAGUAGAACUAAUUUAGAUGCUAAUUAUAUAAUUUACAAAAUUAGAGUAAAUUGAAAAAUAGGAUAAAACGGAAAAAGGAAAGACAAAACAAAUAAAAGCAAAAGGGGGCAACCCCUCGCUGGGCCUCGGCCUAGCUGGCCACUAGACUAGCUAGGCUGGCCCCGCCGCCUCCCUUAACCCCCCACUCCCCAUCGAACCCAAGCCCGAUCGCCCCAUUUCCCACACACCCCCUCGCUAGUCUCCCCACCUCUUGAUCCCAUCUGGAUCGGGGAGGGUAUUGCCCCCAUCAACCCCGUUGCCGUCGCCGGAUCGCCCGCCGACGUCGGCAGGCCUCCUCCCCGUCGCCCGUCUCCGGCUCACCUCCCCUCUCGCUCCUCUUCCCCGACCCGAUCUGGAUCGUGAACGAGCAAUGAGCUCGAAGCCCCCCUUCACCAGCGCCAUCACCGUGCGCCACCACCACCACCUGAAGACCUCACCGUCGCUGAACCUUGCGUCGCCUCCUUGUAUCCCUCCCCUACUCGCAUCCUCAAGCCAGGCCGAGCCCCUUCUCGGCAACGCUGUGAGACGCCCCCGUUUCCCUCCUCUUUCCACCGCGUUCACCGCGCCGCCCGCCGUGCCCCUCGCCGUGCAUGAGCCCACCACCGCACCAGCCCCCGCUCCGCGCACGACCCUACCCGCGCCCGCGCCAUGAUCCCCUUUUCCGCCCUACCUUCACGCGCUCGCCGCGAUCCCCAUGCUCCCCCGCGCCCUCUUUCGGGGGCGCCGACUGCCCCUGUCCCGGUGCUCGCCGCCGUGCCUCGCCACCGCUCUACUGCUACGUUACUACUGCGCUGCGGCCGCCGCCUCUUCCCGCUGCUCCGCUAGCGCCGAAGCUCCCGGUUGGCUCCACCACUGCUCACGUUAAACCGCCGGCCUAAAUGGCCUAACCCUCGGCUAAUGAACCCCCACUAACCCACUGACACCGGGACCCACAUUCCCUAAUUAACCAUUUAAUAAAUUAACAUUAGUGUAUGACAUGUGCGUCCCCUGUUAAUUAAUAAUUUUACUGCUAGUUUUAUUAGUUUCUGUUUUUCUGCAUAUUUCUUUUGUAUUUGAACAGGCUUUAUACAAUAAUAUUUAGCGUAUCAUACACAUACAAAUGUAAUCAUAGCAUAUACAUACAAAUAGUCUCAUCAAAUCAUGUCAUCAUCAUAAUCAUCAUCCAUCACAAAGUGGUCUCUGGUCAUCAUCUCGAAAAUAGCGAUACAAGUCUCGAUUACUUGCAACUACAUCGUCAUCCAUCUAAACAAUGAUAUACACGAGAAGAGCUCUCACUAUGAGUGAGAGCGGAACUAUGCAGUACAUGAGUUUGUAUCCCUCUCUCGCAUUAGCGUGAACCUAAACUAACGACUGGCUGUUGCUCGGAAACCGGAAACCGGUACACCUGGGCCUGACACUCCGGCCACUCAUCGUAUACUCCUGGCGUAGCACUUCUUCGCCAUCGAUGAUCUAUGCACCUGCAUCGUCACAUGAGUCGAUGAUAUGCAACAUAUAUAGUUGAGCAACAGAAAGAGACAGACUUGGCAAAAAUAGAAGCAACAUAUCACAAGUAUAAAUAACAAAGUUAAUGUUUUGCAGGAUUACAACUCAACCCAUUGCAGAUUAGAAAACAAGCCCGUAUGAAUGCACAGGCUGACGACUAGUCUAUCUAUACCUAUACCUAUACCUAUACCUAUACCUACCUAUACUAAUUACAGACUCCCAAGGAAUUCCCACGUUAAUUAGUAAUUAGGAGUCGUUAAUCUUGUGGGACCAAAUUAUUACGACAGUCCACGAUCUCUUUUCUCUCUGUGUAAAAAAAGGUCCACGAUCUCUUUUCUCGGUUGUAAAAGAUAAAGGCAACUCAGGUCCACGAUCUCUUUUCACGGUUGUGAAAGAUAAAGACAACUCCCGUCUUCUUCUAAUCUAUAGUUCUAUACCUCCACGACCCCUUUCUCUCCCCAUUUAAAAGGAACAAGCUGAACCAAUAUCUAAGCAUGCAAUUGGUUCCUGUGCGGUCUUGACCUUCCAUCCGUCCACUGCUCGAUCGGCCCUCCCUCAACUACAAGCUGACAAGCCACCAUCGCCAUCCAGCGGCACGCCACCGUUCAUGCAUGUGUUUUUGCCCUUCAAUCUGAAGGAGAUGCGUUGGCUACUCAAGUAACUCUGUUUGUUUUGUUCAAACCAAUUUCGUUAAUUCGGUUCUUUGAUUAUCUAAUUGACAUGGCCUGUGAGUUUUGUGCUAGUGAUACAGGGCCUGUCUACUAGAUUCUCUCCUUGCAACUUCUAUUGUUGUCUCGAUUUGGUGUGGUCAAGAUCCUUGCCCCACCACAAGCAGCACCUUUGCACCAUCGGGGAAAUCUGUCAUAGCAAACAGAGGUAUGUAACAUGCUUUGGUGUUUUCCUCUUUCGUUUAGAUCACUAGAGUUGCUCAACCACACCAUUCAUUGAUUAGUAGUUGGCCUGAGAAGUUGCUCGGUCACCUGCAGCGUCUGAUCCCCUUCUUGACCCUCUCCUUCUGGUCAUUAUCCACCGGCAGGUCAAUGCAAAACGGAUCGUUCGUUGCCGCCACCUUGCGGAGACCGAUGUUUGGCUGCCCUCCUGCCAUCCUGGCACUCUGGUACCGGUCACUGUGCCGUUGUUCUAGAAGAACUAUGUCACACGAAGCGAGAUAUCUUCUUACUAAUCUGGAACAUAAGUGUUUCUUCUUACUAGGAUUCGCUCACCGGUGCAUUCAUCUCUUUUUGGAAAAUACGGCCUUCAUAUUUCACACGCCUAUACAUGGGUGCUGUCCCAACAAUAAUCCAUCUAAUCCAUGAUGCACAUUCAUGAAGACUGAUGUGACUGAAUUAAUAUAUCAAUCUGGUGCUUCCGGAUCAGCACUUGAAGAAGCAACCCCUUUAGUUCAUAAAUUUAUCAUACGAAAGUCAGGGGAAAAAUCAACUAAGUCAUGUGUGCUUUUCUAAUUAAUUACUAUACACUAAUUCCAUUUUUUUCAGUAGCAGGCUAGGAUACGUGGAUUGUGGCAGCACAGAAGUAAACCGAUGAGCUACAUUGGCCGUUCACCAGUCAUCGGAUCAGAAGCCAUGUCGACCAGAGGGACGGAACAGUUCUAUAUUAGGCGAUGGAUACAUGUGGAAGCAACUAAGCAUAUGUGGAUGCAUGUGAUCGCAUAGGUAAGGCCAUAGCUGUUCAAGCCCUACAGGAUCUUUAUUGCUGGUUUUAAUUAUGAGUUUACAACACCAUCUAUACAUACUACUUAUCCAUUUAUUUCCUUACCUUCUUUGUUUCUUUCUCUCCUUGAUCCCCUGUCAAAAGGGCAUCAACAUCCAUAUGCGCAACGGCACACGCAACAAACUAUGACUUCGGUUGCACGUCCAAUGGCAACCACAGUACAUGAUGAUAUCAUGUUUGCUGCAAGACGAAGUACAAGUUCAUAAUUUGGUCUUUUGCAUGGUCCCUUAGUAAAUUAUAUUUGUCCACAUACACCACAUACAUAAAAACAGGUAGAAGCGGUUGCAUGAUGAAAAUGUCCUCUCAAUAUGCAUGCCUAUGAAUACUAUCACCAGAAAGCCAAGGACUAACAAUUAUUCAGGGGUCAAGAUUGAAGACAGACGUCCAAGAUUGGCAGUCGGCCGGCCUAAGAGGGGCAAAACCGUUGUACAUUAUAUUGUAUGGACCUAGCAAGAUCCUAAAGAUAAGUGAUAAUGGAGAUCAUGGGGGCCACCCUUAUAACCAUAUGUCCAAAUGUUCUUAUUUGUUUAUUUUUCUUUUCUCUUUUCGGAAGAAUCCAUCCUGCCUCUAUGGUCAUCCUGACCACUUCGUAUUGUUAUCUAAUCUCCUCCCUUAAUUAAUAUAAAGAAUUACCGCAGCUGAAUUCACUAAAAAAAGUAUUCAGUUUAUUUUAAUUUAUUCAACUAUUAUGGCAUAUCAAUUGGAUUGCAAGUUCUUGGCGGUUGCAUUUGAAUCAUAUUUGAUGUGCACAAAGGCUUCAGUGUCAAGGUGGUCGGACGAGUAUUUAUGUCCAUUAUAUAUGUGUUAGCUUGAGAUCAUCAGGCACCUGUUAUGCAUCUGUCCAGUUAAAAGGAUGUUCAGACUCAGGCUUGCCCUACCAUAUAUGGCUGUGACACUCUGAACCAAGCAAGUUGGUCAUAUGUGUCGAGCACUAUUAACUCUUUGGAAGAGGAUCCACCAAGUACAGGAAACAAAUCAAAUAUCUUCUUAACCUUAUCACCAGAAAAAUUAGCAAGAGAUGAAUAGUAACAUUUUAAAGAAGAAAGAUAUGUUUGAAAAGGGAUAUAUAUUAUGGCGACGAUUAGAAGAGCCCUUGACGAAUGGUGCCUAGCCUGCGAAAGUUUCUUAUGAAUAUAGUCAACACUCUAUAUCAACUGUUGUAAGAUUUUAGAAAUAUUUUUGGGGACAUAUGAUACAUGUCUAUUAUACAUAUGAUUCAACAGAAGUUUGAUUGAAUACAUAUUUAAAACGUGACUGACUUCUAUAUGGACGGAGUAUUUCACAAAGGACUCACUGCCAACUGUGUGAAUAUUCCAAGAUAGUUAGUGCACAUAAAUGUUCAAAUCCAUAGCCUGCAUAAAUAUACAAAAGCAAUGUGUUAGACCACUACACAUGCUUCUGAAAGGAGGCAAAAAAAUGUAUGCUUGAUUGAUGACCGUUCAUGCAUGAAAUUAAUUUCUGAUUUCUAAUUAUUUUGGUCAUAUAAUGGAAAUAGAGACAUUAUAAAGAUCCAACAGCAUGCUAUCACACACGUGUGAACACAGACACACACAAAUAACAUUUGCCGAGCACUCACAAAUAAAAGGUGUGGCUACUCUUGGGUGUUCUACAGCUGGCUUAAAAAAACACGUAUGAAACAUGAUCCCCAAAAAUCUGAAAUUCGCAACAUAUGAAAAUCCACCCUCAAACAUAUUUCUGGUGUCUCAAUUCUUUUAGUUUCAGAUGGUAUGUCCAGCCAAAGUAGUUGUACACAUACAUUACUAUGUUCUAUUAUUUGAGAUUCUAAGACAACAUUUAGUAACUAGCCCGUGCGAUGCACGGGUUCACGACUAGUAUAUAUAAAGCUUAAUGGUGCCUAAGAAAGCUCGCACAAUUUUACAGUGGCUGUGGAGAUGUGUUGCCAAACUGAGACAUAAGAUUUUCGUUUGGCAUCCAGAGUUGCAGACCGCUUGUGUUAUCCUUAAUCCAUGGCCACUCUAAUUUUUCCGGCUGGGCCUUCCCUGUGGUACGGCAGCAAGGCUUGCGUGUGUAUAUGUUUCCUUUAACUACCACUAGCACAUAUGCCCGUGCGUGCGUUGCAAGGGGAGAGAUAAUGGCGUAUCCACCAAUAUAUCUAGCAGCAUGACCCAACAACAUCCGAAUGAUGUCACCCGACGACGGCAGGAAGGCACACACAGAGGUCUAGUAAAAACUCAACAAUUGUACGGGCAUGGUUAAUUCGCGUGAAUUCAAGGGUGUGAGAUUAGUUAGUGUUGGUCCCACAAUUGAAUUCGGGGGCUGAUUAGUUAGUGUGGGCCCACCCUUGAAUUCACCGGGGGAGACAAAAUAAUUAGGGUGAGGAGAGAUUUACGGGGCUUGGUCCCCAGAUGCGUUGCGGCAGUCAUUAUUCGAGCAUUGCAAUGCUCGCACGUGAGGAGCUCUUUUUCCAAUUGUAUAUUGAGAAGCAUUGCUACAGAUACAAUGUUUUUGAUACGUUUUUGUACGAUGAUCCUGAUCUUAAAGGGCCUUCUAAUUUUUAAAUCUUAAAGGCAUUAUUUGUAAGUUGUCGUGAAAAAAAUCUCGCUAAAAGGGUUAUGUUAGACCAUCUUCAGUACAUUAGAAAUAACGAAUUAUAAUUCCUUGGCAUUUGAACAAACAAUCCCUACUUAUUUACACAUACAAUACUUUUGGUAUGAUUUUGAAAUCUUGAAGGCAUUAUUUGUAAGUUGAAGCAAUUUUGAAAUCUCACUAAAAGGUCUGUUAGACCAUCUAUAGCUUUAGAAAUAACUAAUUAUAAUUUUGCAAAAAAAAGAAAUAACUAAUUAUAAUUCCUUAAGCAUCUGACCGAAACGACCCCGAUUUAUUGUCUGGGUAGUAAUUCCUUUGCAACAUUAUUCUCUCCUUUCUUGAAGGAACUCUUGCCUGGGUAGUAAUUCCUUUGCCCACGUAUUUGCAAGGUUAUUCUCUCCUUCAUUUUUACAGGAGCUCUCCUUCCUUAUACUAAUUGGUCAUUAUCCUCUCCUUCCUUUUUCUUUUUGCCAAACUCUCUUUCCAUAUUUAUGCCGCUAACCACGCCACUCUUUUUCCUUAUUUAUGCCCUUUGAUCACGCCACACAUCUCAUGAAAUCUAAGCCAUAUAUAUCACCCAUCUUUUUUCCUUAUUCCGGUGCUUUCCUCACAAACAGUAGUUCUCUAGGAUGCUUAACGAUUUUGAAACAGAAACAUAUAUAAAUCGGUAGAACGGGUUGUAAAGCAGCGAGGUGGUACUAAUUUAUAAAGAAACAAACCUUUUCUUUUUGUGUAAUGAUGCCUUGGUUCGGCUGGUUGCGUUGGGAAAAGGACCGGCGAAGUGGGCGAACCAAAAACGGAUAAAAUUACGGUGGUAAGAAGCGAUAGCCCUUUUAUUAGUAGGUAUGAGGAUGUCUAGGAUGUCUAGGAUGAGGAUUUACUGCACACAAGUGCGGGGGCACUCAGGUCCUGAUGCCGCCUUUUUAUUUUGGCUUCCGAUUUUCAAACUUCUAUAUCUUUUAAACAAAAAAUUCAAUUUAAGUUACGUUUUCAUAUUCGUGCUUCUCGCGGCCAGCGCUUUCAAAUAAGAUCCAUUUUGCAUACAUUUUGGUGGCUUUUGGAAACGGGCGAAUAGCUCCUAUGCGACGUUGUUGGUGUGUAUUGUCUCUCAUGCGACGUUGUUGGCUGUAAUAGCUCUCAUGCGACAUCUGCGUUGGAAAAAAUAGCUCCCAUGCGACACACCAUUUACGCGGCUAGUUGGCUGUUAGUUAGGCUGAGGUUUGGUUAGGACACUGGGGGUUAUGUGCUCUGACUGGUGGGGUCCACCUAUGGUCACGUAGACAAGAGUCAACCGUCCACGACUCGACCUGGGACUGUGUGACCGUGCUCGACUCACCCGUGCUGGACUGAGUGAGCGGUGCCGCCGUAAGCAUCUUCUCCGACAGCGGUUUCUUCUCCGCGGUGGUGGAGCGCAUUUCUCGGCAGCGGCAGAGCUAUUGCGAGGUGAGCCCGAAACCCUAGUCCCACUCCCCAGAAUUUUGGGGGAUCUGUGGCCUCAUGCUGCCCUCUGUUUCUUGGCGAUUUAGAAUCGGGCUCCAUUGGAUCCGGGGGUUGUUUCUUCUCCGUGGCCCGGUGGUGGAGCGCCUAUCUCUGUAGCGGCUAUUGCGAGUGAGUAUUUUCCAAACACUACUCGCAUUCCACUAAAUUUUGGAUAAAUCUGUGGCCUCAUGCUGCCCCUAUUUCUUGGCGUUUUAGAAUCUCGAUUGGAUAGGAGAUGGAGCGAGGGCUGGAUGAGAUGGAGCGAGGAGACAGUGCUUCAAAUCGGUAAUGCCACACUCUUUUCUUGGCGAUUUAGAAUCGAACUCGAUUUGGUAGUGACUGCCGCCGCUGCCUGCCAUUGACAAAACAGGGGAGGUUCAAGUUCUGCCACCACAUUCACAAUUAUAGUGGAAUUUUUUCCCUGUAAAGCCAAGCUCAGUGAUGGCAGUGUCCAAGACAUUGAUAGAGAUACCACCGUGAGGUUCGAUGUCGAAUUUGCAGAUGUUGAUCCCCAGGAAUUGGAGAGCAUGAAGGAGAAGGCCGUGGGCAAUUUGGUGGAGAGAAUUGGGGAGAAUAUUGUUUGGGGUCCAGAACAAGAGGUAUGUCUGCAACGUUUCGAUAACUAUAAUGGUGAAUAUGUGAGAAUUGAAGAUGGAGAAUCCAUGGUUGCUGAAAUUGAUCAGCAAGAAGGGUGGGCAACUAAACAAGUAACAUUUUAUGCAGAGCUAAUUGAUCUACAAACUCAUUCCAGAGUUGGUUAUGUGCAAUCAAAGAGGGCUGCACAGAUGGAAGAUGAUGAGUGGGUUUCACAAAAGAAGAUGUUGGCAUUGUUGACUGAACCGACUGUAGUAGCUGAAGAUACAGGGAUUGAUGCAGAUGGAGAGGAGGGAACCCAUGGUGCUAGGAAGAUUGUUGUUGACUGGAAUGUAGUAGAGUUGAAUGAAAAAACAGAUUUGGUCAUUACACCAAUAUCUGACAUUGAUAUGGCCGAAAUGUUUGGCAUUCAAGUUGAUGACAAAGAUAAGGAGAAGGAUGACAGUUCUUUGCCUGCUGAAGGAACAUAGGCCCUAGAAAUGCAAAUGAGGAUGAAGAACAGCUGAUGAGAGAGGCUGCAGAUGAUGUGGAUGAUGCAGAUGAUAAUGAGUUGGUUUGUUUGUAUGACAAAGAGAACCCAGUUAUUGAGGUGGGAAAGUUGUGGCCAAGCAUGAAGGAGUUUAGGAUGUCUUUCAGGACCUAUGCAGUGAAAAAGAGUUUGAUGCCAAGACUAUGUGGACUGAUUGAAAGAAAUUUUAUGCUCGGUGCAAAGGUUAUGAUGGUGGUGGCAAUCCUUGCAAAUGGUACUUGUCUGCCAGACUACAACCUGAUUGAAGUACAGUAAGGGUAAAUCAAAUACCACACCAGCAUACAUGUAUGACCACUUCACAGAGAGUUUCAAAGAUGACAUCACAGCUUUGGGUUACAGAGAAGAUUACUCCUAUUUUAGCCAAGACUCCAAACACUACUGCAAAGAGGCUUAAAGUUGACUUGGAGAAGCUGUACCCCAUCCAGCUGCAAUAUACCACAGUGUGGAAAGCAAAACAAAGGGCCAUGAAAUCAUUGUAUGGUGACUGGGCAAAUACAUUUAGGAUGUUGUAUAGUUUUAAAGCAGAGGUGGAGAAGAGGUCACCUGGGAGUGUGGUGGAGAUAGAUACAGAGGUAACAGAGGAUGUCAUGGUUUUAUUCAGCAAGUUUUUUAUGUGUUUGAAGCCAUGCAUAGAUGGAUUCAAAGCAGGUUGUCGUCCAUAUUUGAGCAUAGACUCAUCUUUUUUGACUGGAAAGUGGAAUGGUCAGUUGGCUGCAUGCAAUGCUCUAGAUGGACGCAACUGGAUGUUCCCAAUUGCAAUAGGAAUGUUUCAAUCAGAGACAGAGGCAUCAUGGAUAUGGUUCAUGAUGCAACUGAAAAGAUGUAUAGGGCCAGUUUCUCCUUUAGCCAUCCACACAGAUGCAUGUAAAGGGUUCGAAAAUGCAGUAAAAAAUGUUGUCCCCCAUGCUGAGCAGAGGGAGUGCUUUGGACAUAUGUGGAUGAAUCUGAUAAAAAAAUUAGAGGAGAUGAAUUUGGGCGCAUGUGGCCAGCAGCAAGAUCCUACACCAGACAGACACAUUCCUAUCACCUUGGUAAGAUAUUGGCAUCAUGUAGUGAUAAUGAAUUUGCUUCAUGGUUGAACACCCGCCAUUCUCUGUUGUGGUAUAGAUCAGGUUUUAAUACUGCCAUAAAAUGUGAUAAUAUCAAUAACAACUUGGCAGAAAGUUUUAACAACAAAGUGAAGGAUUUGAAAGACUUGCCUGUGCAUGACAUGGUGGACCAAAUAAGGAUCAUGAUCAUGCGUUUGUGGGAGUUGAGAGGAAAAAUUGCUAAUAUUUUGGAAGGGGACAAGCUUCCAGCAGUGGUACAAUAGGUGGUCAACAGGAGUAGAAAUCUUUCACAUCUAUCUGUUGAGAAAUCUUCCUUGUGGGGUGCUGAAGUUAGAGAUACAAAGAGUGGCAAGAGGCAUGUGGUAAAUACUGAGUUGCAUGAGUGUACUUGCCGAGAGUGGCAACACACUGGAAAACCAUGUGAGCAUGCCAUACUUUUUUUGGCAUCUAAACCCAGGUUAAAUAUGCACCCAUAUUUGCAUGAGUAUUAUUCAGUACAAAAAUUCAAAGCUGCAUAUGCAAGUCCAAUUCCUGCACUGACUGACCAAUCUCAGUGGCCUGAGGUGGAAAUAGAAUUUACCUUGUGUCCCCUGUCACUAGAAGAAAGGCUGGGAGGCCUAAACAGAGCAGAUUCAAAGCUUGGUUUGAGAAAGGUGGUUGUAGUAAGAAGGGGAAAAAAGAAAAGAAAAAGAAUGAUAAGCCCAAAAGGGCUCAAAAAGGUAAGAAAAAUAGGUGCAAGUUGUGUGAGGUACUUGGGCACAGAAUUGGUUCAUCCAAGUGCAUCUAUACUCCUCAGAGGACAAAGUAUGUUCAUGUUACUGUUUUUACAAGUUUUUGAUUUUGUUACUUGUUCUAGUAUCUAACCAAGUCAAAUGCUUUAUUUUUUAGGAGGAAGCGUGCAGAAAAAGCCCCACCUCUUGUUGUUGAACAAUGCUGGCCAGUGAAAAAAGCAAGACUCAAUGGCUAUAUAGAAGGAAGAGCACUAAGCAGAUAAUGUUUGGUGACAAAGAUAUGGAGCUAACUGAAACUGUUACUGCUGAACAUGAGCUAAGUGUUUCUGUUUUGGACGAUGUGAUGCAUACUGAAUCUGUUUUGCAGACGCUAGGGCAAUCUGAAACUGUUGCAGAUGAAGCAACGGUUGUGCUGCCAUGCGAAUCUGCUUUGACAACUGUGUUGCCAUGUUUGGAGGUUGUGCUGCCAAGUGUUGAGUUGCAAACUGAAGUAGUUGAACAAUUUGUGCCAUCUACUCAAUCUGCAGAAGUGCAAACUGAAGAAGUGCAAACUGAAGAAGUGGGACAUGGUCAGGUGAAAAAGUUGAGGGGGCCUAGUGGAGUUUGCAAGGGGCCAAAAAGCAAGAGCAUCAACAUCAACAAACUAUGCGCCGUGGAACCAAACGAUGGAAAAAAGCAGAAGAAAUCGAGUGGUAGAAAGAAGCAAAAGAAAUAGAGUCGAAAUCAUUCAAAUUUGAUGUGAAAACUUAAGUUUGUUGUCAUUUGAUGUGAAAACUUAUGUUCUUUCAUGUGAAAACUUAUGUGCUAUGAUGUUGAUUUGACUUGAAAUAAAAUUCAAAUUUGAACCGACAUUCAAAUUUGAACCUAUCUCCAAAUUUUUUUGAGUUCAUUUGUUUGUUCUGUGAUGUUGCAUCGUUUUAUGUACUACUAUGCACUUUGUGAAGUCCAACUCAUAGUCACUGAAAAUGCUGUACAAACAGGCUCCAAAGUAAGGGAAAACGGCCCCAUUUCUAAGCAAGUUUUUUUCGAUCUUCUCAAAAUCACCCAAAAAAGAUUUUCUUAGCUUAUAUUAUACCUAUAUAGGAUCAAUACAAAGUCUCACCUUUUUUGAAUAAGUAUUCAUAUUAUUUAAUUUAUUUUUGAAAAAACACCCUUUAAUACAAAGUCAGCAAUAAAACAAGUUUAAAAAUUUUAAAUGCAAAAAUAACUUCAGAUCCUCCUUAGUCACUCUAAAAUGAAGCUAAGGUGAUGUUUUUUGAUUUUUUUGCAUUUUCAAAACCUCAAACCCUCUUCUCACUCCUUUGAACUCUAUGCAACCUCAGUCGAGAUAGUCCAAUUUGUGAAGGUUUUUUCAUGCAAAGAUCAUUAGAUCAAGUUUAUCAUUUUAUAUCAUAACUAUGUAACAUAAAAAGGCUAUAUGCGCAGGUUUUUCAUUUUUUAGAUUUUUUUGAAUUAGUUAUACACAUUUGAAUGUUCGGUCAAACCUUUCAAAACCCCGUUGACUGCCUCAAAACCCCAUGUAACCCUAGCGCCAAACGUCCACCGUCGAUCUAACCCUAACGCCAAACUGCGGCCGUCGGAUGGGACUUCUAGAAGGAUUCCGCGGGGGCGAUCCAUGGGCUCCAAUCUGAUUGGCCAUUGUUUUUUCUCUCUGACGAACAGAUAACGUUGAGCGGGGGAGCAUCUAAGUGACCGUUGGGCCGAGUGGAUUGGGCCUGGCAAAGCCUGGCGUGCGUGCACACGGCUGUUGAGAGGGGGGAUGGGCUGCAUGCGAGCGGGUCAAUGACAUGUGGGCCAUCCUUGUCCCAUGCAUGCCAUGCAACGUCGCAGCCUAGCUAUUCUUUGCUCGUGAAAGCCUAGCCAUUUGCAUGCGGGCUUGCAUGCACGCAUCGACGCAGAGUACGGCAAGGGUGCAGCGUAUAGGUACGUCGCAUCUAAGCUAUUUUAACAAAUGCAUGUUUGAACGAGAUGGACGCGUCGGUGGUGCAGCUCCUUUUUCAGUGUCACGCGCGGAUGAACGGGCCUGUUUCCCAUGCGGCAUCACCGCCGAUGCAAGUGCCCGUGCCUCUUUGGAUGCUCUGGCCGCCGUUUUUUGAAUUAAUGCCCGCAAUUACUUAUGCCAUGCGAACGGAGAAGAGAAAAAGAUCGAGAAGGGGCACCGUGUACACAUUGACCAUGGUUGCAAUGCGGCUAUAAAAGGGCACCAUUUCCUCAUCCUCUCACACUCAUCUCUCAAGCCUCCUCCCCUUCUUCUUUUCGAGCCAAAUCCACCACUCGAGCCACCAUGCAGUUCAACGGCCCUACCUACCGUCGCCCUUGCACCGUGCCGGAGAGGCAGUACCCAGCCGGAGUCGUCGUGGAGAACAGCCUGAGGGUGUGGGCCAUCUCUAGGUGGAGGGGCCCUAGAGAGUUGGCUCGCUUCUUCCUCCAAGCUGGCUACCGCCACCUCCCUCCGGGCACUCCGCCCAUGUUCCACCUCCACGAGCAGUACGAUGGCAAUGCCGGCCCCGACGGCUUCGUCAUCGGCCUCUAUGUCACCUUCACCAACCCCUACGACGCUCACCACCUCCCCGGGGAGGUGUUCUGGUGUGGAUGCGAGUUUAUCGCGUUCACGACCUACAACAUCUUCACCAACUUCCACCACAUCUUCCCUCACCACAACGGCAUGCACACCCUCCCCUAUCAGAUGCCGGAGGACGACGAGUGAGGGGCCCAAGGAGGAGGGUCCAAGGAGUGGCAAGGAGGAGGGGCCAAGGAGUUGUUCAAGCGGCGAGUCUUCUAUCUAUCUAGUUUGGGGCUCUAGUUUGUGUUUGUGUUGGUUCGGGCGUGUGUGCCCGUGUCUUUUAUAUAUCUAGUUUUAAUUAUUUUACUUUCAUGUUUUAUGAACUAUAUGUAGUGGGGGGAUGCCCCUCUAUAAGUUUUAUCUAUCUAUGCUACUAGGGUACCCGAUGCCCCUCUAUCUAUCUAUAUGUUUUUUCGGUCCUAAAGUUUCUCCAUUGCAUUUUAUUUAUGUGGCCAUGUGUACUAAAAAACAAUUGAUCUGGUAUCUAAAAUGUACGUUACCAAGAAAUUGACAAUAAAGAUUAUAUACUGUACUACAUAAUCAUACAGUUGGUAUACAAUGCAUUUGAAGACAAUGGGCAAGAAAAAUGCUAAUUAUCUGGUGCUGGUGACAUGCGUAAGUGUUGUCUGAUGUUUAAAUCAUGCUUGCUAUGUCAUUUUUUGCUGCCAAACAUGGCAUUAGCGAGAAAGGUCAUUUGGGCACUGAAUGUAUUAAAGUAUACACCAUAUAUAAAAAUGUCUAGCCAAAAGAUUUGGGUGUACAACUGUACACCAAUGACCAAGUAUGGAUCCGCCCCUGGUUGUAAGGGGAUGCCCCUCUAUGUUGUAAGGAGAUGCUACUAGGGGCACACUAGAUGUCUUCUUUUUUUGAGAGAGGCACAACCUUUUUCGGUUGAAACACACGAGUAAAAACUUUGAAAACACCAUAGCACAAGUAAAAAAAUAUAUUAAGAAAUGGUGCUUGGUUGAAAUAAACUAGAACCAAACAAUUGCAACUUUCUUGGUUCACAAAGACUGCUCAAAUAAUUAUCUCAAAUAGCUUAUGCAUAAAAAUAUCUCAAAUAAUUAUUAGAUGAGUUAUCUCAAAAAAGGUGACUGCAGGAAACUUAAAAUUUGUGAAAUGAUCUAAAGCCGAAAAGAUAUAUCGAUGAAUUAUCUCAAAUAGCUUAUGCAUAAAAAUAUCUCAAAUAAUUAUUAGAUGAGUUAUCUCAAAAAAGGUGACUGCAGGAAACUUAAAAUUUGUGAAAUGAUCUAAAGCCGAAAAGAUAUAUCGAUGUCAAUGACCGUGUGCACUUUUUUUGCACUCCUUUUAUCAAUGGGCCUGGAUAUGUUCUAUUCGGCCCUGCCUAACUUCUAUAUGGGCCUGGCCUUUUCGGGCAACUAUGGACGAACCUUUUUUUUCCUUUUCUCCCUCUACCACUGAAACUGAAACUGAUGACGAACUGAAGAACUAAAAAACGGGGCCGAAACAGAGUGGAGAGGACAUGCUGAAUUCGUACAACGCAACACUUUUAUUCAAAUAUACAUAUCAUUAGGAUUACAAAUGAUGCCCAAUCUAUUCACUUACGACUAAUUAUCAUCACAUAAACAAAUGCGAGAGCAAUUACACAAACAUAAAAAAGUCCGGCCAUCAGCCCCAUCAAAUUGCCCUGCUUCUGCAAUUUGAUGAGUUUCUUCAUCUGCUUGUUUAGCUUCUUCAGCUCUGCCGUCACUACUGCAUCCCCCACAGUAGCCCCAAUGGAAUGGGCACAUCCAGGGGCCCCAGAUCCAGAAGCGCCCGAUCCAAACUUGCCCAACUUCUCCACCUCCAGCGGUAAAUCGAGCUCCCCUGAUGCACCCUCCAGUUGAAUCCGCUCUAUGUACUCAUUUAGCCACUCAAAAUGGGUGCAUUGCUUCAAUUUCUGAAAUUGGAAAGAUGAACCCUAAAUCCCAAAUCCGAUGAAAAAUGGGGAAAAAUUGUGAUAUGAAAUUGGGAUACAAAAACCAAAAUUGGCAUAUUGAGAAGUAAAAUCUCACCUUUCCCUGCUCUGGUUUGCUCUCGCAUUUCACGAAUUCCCGCCCAAGGUUGCCAUUCUUGUCGGUCGUUGUGACUAGCCGCUUCAGGGGUGUGAUACGUGGGCCUGCAGGGCACCUUGUCAUGGGCACUGCGCCAUAGCGCGGCCAUGAGCGGCGGGAGGCUGAAGCGGAGCUCGACAUUGCUAGGUCGCGGCCCGGAACGGCGUUGCUGCGCGUCGUCGCCGGAGAAGAAGAACAACAACGGUCGGGGAGGGGGGGUGGGGGCGGGGGCGAGGAUGGGCCACGGCUCGGGCCACGGCUCGGUGUCCUCUUGUACCAAUGCUGACCUGGAUAAGUUAGUGGGUCCCACGCAGUGGGUCCCGCUCACCUGACCAAUGCUGAGUUGGAUAAGUUAGUGGGUCCCGCGCUGUGGGUCCCGCUCACCUGAUUCGAGUUUUAAACAUGUGUCUUUGGAUUAGACAGCAGUGUCGCAUGGGAGCUAUUUUUUCCUAUGCAGAUGUCGCAUGAGAGCUAUUACAACCAACAACGUCGCAUGAGAGACAAUACACACCAACGAUGUCGCAUAGGAGCUAUUCGCCCUUUGGAAACAUUGCUAAGUUUCAUUGUUUGAAACUUAGUACGAGCGACCGAUAAAAUUUAAUUAUUUUGUGUCUACGACCAACAGGAGAAAUUGCUUAAAAUUACAUCUUUGAAACUGGUCAUUUUUUGAUGCAAAAAUGUAAGUUUCAUCAUUGAAACUUAAGGGCAUGUCCAAUGCUGGAUGCUUAUCCAGGCGCUUAUCGUGUGGAAAAAAAAAAUGCCACGAAGUUAGCUCUCGCUUGUCCAACAGCCAAUGCUAACAACGGGCGCUAACCACGGCUGGAGCUAUAGAUUAGAAAGAAAGAUCUGGUUCACUUGUACGUGAAAAAAGGAGCAAGCGCUCGAUGCCUUGCUUUGCAUCGAUGCCAGACUGAGGUGCUGGGAAUCGACAAGAUAACCGCCAAUCUACCAGGAUUAAAUUCCUAGCGCCUUCUUCUAGCGCCUCCCACUGAAAAUGCCCUAAAGGUUUUUGAGGGAUUUUUUUACUGUGUCCUACUUCACGUAUCACGAGGCAAAUCAAGUAGGCGGCAUGGCCUGGCCGGUGAGUGCCAUUGCACUUACUUGCCCCAGCGAUUUUCCGCCUGCAUUGUAGAAUUCUUUCUCCGAGUCCUGUGAAUUAAAGAUGGUGCAGACAAAAGUAUAUCCUAUAUGCGUACAUGUGCAUGAUCAGAACAUGUUUUUACGUGCGUCUACUAUAAAUCAUGACCAUUUUUAACACAAAUCAUGACCAUUCAUGAUUAGUGAAUCAUACUGUCUUAACUUAUGUGAAAUCAUGUGGAGUAAUAUAAUAUAAUAUAAUAGAUAGAUAGAUCCAUGUUGUAUCAUUACACAUUUUGAUUUAUGCAUUUGUUUACAAAAAAAACAGUAAAAUUUCAUGGUGAAAAGUUUGUAUUGUUUCAUACUGAACACCAAUGUUUUCCCGUAAAAGAAAAUAAUGCCUACGCAUAUGCUUUUAUAUUAUUAUUAUUCUUUCAAACUUAUUCAUAUAGUAUUUUUGAUUGUGCAACCAUAAUUUUUAUUAUCUCUCUUGUUCCACUACAUGCUCUUACUCAAUGAUUUUUUUAUAAUGGGUGUUUUUAUUAACUCAAAAUAUAGCAUCAAGCGGAUACAAAACAUAACGAGCCACGUCCGGUCUCUGCAUAACUAAGAUGCACACAGCCAAAAGCAGAAGUCUGACAAAAAUAAGAUAAGAAAAUCAACAUAUCGACAACAGUGAGUCAUAUAGUUCCGACACUAUGCCUCUGUUGAAGGACGGGGUGGAGCGAUCUGGAGAUUAUGCUUCCCUCCAUUUUGAGUAAAUACCUCCCUGGCCACUUGUUCCAACCGCAUAGACGCCGCCACGAAUAAUGGUUGGUACUCUGUUCGGUGUAGCAUACACCAUGUAGGAAGUGAGUGCUCACUCCUAGUUACUAAAUUAUGUACACACUAGUAGAAAAAGGGCCAUUUGUCCCGGUUCGUAAGGCCCAUUUGUCUCAGUUAGGGAACCGGGACUAAAGGGUCGGUACUAAAGCCCUACACCUUUAGUCCCGGUUCUUACACCAACCGAGACAGAUGGGGCUCCACGUGGCCGCUGCGGCUUGCCAUGGCAGGGGGGCCUUUUGUCCCGGUUGGUAGCACCAACCGGGACCAAUAAGCUACCACGCGUCAGCAUUUGAGGGGCUUGGGUUUUUGUUUUUUUCUGAAGGGGGGGAGGGGGGUUGGGGGUUUUGGGGGGUUUUGUAUGGUUAAUUUUGGGGGGUUUCAUAUAUAGUGUUAGGUAGUAAUUAAUUAAUAGAGAGAAGUGUCCUCUCUUAUCUCCGUGCUUGGUCGACGCUACGUACUAUACGUAUAGAGAGGCCCUCGACACGCUUGCCAGUAAGCAAAUGAAGGAAACCAUUAAGUACAGAAGUUCGUCAUGAACAUAUGCAUACAAACAUAAGUGAUAUCGACCUCUCCUUCUCCGAGAGAUAGGUCGAAGAACAAGUUUCCGUAUAUCUAUCCGGCGCUACUAGCUACAUAUAUACAAUAUUAAGAUCUCUUACAAUAUAAUCCCCUAAUUAUAUAUGAACUCAGCUUCCAGAUGGUAUUCUCCGGCUUUAUUGAUGACGUGGUCAAGAAAGAAUCCCUCCAAUUCCUCUUGAAUUGCUUUGAUGCGAUCUUGUGGUAGGAGUUCAUCCUGCAUCUGCCACAUCUAAUUUGAAGAAGGGGGUCAAUCACUAGUGGAAUAACAGCCAUUUGUCUAGGUUCGUAAGGCUCAUUUGUCCCGGUUGGGGAACCGAGACUAAAGGGUCGUUACUAAAGCCCUACACCUUUAGUCCCGGUUGUCGGUGUCAAAACCGGCGGAUCUCGGGUAGUGGGUCCUGAAUUGUGCGUCUAGGCCGGAUGGUAACAGGAGGCAGGGAACACGAUGUUUUACCCAGGUUCGGGCCCUCUUGAUGGAGGUAAAACCCUACGUCCUGCUUGAUUAAUAUUGAUGAUAUGGGUAGUACAAGAGUAGAUCUACCACGAGAUCAAGGAGGCUAAACCCUAGAAGCUAGCCUAUGGCAUGAUUGUUGUGUAUGGAGUUGAUUGCCUACGGACUACAACCCUCCGGUUUAUAUAGACACCGGAUAGGGUUAGGGUUACAUAGAGUCGUUUACAAUGGUAGGAGAUCUUGAAUAUCCGCAUCACCAAUCUUGCCUUCCACGCCAAGGAAAGUCCCAUCCGGACACAGGACGAAGUCUUAAAUCUUGUAUCUUCAUAGUCCAGGAGUCCGGCUGGACGUAUAGUCCGGCUACCCGAACACCCCCUAAUCCAGGACUCCCUCACCGGUUCUUACACCAACUGGGAGAGAUGGGCCUCCACGUGGCCGCUGCGGCGAGCCCAGGUAGGAGGUCCUUUGGUCCCCGUUAGUGACACUAAUACGUCUCCAACGUAUCUAUAAUUUUUGAUUGCUCCAUGCUAUUAUGUUAUCCAUUUUGGAUGUUAAUGGGCUUUAUUUUACACCUUUAUAUCAUUUUUGGGACUAACCUACUAAUCGGAGGCCUAGCCCAAAUUGCUAUUUUUUGCCUAUUUUAGGUUUUUGAAGAAGAGGAAUAUCAAACGGAGUCCAAACGGAAUGAAACCUUCGGGAACGUGAUUUUCUCAACGAACAUGAUCCAGGAGACUUGGAGUGUGCGCCAAGAAAUAAGGGAGGAAGGCACGAGGCAGGGGGGCGCGCCUACCCCCCUUGAGCAUGCCCUCCACCCUCGUGGGCCCUCCACUGCUCCACCGACGUACUUCUUCCUCCUAUAUAUAUCCACGUACCCCCCAAACAACCAGGAGCACCACGAAAACCUAAUUCCACCACCGCAACCUUCUGUACCCGAGAGAUCCCAUCUUGGGGCCUUUUCCGGAGGGGGCAUCGAUCACGGAGGGCCUCUACAUCAACUGCAUGGCCUCUCCGAUGAUGUGUAAGUAGUUUACUUCAGACCUACGGGUCCAUAGUUAUUAGCUAGAUGGCUUCUUCUCUCUCUCUUUGGAUCUUAAUACAAAGUUCUGCUCGAUUUUCUUGGAGAUCUAUUCGAUGUAAUCUUCUUUUGUGGUGUGUUUGUCGAGAUCCGAUGAAUUGUAGGUUUAUGAUCCAGAUUAUCUAUGGACAAUAUUUGAUUCUCCUCUGAAUUCUUUUAUGUAUGAUUCGUUUAUCUUUGCAAGUCUCUUCGAAUUAUCAGUUUGGUUUGGCCUACUAAAUUGAUCUUUCUUGCAAUGGGAGAAGUGCUUAGCUUUGGGUUCAAUCUUGCGGUGUUCGAUCCCAGUGACUGAAAGGGAAGCGAUAUGUAUUGUAUUGUUGCCAUCGAGGAUAAAAAGAUGGGGUUUAUAUCAUAUUGCAUGAGUUUAUCCCUCUACAUCAUGUCAUCUUCCUUAAAGCAUUACUCUGUUCUCUUGAACUUAAUACUCAAGAUGCAUGCUGGAUAGCGGUCGAUGUGUGGAGUAAUAGUAGUAGAUGCAGAAUCGUUUCGGUCUACUUGUCUGGGACCUGAUGCCUAUAUACAUGAGCAUACCUAUAUAUUCUCAUAACUAUGCUCAAUUCUAUCAAUUGCUCGACAGCAAUUCGUUUACCCACCGUAAUACUUAUGCUCUUGAGAGAAGCCACUACUGAAACCUAUGGCCUCGGGGUCUAUCUUCUAUCAUAUUAAUCCUCCAAUACUUAGUUAUUUAUAUUUCUAUCUAUUUUACUUUCCAUCUUUUAUUUCUCUUUAUCAUAAAAAUACCAAAAAUCUUAUCUUAUCAUAUCUAUCAGAUCUCACUGUUGUAAGUGACCGUGAAGGGAUUGACAACCCCUUUAUCGCGUUGGUUGCGAUGUUCUUAUUUGUUUGUGUAGGUUCGUGGGACUUGAGCGUGAUCUCCUACUGGAUUGAUACCUUGGUUCUCAAAAACUAAGGGAAAUACUUACGCUAAUUUACUUCAUCACUCUUUCCUCUUCAAGGGAAAACCAACGCAAUGCUCAAGAGGUAGUGUCGGUGUCAAAACCGGCGGAUCUCGGGUAGUGGGUCCCGAACUGUGCGUCUAGGCCGGAUGGUAACAGGUGGCAGGGAACACGAUGUUUUACCCAGGUUCGGGCCCUCUUCAUGGAGGUAAAACCCUACGUCCUACUUGAUUAAUAUUGAUGAUAUGGGUAGUACAAGGGUAGAUCUACCACAAGAUCAAGGAGGCUAAACCCUAGAAGCUAGCCUAUGGUAUGAUUGUUGUAUAUGGAGUUGAUUGCCUACGGACUACAACCCUCCGGUUUAUAUAGACACCGGAUAGGGUUAGGGUUACAUAGAGUCGGUUACAAUGGUAGGAGAUCUUGAAUAUCCGCAUCGCCAAGCUUGCCUUCCACACCAAGGAAAGUCCCGUCCGGACACGGAACGAAGUCUUCAAUCUUGUAUCUUCAGAGCCCAGGAGUCCGGCUGAAGGUAUAGUCCGGCUAUCCGAACACCCCCUAAUCCAGGACUCCCUCAGUAGCCCCUGAACCAGGCUUCAAUGACGACGAGUCCAGCGCGCAAAUUGUCUUCGGCAUUGCAAGGCGGGUUCCUCCUCCAAGUCCUUCAUAGAAGAUUGUAAGCACCAAGAGUAGUGUCCGGCUCUGCAAAAUAAGCUUCCACAUAUCGCCAUAGAGAGAAUAAUAUUAACACAAAUCAAAUCUGCUGACGUAUUCCGCAGUGCGUCAUCACACUACAGCCAAGUCCUUCACUCGAAUCGUUUUCACUUUUCCACCUCAGCGUGUUUUGCGAGGCGGUUUCCUUGGCACGUCUUGUCAAAGCAGAGAUCGUGUCCCCCUUGUUUACGGGAUUCUCGUUAAUACGGACGUGGGUAACCCAACCGCGCCACUUAUCACGGCGCUUGGGAGGCAAGCGAGUUUUACUAGGCUGGUGGGGACGCAUAGUCGCAUCCGCCCAUAUAAGGGGAUAAGGAUCCACCUUUUUACCUACGCCUUCUUCCUCCUUUGCCUAGCCAUCUUCUGCGCACCCGAGCUCUAGCGCCCCAGCCCGCGCUUCCUACCUCAACCCUCUCCAACAAUGUUCGGAGCGGGAGGCAAGUGGAUGGUCUCCUCCGUCACGGAGGGCCAUGUCAAAAGGUUAAGGAAGGCCGGAUACUUGUCCAAAGACAUCGCGCACCGGCUUCCUGAGGAGGGGCAGCUUCUCCCCACCCCAAGGCCCCAUGAGAGGGUAGUAUUUCUUCCCCACUGCCUCCGCGGACUGGGUUUUCCUCUCCACCCAUUUGUCCGCGGGCUCAUGUUCUACUAUGGCCUAGAUUUCCACGAUCUGGCCCCGUACUUCAUCCUCAAUAUCUCGGCGUUUAUCAUCGUGUGCGAGGCUUUCCUCUGCAUUCGCCCCCAUUUCGGCCUCUGGCUCACGACCUUCAACGUCAAGCCAAAGGUGGUGCGCGGUAACCAGGCGGAGUGCGGAGGUGCCAUGGCGGGCAAAAUUGCCAACGUCCUAUGGCUCGAGGGCUCCUUUGUGGAGACCUUGAAGGGGUGGCAGUCAGGGUGGUUUUACAUCACCGAGCCACGCGAUCCGAAGUGGAUCGCAGCCCCUGAAUUCCGAUCCGGACCCCCUACGCGGCUCAUGUCCUGGAAGGAGACGAGCUUGUCGUGGGGCGACGAAGGAGAGUUGACCAGACUGCAAAAAUGCAUCCAGUCCCUGGUGAACAAGCAGCUCAAGCUUGUCAACGUAAUCUAGGUCAUGCUCGUCCGCCGGAUUCUUCCGUGUCAAGAACGGGACUUCAAUUUGUGGGAGUUCAACCCGGCGCAACACCGAACUCUGAGAAGGCUCUUCAACACGACGUACGAAGAUGUCUGGAGGGGGCUAACCAAAGGCGCCGAGACUCCCACAUCCGCCUCCGAAGACCGCGGAUUCAGCUCGCAGCGUCCUGCUGGCGAGGUAAGAUAUUUCCAUCUUUUACAGGAUGUUAAGCUUUUUCAUAGUUGACUCUAUGCGGGAUCAAAACUCCCUCACCUUUGACAGGAUUGGCGGGAGAAGUCCGGACAGAUUAAAUGCCCGGCUCCCUUGCCCGAAGACCUAGCCCCUGCUCUCCUAGAGAAGCUGCUGGUUUCGGCACCUUAUGUGGUGCCGGAGAAGAGGGCCAAGAAGAAGAAGGCCACGGGGACUCGAAAGAGUUCCUGGCAUAUGGUGGUGUCGGACUCGUCGUCCGACCAGUCCGAGACGCACUCCUCCCGUGAAGACGAGGAGGAAGAGUGUCGGACUCGUCGUCCGACGAGUCCGAGACGCACUCCUCCCGUGAAGAGGAGUGGCCGGACUACGUCCCCGACGCCGACGAGGACGAAGAGGAGUGGCCAGACAGGGCCAAGCAUCCGGCGAGAUCGUAAGUGUUCGGAUACCAGAGUAACUCGUGAUAUUCCUUUUGUUGCACAGCUUUCCCUAAUGUCGGAUAUAAUCAUGCAGUCCGCCCAAGGAUGGGCUCGACGAGUCGUCGAGCGGCUCCCUGGAUUCAUCGGACGUGAAUUCAGUUCCGCCUACUGCUUCCCCCUGUGCUGCAGAUGACGCCGAAGUGGCGUCGCGACAAGCUCCGGGACGAGAGGAGGUGGUCCAGGAGGAGUCGCGAGGUGACCUCCCGGACUCCAGGAGUGAAGGGGACAAGACCCCCCUGGGAUCCAAGUUCGGCUUUAAGCCGGACACUGAGAUGGAAUCAUCAACAGUUCCGGACUGCGGUAGGCGAACUCCUACCAGGAGGAGCAAGCCUACUGAGCCGGCAUCCUCCGUCCAGCCGGAGGCGCCGGACAAUCUGCUGGAGGAGCUUAAGGGCGCCUCCACCGACGAGGAGCACCGUGCCGUCAUGAGUACGGUGAUCCAGAAGGUUCGGUCCGCCAAAAGCGGACUGACUGAAGCUUGUGCUGGCCUUCUAACAGGCUUCGAGGUAAGUAAAAAUAUGUAAAAAUAUUACCGUAUAGACAGUAGCCCCUGAUGCUCUGUUUGGCGUUUGUAAAGAAAAGCCAAAUAGAGGAUCUAUUAAAUAUCGCAGGAGUCUAACUAAAAAGGAGUCAAUAUAUGUAUGCAGGCUUCGCUGCUGGCCACCGCCGCACUGACUGCGGAGGUGGGUGCCCUGAAGGAGGGCCUCCAGCGGACCGAGCAAGAGCUCGGCCUUGCCAAACGGCAGCUCGAGGAAAAAGAAUGUAAGAGAUACCUUACAGAAAAAGUGCCUAUAAAAAGGCUUGAUUGCAAAAAGAGUAGCAGGAUUGUACUGCUUAUUGUAGGGGCCACGACUGAGGUGGCGACCUUUAAGCAGGUGUUGUCUGAGGCCGAAAAGAAAACGGCCGCGGAGCGCACCGAGCGAGACAGACUUGGGGCUCAGGUCAGCGAGGUGCAGCAAGAGCUUCAGGCUCUCAUGAAAAAACAUGAGAGUUUGAAGCUGGAGUCGAAGGCGCAAGCAUCCGAGCUUGCAACGGCCCUAGAGGCUGCCAAGUCUACCAAGGCCGAUGCCCUAAAGACCCUCCAAGAGUUGGAGGAGAUGAGGAAGAUAGCAACGGGUAAGGCAUUCUUUAUGCAAAGCAGAAAUAUAAAAGUGAACUACCUGUUACUUACCCGAAUCCGAAGCUCUCCAGGGGCAUUCGCAGAUCUUCCCUGCAGCGUAUCCGAUGCCGCCGCAUUAUACCAAGCUGAAGAGGGUAGCUCGACGGAGAAGGUGUUCUGGUUUCAGUAUUCUGAGGCCGGACACCCUGUGCCCUUGAGCAACCAGCUGAAACAGCUGGUUGAGCUCCACAAGGCGGCCAAGCAGGCCAUGAAGGGCUUCAUAGUUCGGCUGUGGCCUGGAGAGGCCCUACCUGGGAGCUAUCUCGGGCUGGUGCGGCGGCUGGUGGAGGCCUGUCCGAGGCUUGAGGUCAUCAAGUGCUCCGUCUGCAUCGAUGGUGCCCGUCGGGCCCUUGCCCGUGCAAAGGUGCACUGGGGUAAGCUGGACGGUGAGAAGCUUGUGAAGGACGGGCUGCCGCCGGGGAAGGAGCAUCGCAAGCCCGAGAACUACUACAAGGAUGUUCUUGCAGGUGCCCGCCUUAUGGCGGAUCAAUGUACCAAGGAUGUGAUAUUUGAAUGAACUCGCUCGUGUUUAUCUUGUGCGCUGAAAACUUGUUCAUAUGUGCUAAGCAAUGCUUAUUGAAUUUAAAAUAUUACUUUCUGUGCGGCCAUUUAUCAAAAAUUGAGAGAUGGCCAGUCGUCGGCUUCUGCCCCCGUGCCACUAGUGCUGGGGUGUUCGGGAUAAACCUGAGCGCUCUUUUUCCCAUAGUUGGGUCCUUCGAGGGAGGCGCUCAGCACAACGAACCAGGCAAUCGGACUAUAAUGCUUGAACACUCUCACUUAGCCAUAGAGCUCUAUAAUUUUAAAUUUCGGUGAAGCCCGUAGUUCGGAAGACCGAGUUCGGGGCGCUAUCCACGCCUUGGCCGGACAAAGCCGGCUCCUCGCUCGAAGCGGCAUAAGCCUUUAGGGACUCGAAAAACCUCUCGAACAGCGAUCGGUCUCUCGCCACAUCAUGACAGUCAGUUUUAGCUUUCUCCACUCAGGUGCUUAACCCAGGUGAACCGGGGCACAAUCGCAGUGGUUCUCCUAGUGCUACCUUAGCCGAUAGAGCGGAACGUAAGGCACCAAAACAUAGGAGCCACGCAAACCCAACUAUUGACCCAAAUCAUGAUUCGGAGCCGAUGCAUAUAGUGCUAUAAGUUCGGGGUGCCGCACUUGUGAAAGUGUACGGACUUCUCACACCAUUAUGAGCGGUACUGAAGCCCCUGGCAUGUUUGCCAUACCAUGGUGUACGGGUGCAAUCAUGUCAUUUAAUAAACAUAAAUGUGAAAAGAAGAUAAUGCAAAAAAUAGACUAGAAGCUAAGCAUUGUUUAUAGAGAGGCUAUUUAUCAAAGCCGAACGAUACAAAUAGUGCGGUAAGCAAAAGAUAUUGGACUAUUCAGUAUGUCCUGACCAGGGGCAGGCCGCGGAAUUGUAUUUAAAACAGGUAUACCGCUCGUAACAGAGACCACCUGGGAGUUCCAUAAUGCGUCAUGGCUUGUCUGCCUCCCUGGAUCUUGCAUCGUUUGUGCGGCAGUCGAAUUGCCGAACAGGUCGUCCGAAGUAUGGAGUCCUGAAAGAAGAAAAAAUUAAAAAAAGAAUCCGGCAGCCCCUAGUACGUAUUAAGCCGUAUUUUGGGCGUGUUGUUAUUGUGCCCCUUCCCCUGUGCCCAUGGUAUUUCAAGGGCGUAGUUAUGUACGUGAGGUACUGGUUUCGCUAUGUUGCGAAAGCUGGGGUUGGGGCCGCAUUGCUACGCUUGCUUAGAGUGUGCCAGGCAGUGUCUGGCUUUUUAAUGGCCGGACUGGAGAAUUGCCUGAGAAGGCUACUUUGUACCUCCGCUGCGAGAGCCGCCGUAUGCUCCUCCAUAUGGAGGGAGCGUUCGGUGUUUCCGUUGAACGUAAUUACUCCUUGAGGGCCUGGCAUCUUGAGCUUGAGAUAUGCGUAGUGCAGCACCGUGUUGAUCUUUGCGAAUGCGGUUCGUCCGAGCAGGGCAUGAUAGCCACUGCGAAACGGUACUAUAUCGAAGAUUAACUCUUCGCUUCGGAAAUUGUCCGGGGAUCGGAAGACCACAUCAAGUGUUACUGAGCAUGUACUGUUGGCUUCUACACCUGGUAUAACGCCUUUAAAGGUCGUUCUUGUGGGCUUAAUCCUUGAGGGAUCUAUGCCCAUUUUCUGCACUGUAUCCUGAUAAAGCAGGUUCAGGCUACUGCCGCCGUCCAUGAGGACUCUUGUGAGAUGAAAUCCGUCGAUGAUCGGGUCGAGAACCAAUGCGGCGAAGCCGCCAUGACGGAUGCUAGUGGGAUGGUCCCUUCGAUCGAAAGUGAUCGGGCAGGAGGGCCAUGGGUUGAACUUUGGGGCGACUGGCUCCAUCGCAUAUACGUCCCGUAGCGCAUGCUUCCGCUCCCGCAUGGGAAUGUGGGUUGCGUAUAUCAUGUUCACCGUCCACACUUGUGGGGGAAAGCCCUUCUGUCCAUUGUUGUUCGGCGGCUUGGGCUCCUCGUCGUCGCUGUGCAGCCCCUUGUCUCUGUUUUCGGCCCUUAACUUGCCUGCCUGCUUGAACACCCAACAAUCCCUGUUAGUGUGAUUGGCUAGCCUUUCGGGGGUGCCAUGUAUCUGGCACAAGCGAUCGAGUAUUCGGUCCAAACUGGACGGGCCCUGAGUAUUCUUUUUGAAUGGCAUUUUCCGCUGACCGGAUUUAUAGCCUUUGAAUCCGGCAUUGACUGCCGUGUCUUCAUUGCUGUCGCUGCUAACGCGGCGUUUUUGCUUAUUCCGAUGUGUCCUACCACUUUUGUCCUUGGUAUCCGAAUUACCAGGGUGCUUUGAUAAGUUGUUACUGCGAGCUAGCCAGCUGUCUUCUCCCGCGCAAAAGCGGGUCAUGAGUGUCGUGAGGGCUGCCAUGGAUUUCGGCUUUUCCUGUCCCAGGUGCCAGGCAAGCCACUCGUCGCAGAUGUUGUGCUUCAAGGCUGCCAGGGCCUCUGCGUCCGGACAGUCGACUAUCUGGUUUUUCUUUGUUAGGAACCGUGUCCAAAAUUGUCUGGCCGAUUCCUCUGGCUGCUGAAUUAUGUGGCUUAAGUCGUCGGCAUCCGGUGGUCACACGUAAGUGCCCUGGAAGUUGUCGAGGAAUGCGGCUUCCAGGUCCUCCCAAGAACCGAUUGAGUCUGCUGGCAAGCUGUUAAGCCAAUGCCGGGCCGGUCCUUUAAGUUUGAGCGGGAGGUAUUUGAUGGCGUGUAGAUCAUCGCCGCGUGCCAUGUGGAUGUGAAGGAGACAAUCCUCGAUCCAUACCGCCGGAUCUGUUGUGCCAUCGUAUGAUUCGAUGUUUAUGGGUUUGUAGCCCUCUGGGAUUUUAUGAUCCAUUACUUCAUUCGUGAAGCAUAGCGGGUGUGUGGCGCCUCUGUAUUGGGCUAUAUCACGACGUAGCUCGGAAGAGCUAUGUCUGUUGUGUUCGGCCCGGCCGGAUUUGUUGUAUCCAGAGUGAAGAUCAUUUUCCCGUGCCUUAGUUGAGAGGUGUCGGGGCAUGGCUUGGGUGGAGGGCCGAGACGCCUCUCUGUCGCGGCCGCGAGGUGGCCGGUCUGCCAUGUCAUGCGCUGGUGAUGUAGGUGCUUCCUCCUCUGAUCGGGGUAGCGGCCUAUGCUUCGGGUAACUCUUGGAGGGGCGUUCGAGUUCAUACUCUUCGGCCGCAAGGACUUCAGUCCAUCUGUCAGCUAGCAAAUCUUGGGCAGCUCUAAGUUGUUGCUGCUUUUUCUUGAGGCUGCUUGCCAUGGCUAAAAGCCUGCGUUUAAAAAGCUCUUGUUCGGCGGGGUCUGAUGGUAUGACGAAUUCGUCGUCAUUGAGGCUUGCCUCGUCUUCGGAGGGAGGCGUAUAGUUAUCAUCCUCGACCUUUCCGUCUGCCGCUCUCUCAUCAGGGCUGGCUUCUCCAUCUUCCUGUGCCGAAUCUUGCUGAGGUGGGUGUUCUUCGGCGCUAUCCGGGGUAGUAUUAUCUCUCAUGUCGGAAUCACCGUUUUUGCUUUGGCGGGAUUUAGAGCGGCGCCGCUGGUGCCGGCGCUUUGGCUGUUUCUUGGGGGCGUCAUCCCCCACUGUUCCAUCGCCAUCUCCAUCUUUUGGAGUAUCCACCAUAUAUAUGUCAUAUGAUAAGGUGGCCUUCCAGCGCCCUACAGGUGCUGGUUCCUGUUCGUCUCCUACAUUGUCGUCCAUGCCGUCGAUGUCUUUGGAGCUGAAGUCAACCAUGUAGGUUAGACCGUCGAUAAUGGCUACAAAGUGGGUGGUGGGUGGGCUUUGAAUUUCCUCAUCGUAUGUAUCCCACCCUCGCUGACCGUAGUCCGGCCAGGGCUCUCCUGAUAAAGAGAGAGACUUAAGAGAAUUCAGGAUGUCGCCAAAAGGCGAAUGCUGAAAGAUGUCUGUAGCGGUGAACUCCAUUAUCGGCACCCAAUCGGAUUCGAUUGGCAGGGGCGCGGGGGGUUCGGAGUCCGGGGAGGAGUCCGGAUCCUCGGAGUCACGGGUCGUGCAGAGUGCGGGGCUAGCGUUCGGCUCGAUCGCUUUCGGGAUCGCAGCCCCCGAGGUGACGUCCAACCGCUCAUCCUCGAUUGGCGCAAUAGGUUCCGAGUUAGGGGUCGGAACCGAUGCGUGUGCGGCCUCCAGGACACUGGCCGGGGGCAGAGCUAGAUCAUGCCCCUCGGGAUAGUGCGGCGUGCUUGGCCGUGGCUCGAGCCCGUCGAAGAUCAAGUCUCCGUGGAUGUCAGCCGUGUAGUUUAAGCUUCCAAACCUGACUUGAUGGCCAGGGGCGUAGCUUUCGAUCUGCUACAGGUGGCCGAGCGAAUUGGCUCAUAGAGCGAUGCCGCCGAAGACGAAGAUCUGUCCGGGGAGAAAAGUCUCACCCUGGACCGCAUCGUUGUUGAUGAUCAAAGGAGCCAUCGGGCCUAAAGGCGACGAGACAGAGGAACUCUCAAUGAAAGCACCAAUGUCAGUGUCAAAACCGGUGGAUCUCGAGUAGUGGGUCCCGAACUGUGCGUCUAGGCCGGAUGGUAAUAGGAGGCAGGGAACACGAUGUUUUAUCCAGGUUCGGGCCCUCUUGAUGGAGGUAAAACCCUACGUCCUGCUUGAUUAAUAUUGAUGAUAUGGGUAGUACAAGAGUAGAUCUACCACGAGAUCAAGGAGGCUAAACCCUAGAAGCUAGCCUAUGGUAUGAUUGUUGUAUAUGGAGUUGAUUGCCUACGGACAACAACCCUCCGGUUUAUAUAGACACCGGAUAGGGUUAGGGUUACAUAGAGUCGGUUACAAUGGUAGGAUAUCUUGAAUAUCCACAUCGCCAAGCUUGCCUUCCACGCCAAGGAAAGUCCCGUCCGGACACGGGAUGAAGUCUUCAAUCUUGUAUCUUCAUAGCCCAGGAGUCCGGCUGAAGGUAUAGUCCGGCUACCUGAACACCCCCUAAUCCAGGACUCCCUCAGGUAGCAAGAUGGAUUUCUGGCGCCAUUGCCGGGGAGAUUCGCGCCAAGUCAAGACAUACCAAGUACCCAUCACAAACCCUUAUCCCUCGCAUUACAUUAUUUUCCAUUUGCCUCUUGUUUUCCUCUCCCCCACUUCACCCUUGCCAUUUUAUGCGCCCUCUCUUUUUCCGUUCCCCUCUUUUCCACUUGCUUUGUCGUUAUGGCUAGUCCUUUAUCUACUCCUUUGUCUCCCGAGAAUGAAGUUCUUAAUUUUAAACAAAGGGAGGGAGAAAAUCUAAAAGAUGCUUGGUACAGAAUUUGCAACACACAAAUUAGAUCUACUAGGAAACAAUCUACUUUUGUUCUUCUUCACGAUUUUUAUGUAGGCAUCACACCUUGGAAUAGAUAUAUUCUUGAUGCCAUUACCGGAGGGAAUUUCUUGGGUAGCCAUACUUUUGAUUCUUAUAAUGCUAUGAUAGAUCUGUUUGGCCCACCACCUCUUUUGGUUAAUGGAACUAUUUUAACUUUGGAACAUGUGAUGCAAUGGCUUGAAAUUAGUGAAAAUAAAGUUGCCACCAUAGAGUUAAUUGAAAAUUUGGAUAGAAAGAUCCAUAACCAAAUUACCCAAUACGGAUCUAAGUUAGGAGUUGCUCUUAAAAGUUUUAAAGAAAAGGGACCUAUGGUUAAUGAAAAGAUAGAAAAGGAUUCCACUAGAAUUGAUAAAAUUGAGGAUAUUAUUACCAACCUUGGGUCUUCCUUUUCUUCUAUUAUAAAUACUCCGCCUAAUGCUAAGAUUGCCAAACUAAUGUAUGUUACAAAAAAUAAGGGUGAAACUUCUAAUAAGGAAAAUGCGGAUCUCAAAUCCAUAAGUGUUCACCCCAAUUUUCUCACUAUCCUUAAGGAACCUUUUGCUACAAAUGAUUUUCUUGAUUUCAUACCUAGGAGUUUGAUAAUUAAUAAAAACAAAGAAACUCCUAAAAGUUAUUGGUGUGUUAUUGAAGAAUCACCUUCCAAAGACGGCAAUACCUAGGUCUAUCUUCGCUUUUAUGCCUAGCUAGGGGCGUUAAACGAUAGCGCUUGUUGGGAGGCAACCCAGUUUUACUUUUAUUCCUUGAUGUUUGCUCCUAUUUAGUAAUAAAUAAUUUAUGUAGCCUAUGUUUUGGUUGUGUUUUUUGUGUUUAAUUUGUGUUUGUGCCAUGUAGAACCAUUGGGUAGACUUGGGGAAAGUCUUUUUGAUCUUGCUGUAAAAAACAGAAACGUUAGCGCUCACGAGAAUCGCUGACAUUUUUAUUUGGAAAGUGAUAUUUAGAUAAUUCUUUUUGCGGAUGAUUAAUAGAUAAAUUCCUCACGUCCAGCAAUUUAUUUUAUAAUUUUUGGGGUUACAGAAGUUCGCGUUAGGUACAGAUUACUACAGACUGUUCUGUUUUUGACAGAUUCUGUUUUUCGUGUAUUGUUUGCUUAUUUUGAUGAAUCUAUGGCUAGUCAAAGAGGUUAUAAACCGUAGAGAAGUUGGAAUACAGUAGGUUUAACACCAAUAUAAAUCAAGAUUGAGUUCAUAACAGUACCUUGAAGUGGUGUUUUGUUUUCUUUCGCUAACGGAGCUCACGAGAUUUUCUGUUUGAGUUUUUUGUUGUGAAGUUUUCAAGUUUUGGGUAAAGAUUUGAUGGAUUAUGGAACAAGGAGUGGCAAGAGCCUAAGCUUGGGGAUUCCCAUGGCACACCAAGGUAAAAUUAAAGGACACCAAAAAGCCUAAGCUUGGGGAUGCCCCGAAAGGCAUCCCCUCUUUCGUCUUCGUCUAUUGGUAACUUUACUUGGAGCUAUAUUUUUAUUCACCACAUGAUAUGUGUUUUGCUUGGAGCGUCUUGUAUGAUUUGAUUAUUUGAUUUUUAGUUUACCAAAAUCAUCCUUGCUGUACACACCUUUUGAGAGAGACUCACAUGAUUGGGAAUUUAUGAGAAUACUCUAUGUGCUUCACUUAUAUCUUUUGAGCUAUAUGGUUUUUGUUCUAGUUCUUCGCUUAUAUAUUUUAGAGAAUGGCGGUGGUUUUAUUUUAUAGAAAUAAUUGUUCUCUCAUGCUUCACUUAUAUUAUUUUGAUAGUCCUUUAGAACAACAUGGCAAUAAUAAAACUGUCAUACAAGUGCAUUGAAUACUAUGAGAAGUUUGAUACUUGAUAAUUGUUUUGAGAUAUGGAGAUGGUGAUAUUAGAGUCAUGCUAGUUGUGUAGUUGUGAAUUUGAGAAAUACUUGUGUUGAAGUUUGUGAUUCCCGUAGCAUGCACGUAUGGUGAACCGUUAUGUGACGAAGUCAGAUCAUGAUUUAUUUGUUGAUUGUCUUCCUUAUGAGUGGCGGUCGGGGAUGAGCAAUGGUCUUUUACUACCAAUCUAUCUCCCUAGGAGCAUGGGCAUAAUACUUUGCUUUGAUAACUUAUAGAUUUUUGCAAUAAGUAUGUGAGUUCUUUCUGAGCAAUGUUGAGUCCAUGGAUCAUACGCACUCUCACCCUUCCACCAUUGCUAGCCUCUCUAAUACCGUGCACUUCUCGCCGAUAUCAUACACCCACCAUAUACCAUCCUCAAAACAGCCACCAUACCUACCUAUUAUCACUAGUGCAGAACCGGGCAAUAGCACCGGUUCGUAAGGCCCUUUAGUGCCGGUUUAGGAACCGGCACUAUUAUUUCGGCACUAAACCCCCCCCCCUUUAGUACCGGUUCAGCACGAACCGGUGCUAAAGGGGUACCACGUGGCACGAGCCAGCUCCGGGGGCCGGGAGCCCUUUAGUACCGGUUGGUAAAACCAACCGGUACUAAAUGGUUGUGGGUUUUUGUUUUAUUUUGUAUUUUUCAAUUAAAUUUGUGUUAUCAAUUUAAAUUAGGAUUGUUUUACGUUAUAAUGAGUUGUAGUCGUCAUCAUCAUCAUCAUCAUCGCAUAUUAAUAAAUAAAUAAACUCUAGCUAGCUAAAAAUCAUCGUGGUCGUCUAAUUACCACUAUUUAAUCAUCAUAGUCAUUACCGCUAGCUAUGUAAUCAUCAUCAACGUUGGCUAGCUUAAAGAGGAAACAUUCACUUUGUAACAGAAGCAAAGAGAUAUCAUCAAGUUCAACAUAAUCAUCACCAACAUCGAAGUUCAGGACACGGAUCCAUGAGACGAGUACUAAUUAAGAGCAUGAAGUAGUAGCUACUGAUCCUGCUUCUCCCUCUCAGGUAGAAUAGCACAGAACAUGUAUAGCUCUCCUGAUUCAUCAUACUGAAGCAUGCAGAUGAAUCUGUCUCCUAAUCUUGGGUUGCGCUUCUCCUUACUGCCCCCUAGUACUUCUCUGCGAUCGUUAACAAUUUUGCUCCAAUCUUUCACUAUUAAGCAUUCUUCGCUUUUAGAAAUCCUGAAUGCACUCAUGUGCAAUGUAGGAAAUCUUGGUCGUAAGCUAACCAUUGACAUGCGACCUUUUGUCUCGAUCCACUAAGGCACAACUGUCAUCGGAAGUCCCUGUUGAACAACAUCGUAUAGUAAUUAAUAUACUAAGCAAUGAAAGUUUAGCUUUAAAAAUAAUGUACGCAAAAGAUGCACUAAUUAAGGACAAAUAUUUAAAAUCUUACCAUCUUUUGAUUAUAGAUGUGACCGUAGUUCAAGGCGAUCACCAUUGGUCGCACGUUUUGAGUACUAACAUUUCUAAGUUUAGAAAAAAAAUUGUCUUGACAGUAUUAAGAUCCUCAAGCCAUGAAACACAAUGACUUAUUUCCUCGCAGUUUAGUUGAGCCCCGAGGUAGUAGUAGGUCCUGUCUACCAAGCGCCGGACAUGUUUGCUUGAACCGAAAUAAGCUGACAAUACACAUCAGUUGUCAACUAUUUUUGAAUAAACUGUACGAAAGACAUAAACGUAUAUAUGCAUGCAUGGUUGAGAAAAACUCACCAAAUGGUAGAACUGGAGGCGUUUGCACAUCGACCCAGAUGUCUAUAUUACCUUCAAUAUCAUCUUCCGGACGAAUAUCAAAGGUGAUAACCAUAUCAGGCUCAAAUGCAUAAGCCUUGCAUAGUGCUUGCCAAGUUUUGCAUUCAAAAUGGGUGUAUGUGCCUCCAUUAUAUAAUUUGACGUUGAAAGUAUACCCAUGCUCCGUCUUCAAGUAAACUCUCUUUACCUCCAUAUCAUCUAUAGCACUAAAACCUAUCUUAUAUAAUACAAAAAUUCUUGUAUGGCAGGGGAUGCGCUAGUAGAAUAGUGAAAAUUUAAAAUUAUAAGUUGAAGCAAAUGAAGCAUAAGUUUUGCAUUCAAAUAAUAAUUGACAAAGUGGCUUACUGUAUCAACUUCAAAUGUCUCAUCCAGCUUGAUGUUGAAGCGCCUACCAUCAACAAGGAAAUUUUGGUCGCACAGGCCGCGCUGGUCUUCACAGUGUUCGCACAUAAUAAAAUCUUUUUAGUUGUCAGAUGACAUUUCCUAUGUUCAUAUAGGUGAAACAUUAAACACCUAUAUCUAGCCAAAUAUAUAUUCAUCUAACAUUUGACAUUAAUAUAUCUAACUAUAUAUUCAAUUGACAUUACUAUAUAUUUAACUUUUCUAUCUAAUUCAUCUAACAUUCGACAUUAAUCUAACAUUUAUAUAAACUCAAAAUAUAUAAAAAAUUAAAUAAACAGAAAAACUCAUUAACAAAUAAUAUUUUAAUUAGAUCAUCAAAUCUCAUAUACCUAAAUUUUCUUACUAAAAAUAAACUAGUUAUAUUAAUUAUUCAACUAGUUCUAAUCUNNNNNNNNNNNNNNNNNNNNNNNNNNNNNNNNNNNNNNNNNNNNNNNNNNNNNNNNNNNNNNNNNNNNNNNNNNNNNNNNNNNNNNNNNNNNNNNNNNNNNNNNNNNNNNNNNNNNNNNNNNNNNNNNNNNNNNNNNNNNNNNNNNNNNNNNNNNNNNNNNNNNNNNNNNNNNNNNNNNNNNNNNNNNNNNNNNNNNNNNNNNNNNNNNNNNNNNNNNNNNNNNNNNNNNNNNNNNNNNNNNNNNNNNNNNNNNNNNNNNNNNNNNNNNNNNNNNNNNNNNNNNNNNNNNNNNNNNNNNNNNNNNNNNNNNNNNNNNNNNNNNNNNNNNNNNNNNNNNNNNNNNNNNNNNNNNNNNNNNNNNNNNNNNNNNNNNNNNNNNNNNNNNNNNNNNNNNNNNNNNNNNNNNNNNNNNNNNNNNNNNNNNNNNNNNNNNNNNNNNNNNNNNNNNNNNNNNNNNNNNNNNNNNNNNNNNNNNNNNNNNNNNNNNNNNNNNNNNNNNNNNNNNNNNNNNNNNNNNNNNNNNNNNNNNNNNNNNNNNNNNNNNNNNNNNNNNNNNNNNNNNNNNNNNNNNNNNNNNNNNNNNNNNNNNNNNNNNNNNNNNNNNNNNNNNNNNNNNNNNNNNNNNNNNNNNNNNNNNNNNNNNNNNNNNNNNNNNNNNNNNNNNNNNNNNNNNNNNNNNNNNNNNNNNNNNNNNNNNNNNNNNNNNNNNNNNNNNNNNNNNNNNNNNNNNNNNNNNNNNNNNNNNNNNNNNNNNNNNNNNNNNNNNNNNNNNNNNNNNNNNNNNNNNNNNNNNNNNNNNNNNNNNNNNNNNNNNNNNNNNNNNNNNNNNNNNNNNNNNNNNNNNNNNNNNNNNNNNNNNNNNNNNNNNNNNNNNNNNNNNNNNNNNNNNNNNNNNNNNNNNNNNNNNNNNNNNNNNCGGCGGCGGGGACAGCGACGAUGACGACGGACGACGGUACGGGCGACGGGCGGCGACGACGGGAUCGAGCGGUCCGCGCGGCGGAGGUGGGAGACGAAGUGGGGAGUUGAAACUGAAAUUUUCGUAAGUGCUAUAUAUAUAUAUAUAUAUAUAUAUAUAUAUAUAUAUAUAUAUAUAUAUAUAUGAUUGGCCUUUAGUACCGAAUCGUGGCUCCAACCGGUACUAAAGGCCUAUUUUCGCCAGGCCAAGCGGCGGGAAACGAAGGCUUUUAGUACCGGUUGGAGCCACCAACCGGUACUAAAGGGGGGCCUUUAGUACCGGUUGGAGCCACCAACCGGUACUAAAGGCCUUGCGCUGCCACCCCAAAAUUUAGUCCCACCUCGCCCGGCGAAGGGCAGCCGCACUGGUUUAUAAACCUAGCCGCGGCUACCUCUUCGAACUCCUCUAUAUAGCAGCCUUCUGGGCCUAAUUAAUUAGGGCGCGCUGCCAUGUGAGUCUGCUGGCCCUUCUGGGCCUGCAUUUGCACACCCUAGGUCUGGUAGACCCACAGGGCAGUGCGCCAACAAAUUUUUUAUAUAGUUUUAUCUUUUCUGCAUUACUUAUUUUCUUUUAUUUAUUUUUGAGUAGUUUUUUAUAUAGUUUUUGUUUUCUGCAUUAUUUAUUUUCUUCUAUUUAUUUUUGAGUAAUUUUUUUGUAUAGUUUUUUUAUUUUCUGCAUUACUUAUUUUUGCAUAGUCCGAAACCCUGAUACUCGGAAAGAGUUUGUCCAGUUUGUACACGAAGUGCGUCCAGUUUUUGCCGUGACCCUCUCUACUCUUUCGCGCAUGCUAUGCGGGUGAUACGAUGAUACCAUGCCAAGUUUCAACAUUUUCAGGAUUCAUUUUGUAGUGAUUUUCAAUUUCACGGUCAUUUAGCUCUCUAAACAAUUAGGUAAAUGACUGAAAAACAACAAAUGAUGUCAGAACAUGUUGAAAAUUGAUGACGUCGCUUUAAAUGCUGCAUACUGAACACAAAAGAAGUCCGGAGUACAAAUAAGUUUAAAAAACAUUGAAGUGGCCAUGUAACAGAUGAGUUCUCGUCCGAAACCCUGAUACUCGGAAAGAGUAUGUCCAUUUUGUACACGAAGUGCGUCCAGUUUUUGCCGUGACCCUCUCUACUCUUUCGCGCAUGCUAUGCGGGUGAUAUGAUGAUACCAUGCCAAGUUUCAGCAUUUUCAGGAUUCAUUUUGUAGUGAUUUUCAAUUUCACGGUCAUUUAGCUCUCUAAACAAUUAGGUAAAUGACCGAAAAACAACAAAUGAUGUCAGAAUAGACUGCACUGCACAUAGCUCAGUGUAGACUACACUGCACAUAGCUCAGUGCAAUCUAUGUUAUUCCGCAAGGCUUGAAGCUAAUCAACAUGUAGAUGAGCAUUGCAAUUCUUCGUCAUUGUCUGUGCACUCACGGCUUAUAAACCGCUCAUACUGCCUCUCUCUUGGCGAGGUGGGACUAAAAACAACUUGCCAUAACCUCAUCAAUUUCCUCUUGAAGCUUGUCCUUGCCUUUUUGCUUGUAUUCUUGUGGUGGAAGAUCAUCUUGAGCUUGUGUCCCCUUGAAGGAAGUAGGAUACUUCUCUUGUUGAGGAACAAACUUUGUCUUGGGGUAUUGAUCUUCUUCCCACUCAACUCCAUUGGCAUUGAACUUUCGUUCAAAACCAACACCUUGAUUCUUCCAGUGCCUUCCUUGCUUGCGCACAAUUUCCUCGAAUUGCUUACUCCCGGCAAGGCUUUUGUACAUUCCUUUCUCUAUAAUUCCCUUCAAUAAGCUAUUUUCUUGCUCAAGUGUAACUUGGCUAAGAGAAUCAUUAGUGGAAUCAAGAGAACUACUAGAAGCAACAAUGUUAGAUCUUAUGUCACAAAAAAGAAGUCGUAUCAAACCUUUUAUGUCGGAUCUAGAACAAACCAAUCGGUAUCGCCAUCAUACAGCCCUACCGUGGCUUGUGAUGCAUAUAUAUAUGCAUAUCAAAUGCACGGUUGGGCGUAUGAUGGCGAAUCCGAAUGAUUUGUAUUCAGUCGAUGAACUGGUAGAUGUAUGCAGUCGAUGAACUGGUAGAUGUAUGUAGUCGAUGAACUGAAAGACUUAUGCAGGGAAGGCGAGAGAUGGGCUAUAUAUAGGGUCGUCUGGCUCACAAAGUGAUUGUGGUAGUUUCGAUCCAACGACUCACAUGAGCUAGGAAGAAGCACACCCUUGAUCCAACGACUCGCAAGAGCUAUAAAGAAACACACGAUCCAUGUGAUUCUUCCUGAUUGGUGGGAUGCACAUUAGUAUCGGUUUGUGCCAUGAACUGGUGCUAAAGAUUGGCAAUGAACCGGUACUAAUGGUAGCAGCCCGCCUAGCCGUUGGAAUCGGCACUAAUGGUCACAUUUGUGCCGGCUCAAAUUCAAACCGGCACUAUAAUGUGCUUCACAUUUGACUGUUUUUCUACUAGUCAAUAGAGUUUGCCAAACUUGAGUUUCCCAAGUCACUUACACAAAAAGCUAUGAUUCAUGGUUGUCAAAUCCAUAAUUUACAAACCACAACAACCUUGAGGCAUAACAAGCUUUAAAUGCUGCAUACUGAACACAAAAGAAGUCCAGAGUUUAAAUAAGUUAUUAAAAAUAAAAAAGAGGUGCAAUGCUGGUUAAUUUGCUUCAAGCUAUUCGGAAUAGUGUAGAUUGCACUAAGCCACUGCACAUAGCUCAGUGCAAUCUAUGCUAUUCCGCAAGGCUUGAAGCUAAUCAACAUGUAGGUGAGCAUUGCAACUCUUCGUCAUUGUCUGUGCACUCACGGCUUAUAAACCGCUCAUACUACCUCUCUCUUGGCGAGGUGGGACUAAAAACAUCUUGCCAUAACCUCAUUAGUACUGGUUCAUGGUACGAACCGGCACUAAAUGGUGAUGGUGGGGCCAUAGCCUGACCGCAGGCUGACACAGCCUCUUUAGUACCGGUUCGUGGCAUGAACCGGUACUAAAGGUUCGCCACGAACCGGUACUAUUGAUCGCCGCCACGAACCGGCACUAAUGUACACAUUAGUGCCGGCUCUAAUUCAAACCGGCACUAAUGUGCUUCACAUUUGACCCUUUUUCUACUAGUGUAUGGCAUUUCCAUAGCCAUUCCGAGAUAUAUUGCCAUGCAACUUUCCAUCGUUCCAUUAUUAUGACACACUUCAUCAUUGUCAUAUUUGCUUGCAUGAUCAUGUAGUUGGCAUCGUAUUUGUGCAAAGCCACCAUUCAUAAUUCUUCAUACAUGUCACUCUUGAUUCACUGCAUAUCCCGGUACACCGCCGGAGGCAUUCACAUAGAGUCAUAUUUUGUUCUAAGUAUCGAGUUGUAAUUCUUGAGUUGUAAGUAAAUAAAAGUGUGAUGAUCAUCAUUAUUAGAGAAUUGUCCCAAGUGAGGAAAGGAUGGAGACUAUGAUUCCACAACAAGUCGGCAUGAGACUCCGGACGAAAAUAAAAAAAGAGGGAAAAAAGAGAAAGGCCAUAAAAAAGAAGGCCCAAAAAAUGAGAGAAAAAGAGAGAAGGGGCAAUGUUACUAUCCUUUUUCCACACUUGUGCUUCAAAGUAGCACCAUCAUCUUCAUGAUAGAGAGUCUCCUAUGAUAUCACUUUCAUAUACUAGUGGGAAUUUUUCAUUAUAGAACUUGGCUUGUAUAUUCCAAUGAUGGGCUUCCUCAAAUUGCCCUAGGUCUUCGUGAGCAAGCAAGUUGGAUGCACACCCACUUAGUUUCUUUUGUUGAGCUUUCAUACACUUAUAGCUCUAGUGCAUCCGUUGCAUGGCAAUCCCUACUCAAUCACAUUGAUAUCUAUUAAUGGGCAUCUCCAUAGCCCGUUGAUACGCCUGUUCUGGAGCUCCGCCAGAGGGGGCAUCGAUCACGGAGGGCUUCUACAUCAACAGCAUAGCCUCUCCGAUGAAGUGUGAGUAGUUGACCUCAGACCUACGGGUCCAUAGUUAUUACCUAGAUGGCUUCUUCUCUCUUUUUGGAUCUCAAUACAAUGUUCUCCCCCUCUCUUGUGGAGAACUAUUCGAUGUAAUCUUCUUUUUGCGGUGUGUUUAUUGAGAUCGAUGAAUUGUGGGUUUAUGAUCAAGUCUAUCUAUGAAUAAUAUUUGAAUCUUCUCUGAAUUCUUUUAUGUAUGAUUGUUUAUCUUUGCAAGUCUCCUCGAAUUAUCAGUUUGGUUUGGCCUACUAGAUUGAUCUUUCUUACAAUGGGAGAAGUGCUUAGCUUUGGGUUCAAUCUUGCGGUGUCCUUUCCCAGUGACAGCAGGGGCAGCAAGGCAUGUAUUGUAUUGUUGCUAUCGAGGACAACAAGAUGAGGUUUUCAUCAUAUUGCAUGAGUCUAUCCCUCUACAUCAUGUCAUCUAGCUUAAGGCGUUACUCUGUUUUUAACUUAAUACUCUAGAUGCAUGCUGGAUAGCGGUCGAUGAGUGGAGUAAUAGUAGUAGAUGCAGGCAGGAGUCGGUCUACUUGUCUCGGACGUGAUGCCUAUAUACAUGAUCAUACCUAGAUAUUCUCAUAAAUAUGCUCAAUUAUGUCAAUUGCUCAACAGUAAUUUGUUCACCCACCAUAGAAUUAUUAUGCUCUCGAGAGAAUCUACUAGUGAAACCUAUGGCCCCCGGGUCUAUCUUUAUCAUAUUAAUCUCCUACUACUUAGUUAUUUCCUUUGCUUUUUCCUUUGCCUUUAUUUUACUUUUCAUCUUUAUCACAAAAAUACCAAACAUAUUAUCUUUAUCAUAUCUAUCAGAUCUCACUCUCAUAAGUGGCCGUGUAGGGAUUGACAACCCCUAUUCGCGUUGGUUGCGAGGAUUUAUUUGUUUUGUGCAAGUACGAGGGACUCGCGCGUAGCCUCCUACUGGAUUGAUACCCUUGGUUCUCAAACUGAGGGAAAUACUUACGCUACUUUGCUACAUCAUCCCUUCCUCUUCGGGGAAAACCAACGCAGUGCUCAAGAGGUAGCAAGAAGGAUUUCUGGUGCCAAUGCCGGGGAGGUCUACGCAAAAGUCAACAUACCAAGUACCCGUCACAUACCCUUAUCUCCCGCAUUACAUUAUUUGCCAUUUGCCUCUCGUUUUCACCUCCCCCACUUCACCCUUGCCAUUUUAUUCGCCCUCUCUCUCUCUCUAUCCUCCCUCUCUUUCUCUAUUUGCCUCUUUUUUCCCGCUUGCUUUCUGUUUGCUUGUGUGUUAGUUGCUUGCUUGUCACGAUGGCUCAAGAUAAUACUAAAUUAUGUGACUUCACCAAUACCAACAACAAUCAUUUUAUUAGCACUCCGAUUGCUCCUCUUACCGAUGCUGAAUCUUGUGAAAUUAAUACUGCUUUGCUGAAUCUUGUCAUGAAAGAUCUGUUUUCCGGCCUUCCUAGUGAACAUGCCGGUACCCACCUAAAUAGAUUCAUUGAUUUGUGUGACAUGCAAAAAAAAGAAAGGUGUGGAUAAUGAUAUUGUUAAAUUGAAGCUAUUUCCUUUUUUGCUUAGAGAUCGUGCUAAAGCUUGGUUUUCGUCUUUGCCUAAAAAUAGUAUUGAUUCAUGGAAUAAGUGCAAAGAUGCUAUUAUCUCUAAGUAUUUUCCUCCUACUAAGAUCAUCUCUCUUAGAAACAAUAUUAUGAAUUUUAAGCAACUUGAUCAUGAACAUGUUGCACAAGCUUGGGAGAGAAUGAAACUAAUGGUACGUAAUUGCCCUGCCCAUGAUUUAAAUUUGUGGAUGAUUAUACAAAAAUGUUAUGCCGGAUUGAAUUUUGCUUCUAGAAAUCUUUUAGAUUCGGCCGCGGGAGGCACUUUUAUGGAAAUCACUUUAGAAGAAUCUACUAAACUCCUAGAUAAUAUUAUGGUUAAUUAUGCUCAACGGCAUAGUAAAAUAUCUAAUAAUAAAAAGGUGCAUGCGAUACAAGAAAUUAAUGUUUUGAGUGGAAAGAUGGAUGAACUUCUGAAAUUAUUUGCUAAUAAGAGUGUUUCUUCUGAUCCUAAUGAUAUACCCUUGUCUACUUUGAUUGAGAAUAGUAAUGAAUCUAUGGAUGUGGAUUUUGUUGGUAGGAACAAUUUUGGUAACAACGCGUAUAGAGGAAAUUUCAACCCUAGGCCUUAUCCUAGUAAUCUCUCUAAUAAUUAUGGUAAUUCCUACAACAAUUCUUAUGGAAAUUAUAAUAAGAUGCCCUCUAAUUUUGAAUCUAAUAUUAAAGAAUUUAUUACUUUGCAAAAGAAUUUCAAUACCUUGAUUGAAGAAGAACCGCUAGGAUGCGUGCUAAGAAAGAUGCCUUUAUAAGAGCGUGUUCUUCUAGUUCCUAUGAAAAUAAUGAUGAAGAUCUAAAAGUUAUUGAUGUGUUCCCUAUUAAAUCUUUGUUUUUCAACAUGGAUCUUGAUAAUGAUGGGAUUGAAUAUGAUCCACCUUUACCUAUAAGGCGUUCCAAGAAUUCAGAAUUUGUUGAUCUUGAUGCUAAAAUUGAUAAAGGUGGGAUUGAAGAAAUUAAAACCCUAGAUGUUGCUAAACCCACUAUUAUGGAUUUCAAGGAAUUUAACUAUGAAAAUUGCUCUUUUAUUGAUUGUAUAUCCUUUUUACAAUCCGUGCUAAAUUCUCCUCAUGCUUAUAGUCAAAAUAAAGCGUUUACUAAACAUAUCGUUGAUGCCUUGAUGCAAUCUUAUGAAGAAAAACUUGAAUUGGAAGUUUCUAUCCCUAGAAAGCUUUAUGAUGAGUGGGAACCAACUAUUAAAAUUAAAAUUAAAUAUCAUUAAUGCUAUGCUUUAUGUGAUUUGGGUGCUAGUGUUUCCACGAUUUCAAAGACUUUGUGUGAUUUGUUAGGUUUCCGUGAUUUUGAUGAUUGCUCUUUAAACUUGCGCCUUGUGGAUUCCACUAUUAAGAAACCUAUGGGAAGAAUUAAUGAUGUUCUUAUUGAUGCAAAUAGGAAUUAUGUGCCUGUAGAUUUUAUUGUUCUUGACAUAGAUUGCAAUCUUUCAUGUCCUAUUAUUCUUGGUAGACCUUUCCUUAGAACGAUUGGUGCAAUUAUUGAUAUGAAGGAAGGAAAUAUUAGAUUCCAAUUUCCAUUAAGGAAAGUCAUGGAACACUUUACUAGAAAGUAAAUUAAAUUACCUUAUGAAUCUAUUAUGAUAGCCACUUAUGGAUUGCCUACCAAAGAUGGCAAUACCUAGAUCUAUCCUUGCUUGUUAUGCCUAGCUAGGGGCGUUAAACGAUAGCGCUUGUUGGGAGGCAACGCAAUUUUGUUUUUAUUCCUUGAUUUUUGCUCCUGUUUAGUAAUAAAUAAUUUAUCUAGCCUCUGUUUUGGUUGUGUCCUUUGUGUUUAAUUAGUGUUGGUGCCAAGUAGAACCGUUAGGAAGACUUGGGGAAAGUCUUGUUACACUUGCUGUAAAAAACAGAAACUUCAGCGCUCACGAGAACUACUGCCAUUUUUAUUUGGAAAGUUCUAUUUAGUUAAUUAUUUCUGCAGAUGAUUAAUAGAUAAAUUCCUCACGUCCAGAAAUUUAUUUUAGAAUUUUUGGGGUUCCAGCUCUUGAGCUAGGUACAGAUUACUACAGACUGUUCUGUUUUUGAAAGAUUUUGUUUUUCAUGUGUUGUUUGCUUAUUUUGAUGAACCUAUGGCUAGUAAAAUAGUUGAUAGACCAUAGAUAAGUUGGAAUACAGUAGGUAUAACACCAAUAUAAAUAAAUAAUGAGUUCAUUAUAGUACCUUGAAGUGGUCUUUUAUUUUCUUUCGCUAACGGAGCUCACGAGAUUUUCUACUUUAAGUUUUGUGUUGUGAAGUUUUCGAGUUUUGGGUAAAGAUUUGAUGGUUUAUGGAACAAGGAGUGACAAGAGCCUAAGCUUGGGGAUGCCCAUGGCACCCCCAAGAUAAUCUAAGUACACCUAAAAGCCAAAGCUUGGGGAUGCCCCGGAAGUCAUCCCCUCUUUCGUCUACUUCUAUCGGUAACUUUACUUGGAGCUAUAUUUUUAUUCGCCACAUGAUAUGUGUUUUGCUUGGAGCAUCUUGUAUUAUUUGACUCUUUAUUUGUUAGUUUACCACAAUCAUCCUUCCUGUACACACCUUUUUUAGAAUACUCUAUGUGCUUCGCUUAUAUCUUUUGAGUUAUAUAGUUUUGCUCUAGUACUUCACUUAUAUCUUUUAGAGCACGGUGGUGGAUUUGUUUUAUAAAAACUAUUGAUCUCUCAUGCUUCACUUAGAUUAUUUUGAGAUGCUUAAUAGCAUGGUAAUUUGCUUAAAAUCCUAAUAUGCUAGGUAUUCAAAGUUAGUAUAAUUUUCUUAAGAGUGUUUUGAAUACUAAGAGAAGUUUGAUGCUUGAUGAUUGUUUUGAGAUAUGGAGGUAAUAAUAUCAAAGUCGUGCUAGUUGAGUAGUUGUGAAAUUGAGAAAUACUUGUGUUGAAAUUUGCAUGUCCCGUAGCAUGCACAUAUGGUAAACGUUGUGUAACAAAUUUGAAACAUCAGGUGUUAUUUGAUUGUCUUCCUUAUGAGUGGCGGUCGGGGACGAGCGAUGGUCUUUUCCUACCAAUCUAUCCCCCUAGGAGCAUGCGCGUAGUACCGAGGUUUUUGAUCACUUGUAGAUUUUUGCAAUAAGUAUGUGAGUUCUUUAUGACUAAUGUUGAGUCCAUGAAUUAUACGCACUCUCACCCUUCCAUCCUUGCUAGCCUCUUCGGUACCGUGCAUUGCCCUUUCCCACAUUGAGUGUUGGAGCAAACUUCGCCGGUGCAUCCAAACCCCGUGAUAUGAUACGCUCUUUCACACAUAAACCUCCUUAUAUCUUCCUCAAAACAGCCACCAUACCUACCUAUUAUGGCAUUUCCAUAGCCAUUCCGACAUAUAUUGCCAUGCAACUUUCCACCAUUCCGUUCAUCAUGACACAUUCAUCAUUGUCAUAUUGCUUAGCAUAAUCAUGUUGUUGACAUAGUAUUUGUGGCAAGGCCACUGUUCAUAAUUCUUUCAUACAUGUCACUCUUGGUCCAUUGCAUAUCCCGGUACACCGCUGGAGGCAUUCAUAUAGAGUCAUACUUUGUUCUAGUAUCGAGUAGUAAUUAUUGAGUUGUAAAUAAAUAGAAGUGUGAUGAUCAUCAUUAAUAGAGCAUGGUCCCAAAGAGAGAAAAAAGGAAGGGCCAAAAAAGGCCAAAUAAAAAAUAUAAAAAAGGGGGGCAAUGCUACUAUCCUUUUUUCCACACUUGUGAUUCAAAGUAGCACUGUAAUCUUCAUGAUAGAGAGUAUCUUGAUUUGUCACUUUCAUAUACUAGUGGGAAUUUUUCAUUAUAGAACUUGGCUUGUAUAUUCCAACAAUGGGCCUCCUUAAGUGCCCUAGGUCUUCGUGAGCAAGCAAGUUGGAUGCACACCCACUUAGUUUCUUUUGUUGAGCUUUCAUACAUUUAUAGCUCUAGUGCAUCCGUUGCAUGGCAAUCCCUACUCCUUGCAUUAACAUCAAUCGAUGGGCAUCUCCAUAGCCCAUUGAUUAGCCUCGUUGAUGUGAGACUUUCUCCUUUUUGUCUUCUCCACAUAACUCCACUCAUUAUAUUCUAUUCCACCCAUAGUGUUAUGUCCAUGGCUUGCAAUCAUAUAUUGCGUGGAAGUUUAUAGGUUUGAGAUCACUAAAGUAUGAAACAAUUGCUUAGCUUGUCAUCGGGGUUGUGCAUGAUGAGAGCGUUGUUGUGUGACAAAAAUGAAGCAUGACUAAACUAUAUGAUUUUGUAGGGAUGAACUUUCUUUGGCCAUGUUAUUUUGAGAAGACAUAAUUGCUCAGUUAGUAUGCUUGAAGUAUUAUUAUUUUUAUGUCAAUAUGAACUUUUGUCUUGAAUCUUUCGGAUCUGAAUAUUCAUAUCACAAUUAAGAAGAAUUACAUUAAAAUCAUGCUAAGUAGCACUCUGCAUCAAAAAUUCUGUUUUUAUCAUUUACCUACUCGAGGACGAGCAGGAAUUAAGCUUGGGGAUGCUUGAUACGUCUCCAACGUAUCUAUAAUUUUUGAUUGCUCCAUGCUAUAUUAUCUACUGUUUUGGACAAUAUUGGGCUUUAUUAUCCACUUUUAUAUUAUUUUUGGGACUAACCUAUUAACCGGAGGCCCAGCCCAGGAUUGCUGUUUUUUGCCUAUUUUAGGGUUUCGAAGAAAAGGAAUAUCAAACGGAGUCCAAACGGAAUGAAACCUUCGGGAACGUGAUUUUCUCAACGAACAAGACCCAGGAGACUUGGACCCUCCGUCAAGACACAAAAGAGGAGGCCACGAGGUAGGGGGCGUGCCUACCCCCCGGGCGCGCCCUCCACCCUCGUGGGCCCCCUGUUGCUCCACCGACGUACUCCUUCCUCCUAUAUAUACCUACGUACCCCCAAAUGAUCAUAUACGGAGCCAAAACCCUAAUUACACCGCCGCAACAUUUUGUAUCCACGAGAUCCCAUCUUGGCGCCUGUUCCGGAGCUCCGCCGGAGGGGGCAUCGAUCAUGGAGGGCUUCUACAUCAACACCAUAGCCUCUCCGAUGAAGUGUGAGUAGUUGACCUCAGACCUACGGGUCCAUAGUUAUUACCUAGAUGGCUUCUUCUCUCUUUUUGGAUCUCAAUACAAUGUGCUCCCCCUCUCUUGUGGAGAACUAUUCGAUGUAAUCUUCUUUUUGUGGUGUGUUUGUUGAGACCGAUGAAUUUUGGGUUUAUGAUCAAGUCUAUCUAUGAAUAAUAUUUGAAUCUUCUCUGAAUUCUUUUAUGUAUGAUUGGUUAUCUUUGCAAGUCUCUUCGAAUUACCCGUUUGGUUUGGCCUACUAGAUUGAUCUUUCUUGCAAUGGGAGAAGUGCUUAGCUUUGGGUUCAAUCUUGCGGUGUCCUUUCCCAGUGACAGUAGGGGCAGCAAGGUACGUAUUGUAUUGUUGCCAUCGAGGACAACAAGAUGGGGUUUUCAUCAUAUUUUAUGAGUCUAUCCCUCUACAUCAUGUCAUCUUACUUAAGGCAUUAAUCUGUUUUUAACUUAAUACUCUAGAUGCAUGCUGGAUAGCGGUCGAUGAGUGGAGUAAUAGUAGUAGAUGCAGGCAGGAGUCGGUCUACUUGUCUCGGACGUGAUGCCUAUAUACAUGAUCAUACCUAGAUAAUCUCAUAACUAUGCUCAGUUCUGUCAAUUGCUCAAUAGUAAUUUGUUCACCCACCGUAGAAUACUUAUGCUCUUGAGAGAAGCCACUAGUGAAACCUAUGGCCCCCGGGUCUAUCUUUAUCAUAUUAAUCUCCUACUACUUAGUUAUUUCCUUUGCUUUUUUACUUUGCCUUUAUUUUACUUUGCAUCUUUAUCACAAAAAUAAAAAUAUCUUUAUCAUAUCUAUCAAAUCUCACUCUCGUAAGUGGCCGUGUAGGGAUUGACAACCCCUAUUCACGUUGGUUGCGAGGAUUUAUUUGUUUUGUGCAGGUACGAGGGACUGGCGCAUAGCCUCCUACUGGAUUGAUACCUUGGUUCUCAAAACCUAAGGGAAAUACUUACGCUACAUUGCUGCAUCAUCCCUCACUCUUCGGGGAAAACCAACGCAGUGCGCAAGAGGUAGCAAGGGUUCCUUUUUGUCGACGAUCUGAUGUUUCAACCUUGUUUUCCAGGCGGCCAACGCAUCGCUCAACUUGGUCAUGGCGUGUUUGUUUAUCUUCGUCAUUGCCAGGUCCUUAUCUGGAUCUUUAUUAUCCUUUUCAUUACGGUCCGGGAACAAGAAUAUCUGGUGCAGCUUCUUUAGGAGGGAGGGCCUCUGGUGCAGCUUCUAUAGUUUCCCAUCGUUGAUCAUGGCAGUUGUCCGUACAAUGCAACCUAUUUGAUUGCCGUAGCACGAUUGCGCUUCCUCGGGUGCUAUUGUCUCAAAAAUACCGUCGUCCAUCUCCGUGACCACCAGUCUAGUACUCAUGAGCUGGUUUAGGCGUCGUGGCCUCUUUGCUUUCGGUUCUAGACUAACUCCGCUAGUCUCGGCGCUGGUCUCAGUCUCAUCGCCGGUCUGCAUGUCGGUAUCAGUCCCUGAUGCGACAACACAGUCGCUGCAACAUGGGUAAGGGAGACCACAUCAGUGCUGGGGGGUCCGAAAAUCGGGACACACUUUCGCGCGUCGCGGGCCGCCUCUCAGACAGCUACUGGGGAGGCGGCGGAGUACCUGGGUGCGCCGCGAAUCCCCGGGAACUCGGUGACCAACUUCCUUCCCGUGUGGCGCAUGGAGACGACAGCGACCCCGGCGAAGAGUAGCUUAGCCGCGAGCUGCACAGCCUCGUCCACCUCCUAAGUUGGGACCUCCGCGCAAGCGUUGCGGGGCCGCCGCUCGGGUGGCUUCUGGAAGGCGGUUGUACAUGGGCACAGGGUGAAUCCCGACUAGAGCUGGCCAUUGGCGCGCGCAAGUAGACGACGACGUCCCCGACGAAGAGCUGCCCGGCCAGCUCGCCUCACUCUCCUUUGAUUAGAAAUGAAAGAUUGGGAAGAAGCAGACUUGAGCCUGCAGAGAAAGGAUAAGGUGACGAUGCAGUCUCCACUCGUUCGGGGCGACACGCGUACUGAAUGUAUGAGAAACGUGACGUGGCAGAGACCCCAAGAUACUCCCUCCAUUUAUUUUUAGUCUGCAUAUAAAGUUUGGUCAAAGUCAAGAUUUGUAAAUUUUAACUAACUUUAUAAUAAAAAAAUAUCAAUAUUCACAAUAUGAAAUCAAUAUUACCAGAUGCGUCAUGAAAUGUAUUUCCAUACUAUAAAGUUUUGGUAUUGUAGAGGCACUCUUCCAUAUAAUGAAGUUUAUAAUAUAUGUGCUUAUAUUGUACUACAAUUGUUUGAAUAGCUUAGCAUAUGUUCAGAUGUAUGAUAUCUGUAAUUUAAGCGCUUGAAUUUUACAUAUAAAUAUUUAUUAAUAAAUAUGUACCCCUAUAAUAGCUAGGCCGUGCAGUUGCACGGGUAGAUGACUAGUGAUUACAAUCUUGUUUGUGUGCAAGUCAAGCUUAUCUAGUUUACACGUAACAACUUGUAGAACAUUACAAAAUUUAUGCUUGCUAAUAACUUCUAGAACACUACAACACUUGACAUGUAAAAGGAAUUUGACGAGUCAUGGCCUACUAAAGCAAGUUACAUUACUAGUCUUAUCUAUCUUAACAGACCACACAAGAUUACAAACUAAGUACCGUGACAGCCAUACUUAUCUAGUUUAUGCGUAACAAUUUGCAGAAAAUUAGAAACUUAGUUUCAGAAAAAUACGCAAUCUAGAUUAGUGUUUGAGCUGUAAAGUGAAUAAGAUGAGUCAUGCAUGUUAUCACACCUUUUUGGUGGUGGAAUGAUAGUGCAACAACAAGGAACUUUAAUGACCAGUCCAAGAAUACACUUGUAAGUAGUGCCACCAAACAGAACAUUCCAAAUGAUGAUUUUUAGAAGCAUCCAAGCACUUUCCACACAAACAAAUGCCAAUUGUGAAAGAGAUCAUUCCAUGGCAGCUAUAAAUAGCCCCAUAGCAUGACGAUCAUCCUUCCUCAUCCAUCAUUCUCAUUAGUAGAGCGCAUCAUUUAAGCCAAGCAAGCUGUGGUCAAUACAAAUCCACCAUGAAGACCUUUCUCAUCCUUGCCCUCCUUGCUAUCGUGGCGACCACCGCCACAACUGCAGUUAGAGUUCCAGUGCCACAAUUGCAGCCACAAAAUCCAUCUCAGCAACAGCCACAAGAGCAAGUUCCAUUGGUACAACAACAACAAUUUCUAGGGCAGCAACAACCAUUUCCACCACAACAACCAUAUCCACAGCCGCAACCAUUUCCAUCACAACAACCAUAUCUGCAGCUGCAACCAUUUCCGCAGCCGCAACUACCAUAUUCGCAGCCACAACCAUUUCGACCACAACAACCAUAUCCACAACCGCAACCACAGUAUUCGCAACCACAAGAACCAAUUUCACAGCAGCAGCAACAACAACAACAACAACAACAAAUCCUUCAACAAAUUUUGCAACAACAACUGAUUCCAUGCAUGGAUGUUGUAUUGCAGCAACACAACAUAGCGCAUGGAAGAUCACAAGUUUUGCAACAAAGUACUUACCAGCUAUUGCAAGAAUUGUGUUGUCAGCACCUAUGGCAGAUCCCUGAGCAGUCGCAGUGCCAGGCCAUCCAAAAUGUUGUUCAUGCUAUUAUUCUGCAUCAACAACAAAAACAACAACAACAACCAUCGAGCCAGGUCUCCUUCCAACAGCCUCUGCAACAAUAUCCAUUAGGCCAGGGCUCCUUCCGGCCAUCUCAGCAAAACCCACAGGACCAGGGCUCUGUCCAGCCUCAACAACUGCCCCAGUUCGAGGAAAUAAGGAACCUAGCGCUACAGACGCUACCUGCAAUGUGCAAUGUCUACAUCCCUCCAUAUUGCACCAUCGCGCCAUUUGGCAUCUUCGGUACUAACUGAGAAGAAAAUAACUCUAGUACUAGAUAUAUGAAACACCGUUUUCUCAGUCCAUGGUUUGGUCAUUGUAGCGUUGAAAAAAUAAUGUGACAUGCACUAUCAUGUAAGAAUCCGAACUAUACUAGUUCAAACUUGGGAAUAAAAGACAAACACAGGUCUUGUCUACAUAUUUAUGUUGCAUCUAUUUAUAUAUUAAAAGUAAUAUAAGGUGAACCAGGAGCAAGGUAAAUAUGCUAGAAAAUUGCACGUUAAUUAGAAAUUACUAGCCCUCGAUCUGGUAAAUCUUAACAAAUAGAAUUAUCUUCACCGUUAGAUUUAUGUAACAUAUAUAAUGCUCUGGGCCUCCAACGACUGUACGUGACACAUCUGAAUGAACAUAUGUUAAAGAAAAUAUAUUUGGUAAAUGGUGGGCCUGUUUAAAAAGAGAACUCACGUACAUGCACCAACUAAGAAAAACACAUACAUGUAAACGGGAAAAGGAUGAGAUUUUCUCACGUACGUGCUCCCUGGCUCCACCCCGUUGAAAAAAUAUACAUCUGGAGGCCACUUUGUUUCCUCAUCAAAAAAAACUUACGUUAAAAAGAUUGCAUGCAUCCCAGGGAAAAUAGUCAAGAAGAAGUCGGACUUUUCCUUACAAAAACAAGGAACGUGUUAAGUUGACUUCAAAGAAAAAAGGAACAUGUUAAGUUAAAAAAAACAAGAAACCUGUUAAGUUAGAAAAAAACAGGGAACGUGGUGUCCUAGGAAAGAUAUGUGUCAAAUCUUACAAAAAAAAAGAAUACACACACGUACGUUCAUGCACUUGGAAAAUAGAAGAAAAAAAAGGAAACAUCACGUAUGUAUACACUUCGGAAACUCAUUACAUGACCAUGUCUGAUAUACUCCUCUAAUGCUUAAUAUUAGUGCCUAAUAAUUUAUAUUUGAAAUUUAAUUUACUGAUCAAAUAUCCCCACUGUUUAAAUUUUAAUUUGGCACAUUGUUUGGCUAUAGUAUGAACCUAAAUUUCCUCUUAUUAUUAUAUAUCAUGGUAAUAAUCCAAAGGCGACUAAUCUGCACCGGGGCACCCGCGCAAUCAAUUCGGCUAGACACAGCGCAGCCGUUUGAUUAGAUUGCAUUUAACCGUCAGAUCUGGAAUCGUUUUCUUUCCAAUUAAACAGAUUCAACCAAACAGCAGAGGGGAAAACAAAGCAGCGCCGCCGCCAACACUAGCCAUGGACGACUGAUGUAGCAAAACCUUGAAGAACCGCCGCCGGUCGCCACCCUCGCCGCUGGUCGCAGCCCUCGCCGUCGGUCACCGCCGGUCGCCGCCCUCGCCGCCUGCGUUUCUCAUCGGCUUCAUGCAUGCAACAACAUGCACUCGUGGUUGCAGGCUUGCAUCUCCGGCUCUGGGGGACAUGGCCGCAUCUCCGGUAGCGCCGGCCGCCGGCCGCAGCACCUGUCGUUGUGGUCGCGCUGUACCUCGCCGUGUGCCCUCCCGAGGCUCUUGCUAGUUCCAACAAAAAACGAUACCUGUUGUAGCAAAAAAGUAUCGCUUCCAGCAAAAAAAGCUUACCGCUACAGCCCGCCAUCGUCAUUGUAGCAAAAAUGUUUACCCGAUGUAGCUUCUGUGGUUGCCGAUUGCAGCAAAAAAUGACAUGGUUGUAGCAAAACACAAAAGAAAAACGCCGGCCGGCCGCUGUGUAUGGUGGUAACAAACCCUAUAGCCGGUGGUAGCGAAAAACUUCAUAGUUUGCAGCAAAAAAAAAUGUUGUCACCCGUCGUCGAGGUUGCAUCAUCUUCAAGAAUUAUGUCGCAAAAAAACGUUGUCGCCGGUAGUAGCAAAUGAAGCCGCCGGUAGUAGCAAAACAAGACACUGGUUCCAGCCAAAAAAAAUCAGCGACAGAACCUUUGGUUGGUUCCAACAAAAAAACUUGUUGGUUGUAACAUCCCUCACCGCCGGAUGUAGCAUCUCCCGGGGCUGGUUGCAACACUCCAUAAAAAAAAGUUGUCUAUGAGCGCAUCCAUGGCGACUGUUGCACCGUCAGCAACGAGGGGAAGAGGAGGCAAUGAAAAUCGUUCGAGUCAUAGCUCCACAGGACGCAACUGCAGCAUGGGGAGUCCAAAAAUCUGUCACAAGCAAGAUGCGCCUCGCCAUCCUCCUGCGCAGGAGAGAGAAGAAAAAGGAAUAAGAGGAAGAAGAAAGGAAACGGGAGAAAGAAAAAAGAAACGAUUGAUGGUUGGCUCAGGCAAUUAGUCAAACGAGGGGCACGCGGGGCCGCAGGAUACAGCGCAAUCGAACGAAGCGUGCGCGUCCGGCCGAAGACUCGGCUGGACUGCCGGCUGGAAACGUUUCCCUAAUCCAAAGGCUUUGUCUGAAUGACAAGUCGUCUGGGUUACCGGCUAACUAGAAAAAAGAUAAAUAUGCUAGAGAAUUCCAUAAUAAUUAAAAAUAUCUAGCCUUUAAUUAUGUAAAUCAGAAAAUCACAACCGUUGGAUUUACUUUAAAGGUAAAUUUCUCUAAAUUCCCACCAUUGCCAGUAUGUAGAAACAUGUGCUGCUUCAAUUCUCCCUUAAUCACCAAUCAAUCAACAACACAAAACAUACCUUAGUUAAAAAAAACUGAACAAAAAAAAAGAAAAAAAGAAGAAAGGACAAGAUACACGCAUGUACACGACAGCCUUGGCUUGAAACACAUCAGUAGAUCAAGUGUCCGCCUCCCUUACACAGAAUAAAUUCUAGGGAAGAAAAUAAUAGUGCAACCUAACCUUAUACGUACUAUUCUAUCCUCGAGUCCCAUGUGGUUUACAAGCCUACCGCCGCCGCAUCAUGCCAUCCUCUCCUUUCAGCUCCCAUGCUCUCCAGCACCCUCCUUGCCGCGCCACUACUCGCCUAGGGAUAUUGCUGCUCAGGCCGUGGAGCUUAACCUGCUUCUUCUUCAGCAAAUAUGGAACUGCUUUAGGAUCCUUCUCACAUCAGCACGUAUGGGCCUCAUUAUACUGCAGCUCCUGGACCUCCUACAAUUGGUUGGCUAUGGCCAGUUGAUCGAUGUGCUGAAGUCCAGGUCUGUUUGCUGGCACAUAUGCUUUGGAAAUAGGCCACUAUGUUUGUACUUCAAAAUUGUUUCUGUAUUCUUGAGUGGUACAUCCUUUUAAGCGCCAGUUUUUUAUGUUAAUUCAUGCUGACAACACUUAACCUAGCCUUUUCAUGUUCACGUAAUUGCUCUGCAUGUUCUACAUAGGAAAAUUUGUCAUGUUCUACGAUCGCACCAUCCCACCCUUCUCUCUUGGUAUGGGCGCCAAUUGAGGGAUUGAUAAAACUGAAACGAAGACGUCACAGGGCUGGAAGUACCGCUAGCCUGGUUCGCACUGCAACCUACCCAACGCGAUUGGAGCAGGUGGCUAUGGAGAUUUUACCCAACAUGGGUGGCAGCAUAAUCUCCGGAUCGGUCCACCAACCGUUUCGACAUAGGCAUAUUGUCGGUCUAUAGGACUCUACUGUUGCCGAAUUGUCGGGUUUUUUUCUUAUCAGAUUUUUUAUGUUUGGCUGUGUGCAUCCUAGUUAUGCAGAGGCCGGGUGGUACUCUAAAUGCUUUGUAUCGCUUGAUGCUACAUUUUGAGAUAAUAAAAACGUCCUUUAUCAAAAAAAAAUUGUAAGUACUACCCCUUGCAUGUGCGUACAUACCUUUGUUGCAUUCUCAAACAGAUAGAACAUGUAUGAUCGGUGCAUGGCUAUUUUUCAUCACAUGACAUCCAGAUAACAAGCAUGAAAGGACUACAUUGGAGAUCAAAAAAUAUUGGUUCCUGGCUAGAGUACCACUACCUAUGGACUUGUCUCCAUAGAAUUUGUUCCCAAGAUGUUAUUUUAAUUAACCUCUUUAGAUUUCUUCCAUUGCAAACGGUGAUGUGCAUCAUGGUAUAUACGUGACCAUCUUGCACAUGUAUACACAAGAGGCUCAGACGGAGGUGCUGGAUUCUGGACGAGGGAAUAUGAAGCAGGAGUGAGCGAAGAGUAAAUAAUGGUGGGAGUACCGAUUGGUGUUAUGAAGAAAAAUGCCAUCCAAAGAUUGAUUAGUGUCAUGGAAGAUUAAUUUCUGAAUGUGAAUAUAUAUGUUACAUUGGUUUCCAUCUUUUUGAGAUAAUUGCACCUAAAUUAGGUUCUUUCUUAUUUCAUGUGUAUACCUUAUUUCAGUAAAAGUUCACAACGAACUUAGUAGGACAAAUAUAAUUUUGUUUGUUCUUUCUGUUGUCCGCCACCAAAGCUCAGUUUGAACUCUCUAGAAAUGGACAAUGAUUUAUGCAUUCUAUAUCUUCUUGAUUGAUUAGCCAUGACAAGGAAAUAAAAGGAUUGACUGAUAUAGCAUAACUUUGGAACGAUCUGUUCGUAGAGGUUACUAUAAAUUAGAGUAGUGUCUGUUGGAAUUUUGCUAGUACGCCUUUGGCCCAAAGCCCAACUAAAAUUCUGAAAUUCUCUUGGCUCAUUUAUGCACACAAGUUAGUCCCACCCCGGAAGUUGAGAGAGAGUUGCACCUCUUUAUAAGGUGAGCUCUUCUACCACUUGUAUGAGCAUGAGAAGAGGAGACCUACACGCGCGCUCCUCCUCGCUCGCCCCGCCGCGCCGCGGGUUGCGGGAUUGAGCCGAGCCGAGGACGUUGUCUAUAUUUUUGCUGCUCGGGAAAAAUUAAUGAGUCAUUAAUUAAUAAUUAAUGGACGCGUUAAUUACUGAACCAUUUCCGAUUCUUUUGGAUCGUAACGACUCGGACGUGGGGUUUACUCCCACGACCUACCCGGCCCGCACUAUAUAGUCAGGCAGACGUCUACCCUAGCCGCCGCCGCUUCGUAUGGUUUCUCACCAUCGUUACAGAUCAUUGCGCCACCAAGCAAGUUUUCUCCAUCCCUCCUUUCGGCGUGCACCGGGAGAAGGGACAGCAGGCCUCCGGAACCCCGCCUCUCGUGAUCCUGUACGGGAGAGGGGCGAUCAGGUUUUUGAGGAGCGCACUCGCACGACUGCUGGCAGCGACGACUUCGCGAACGACGACAUCUUCCCCGGCCUCGGCAACCUCAUCCUCGACGACAUGGGCGACAACGUCAACGCCGGCGGUGCUACACCCACUACACCGUAUGUUAUUCUAUCCUUCUUGUUCGAGAUCGUGGUAGAAUUCAUAUUUCUAGUAUAUGUGCUAUAGAUGUGAUCUGUUCAUCUACUAUGCUAGUUCGCAUGAUUAGUUUAAUCUCUGCUAUUGCUGUCAUGAUCUAUUUCCUAUUUAUUCGGAUUAAAUCUCGUAGUAAUUGGCUCAUUUUUCCAACAAUCCAAAAACCUGAUUAUAGGCAAUUUACUCCGAGUGGUUUUACUGCGCAUCUAAAAGCCGCCUGCCUUUAAGGGGGCGUAAUAUAAGAGGUGGCGCACCAGAGCAGUCUACUGGUUUCAGAUCAUGGGCUGCUAUGAUGCCACCAAGGGCAAGCCUGAGGGCGAUCUUAAUCCAGCACAGCUGGAAGCUUUCAAGGAGAUCAAUACCCUCUUUAAAGGCACUCUUCUGAGUGUUCUUGAUGACUCCAUUGUAGAUUCGUAUAUGUCAUUUGACAACGGCAAGAACAUGUGGGCUACGCUCGAGUCCAAGUUUGGUGCCUCAGACGCCGGCAGCAAGUUCUACGUCAUGGAGCAAUUCUAUGACUCCAAGAUGACUGAUGAGCGCCCUAUUGUACAGCAGGCUCAUGAGAUACAUUCGCUCGCAAAAGAACUUGAGUACUUCAAGUGUGUGUUGCCGGACAAAUUUGUUGCCGGAGGCAUCAUUGCCAAGCUUCCACCUUCGUGGAACAAUUUUGCUACUUCCCUGAAACACAAGAGACAGGAGUUUUUCAUUGCGGAUCUCAUUGGUACUCUUGAUGUUGAAGAGAAGGCGAGAGCAAAGGAUACACGUGCUCGAGUUGCUGAGGGAGGUUCUAGUGCCCACAUGGUACAGAAGAAGAACUUCCAGCCCAACAAGUUCAAAAACAACAAGAACAAAACUUAGGGCAAAGGCAAGUUUGAUACAAAGAACAAGCCAUCACAUUCUACCAACUUCAAGAAGAACUCUCAUAAGAAGGGGAAGGGACUUUGCCAUGUCUGCGGUGAUCCUAAUCACUGGGCUCCGAAGUGUGCUAACCGCUUUGAGGAGCGCGAAGAUGAGAAGAGCCGCAAGUCCGCUAAUGUUAUCAUCGGUGAUACUGAUAUGAAGGAAUCAGGGUACGGUAUUUUUCCUACCAUCCUUUCAGUAUUCCAAACCCCUGAUUCGUUAAUUGACACCGGUGCCAAUGUACAUGUUUGUGCUGAUGCCUCCAUGUUUUCUUCUUACCAGGCCACUGGGACUUCUCCCGUGCUAUUGGGGAACGGGUCACAUGCCAUCGUUCGAGGUGUUGAUACGGUCGAUCUGAAGUUUACUUCAGGGAAGACCGUGCGUCUGAAGAACGUUCAUCAUGUGCCGUCCAUCAAUAAAAAUCUCGUUAGCGGUUCCCGUUUAUGUCGAGAUGGUUUUAAGUUGGUUUUCGAAUCCAAUAAAGUUGUAAUUUCUAAGUAUGGACAAUUUGUUGGAAAAGGCUAUGAGAGCGGAGGCUUGUUUCGCCUGUCUUUGUCAGAUAUUUGCACUAAAGUUAUUAAUAAUGCUUGCCACAACAAUGAGUCUGAUAUUUGGCAUUCACGACUUUGUCACAUUAACUUUGGUUGCAUGACGCGGCUAGCCAAUAUGAAUUUAAUUCCGAAAAUCUCUACUAUCAAAGGCUCUAAGUGCCAAGUAUGUGUGCAAGCUAAGCAACCUCGCAAGUCCCAUAAGACUGCAGAGGCAACAGACUUGGCGCCACUAGAGCUUAUACAUUCUGAUAUUUGUGAGAUGAAUGGCGUGUUGACAAAAGGUGGAAAGAGAUACUUCAUGACGUUGAUUGAUGACUCCACUAGAUAUUGUUAUGUGUAUCUUGUGAAAUCAAAAGAUGAGGCUUUGGCUUUCUUCAAAAACUAUAAAGCUGAGGCAGAAAACCAACUUGAUCGAAAAAUUAAACGGCUUAGGUCCGAUCAUGGUGGCGAGUAUUUUUCCAAUGAAUUUGAUCUGUUUUGUGCGGAACAUGGUAUAAUCCAUGAGAGGAUGCCUCCCUACUCACCCCAGUCAAAUGGGGUAGCCGAAAGAAAGAACCGAACUCUAACUGAUAUGGUUAACACCAUGUUAGACACUUCGGGUCUAUCCAAGGAAUGGUGGGGGGAGGCGCUAAUGACUGCGUGUCAUGUCCUAAACCGAGUUCCCACAAAGCAUAAGACCAUGACUCCAUUUGAGGAAUGUGAAAGGAAAAGGUUGAAACUCUCUUACCUAUGUACUUGGGGUUGUUUGGCAAAAGUCAAUAUAUCAAUUCCCAAGAAGCGCAAGCUUGGACCAAAAACCGUGGAUUGUGUUCUUCUUGGCUAUGCUUUUCAUAGCAUCGGCUAUAGAUUUUUGAUAAUAAAAUCUGAGGUAUCCGACAUGCAUGUUGGUACGAUUAUGGAGUCGAAUGAUGCAACUUUCUUUGAGGACAUAUUUCCUAUGAAGGAUAUGUCGAGUUCAUCAAAUCAGGAGACACCUACUCCAUCUAGUGAGGAGUUCACUGCAAUUCCUAAACCCAUCAUUGCGAUGGAAUACGUUGAGAAUCCUGUUGAGGGUGACAAUGGAACUCCUGUGAGGAGUAAGAGACAUAGGGCUACAAAGUCCUUUGGUGAUUAUUUCAUUAUGUACCUCGUGGAUGACACACCCAGGACUAUUUCAGAAGCCUGUGCAUCUCUUGAUGCUGACUACUGGAAGGAAGCUGUACGUAGCGAGAUGGAUUCCAUCUUAGGUAACGGAACCUGGGAGAUCACUGACCGUCCUUAUGGGUGAAAACCUGUAGGAUGUAAGUGGGUGUUCAAGAAGAAGCUUAGACCUGAUGGUAUGAUUGAAAAGUAUAAGGCACGGCUUGUGGCCAAGGGUUAUACCCAGAAAGAAGUUGAAGACUUCUUUGAUAGUUACUCACCCGUGGCUAGACUGUCCACAAUUCGGGUGCUACUAUCACUUGCUGCCUCACAUGGUCUUCUCGUUCAUCAAAUGGACGUUAAGACAACUUUCCUCAAUGGAGAGUUGAAGGAGGAAAUUUACAUGGAUCAGCCAGAUGGUUUUGUAGUACCUGGUUAGGAAGGAAAGGUGUGCAAGUUAUUAAAGUCUUUAUAUGGCCUUAAACAAGCUCCUAAAGAGUGGCAUGAGUAGUUCGAAAGAACAUUAACUACUGCCGGCUUUGUAGUAAACGAUGGUGACAAGUGCGUGUACUAUCGCUAUGGUGGGGGCGAAGGAGUUAUUCUUUGUCUGUAUGUCGAUGACAUAUUGAUCUUUGGAACCAAACUUGAUUUAAUCAAGGAGGUUAAGGAUUUCUUAUCUCGCUAUUUUAAGAUGAAGGAUCUAGGAGUAGCUGAUGUUAUCUUAAACAUCAAGCUGUUGAGAGAUGAGAAUGGUGGGAUCACACUGCUUCAGUCUCACUAUGUGGAAAAGGUCUUGCUUCGUUUUGGGUAUAGCGACUGCACACCUUCUCCAACUCCAUAUGAUGCUAGCGUGUUGCAUCGAAAGAAUCGAUGGAUUGCUAGAGAUCAACUAAGGUAUUCUCAUAUUACUGGCUCGCUUAUGUAUUUGGCGAGUGCCACGAGGCCUAACAUCUCGUUUGCUGUUAGCAAGCUGAGUCGGUUUGUGUCAAAACCGGGAGAUGAUCAUUGGCAUGCGCUUGAGAGAGUUAUGCGCUAUUUGAAAGGCACCGCGAGCUAUGGGAUUCACUACACCGGGUAUCCAAGGGUACUGGAGGGUUAUAGUGACUCAAACUGGAUAUCUGAUGCUAAUGAGAUUAAGGCCACAAGUGGUUAUGUUUUUACACUUGGUGGUGGCGCUGUUUCUUGGAAGUCCUGCAAGCAGACCAUCUUAACGAGGUCAACUAUGGAAGCAGAACUCACAUCAUUAGAAACUGCCACUGUUAUAGAAGAGUGGCUUCGUGAGCUCUUGAUGGACUUACCUAUGGUUGAAAAACCAAUACCCCCUAUCCCGAUGAACUGUGAUAAUCAAACUGUGAUCGUCAAGAUAAACAGUUCUAAGGACAAUAUGAAGUCCUCAAGGCAUGUGAAGAGGAGACUGAAAUCUGUCAGAAAAUUGAGGAACUCCGGAGUUAUUAUGUUGGAUUAUAUCCAAACGUCAAAAAAAUUAGCAGAUCCCUUCACAAAGGGUCUAUCACGUAAUGUGAUAGAUAAUGCAUCGAUGGAGAUGGGUCUGAGACCCACCGCAUGAGUUGUCCAUAGUGGUAACCCACUCUAUGUGAUCGGAGAUCCCGUGAAGUAGAAGUGGGAGACAAGUUGUUGGUCAGCUGGGAGGAGAGUAUCCCUAUAUUACCUAUCCCACUUCAUGAAGAUGCAAUACUCUCCUAAUCUGCAUGGCAGGUUGAUACUUAUCUUAAUGUGUUCCAAGUGGCUUAUUCGGGUAAGCAGAGAUGUUGUCCUGCAGAACAUCUUCUAAGAAACACAUCUAUAUGAAUUUGACUGUUAACAUUGCAGUCUGUGAGAAUUGGGUGUUCUCUAAUAAAUUCAUGAAAAGGCCCUGGAAUAUGACGUAUACACUCCACCCGCGGGGAAGCCUUGCGGCAGCCCAGUAUCGGUCAAGAAUUUAUGUGAAACUAGUCUCGCAGAAAAUUUUUAGUUCAAGGCAUAGUCCACUAUUCAAGUUGUGAUCUAGUGUAGCAUAAAUCUCUAAGUGGAAGUUAAACUUCACAGUCUCCACUAAGCCCUGGUAUAUAAACAAUGUUUUGGAACUAAAUGAUGAGAUGUGCCCAUGAGACUUUGUGGGGGAUUGUUGGAAUUUUGCUAGUAGGCCUUUGGCCCAAAGCCCAACUAAAAUUCUGAAAUUCUCUUGGCCCAGUCAUGCACACAUGUGAGUGGAGUGAGUGAGACUAAAGUUUAGUCCCACCCCGGAAGUUGAGAAAGAGCACAUCUUUAUAAGGUGAGCUCUUCUACCACUUGUAUGAGCAUGAGAAUAGGAGACCUACACACGCGCUCCUCCUCCUCGCUCGCCACACCACGCCUCGUCACGACGCGCCGGCCGUGGGUUCGGGAUUGAGCCGAGCCGAGGACAGAGCUAUGCACAUUGUCUAUUUUUUGCUACCCCGGAAAAAUUAAUGAGUUAUUAAUUAAUAAUUAAUGGACGCAUUAAUUACUGAACCGUUUCCGAUUCUUUUGGAUCGUGAUGACUCGGACGUGGGGUUUACUCCCACGACCUACCUGGCCCGCACUAUAUAGUCGGGCAGACGUCUACCCUAGUUGCCGCCGCUUCGUAUGGUUUCUCACCACUGUUCCAGAUCAUUGCGCCGCCAAGCAAGUCUUCUCCAUCCCUCCUUUCGGCGUGCACCGGGAGAAGGGACAGCAGGCCUCCGGAAUCCCGCCUCUCGUGACCCUGUACGGGAGAGGGGCGAUCAGGUUUUUGGGGAGCGCACUCGCGCGACUGCUGGCAGCGACGACUUCGCGAAUGACGACUUCUUCCCUGACCUCGGCAACCUCAUCCUCGACGACAUGGGCGACAAUGUCUACGCCGGCGGUGCUGCACCCGCUGCACCAUAUGUUAUUCUAUCCUUCUUGUUCGAGAUCGUGGUAGAAUUUAGAUUUCUAGUGUGUGCCCUAGAUGUGAUCUGUUCAUCUACUAUGCUAGUUCGCAUGAUUAGUUUAAUCUCUGUUAUUGCUGUCAUGAUCUAUUUCCUAUUUAUUCGGAUUAAAUCUCAUAGUAAUUUGCUCAUUUUUCCAACAGUGCCAUCUAAUAGAUGAUGUAAAUCUCCUCAAGUUUGACGUUGUUGAGCUAAUUUACAAAAAAAAACUCAUCAUUAUUGGACGUCCUUAACAGCUCAAGAACAAGUUGGGGUCGAACUAAUGGAUUUUAAACUUUUACAUAAAAGGUUUAGCUAAAGCUAGCAGGUUUUUUUAAACCUGAAUUUUUUUCCUCCUGAAUUUCUUUGUAUUUUCUUAUUGACACUAUUUAUACAAUCAUCUGACAAAGAUUAGCUAAAGCUGUUUGUAGAUACGUUGAAACCUGAAAAGCUUCUUUGGUUAUCCUUUUAAUAGUUCUACGUUUAUUUUCUCAUAGGUCUUAAUUCUUAUGUAAUACCAAGAUGCAUUGUGGUAGUGUACAUGUGUUAAAUUCAGGUUGUUAUUCACAAUUUGCGACAAAAUUUAGCUCACGCUACAUUUAAAUAUGUUGAAAUGUGAAAGCUCUUUUUCUUCUCCUUUCUACACCUUGCAUCGGAUUGCAUCCCUUUAGUUAUCCAACAUUUUGUACAACAUGUAGAGAUUAGGAAGUUCAUCAUAGUUUGUCUAUUUCCGUGCAAAUAAAUGUAUGAAAUCUGCAUUUCCAAGCUACUAGGACAAGUAAAAAAUAAUAAUUUUACUAUAGGAUUCAAAAACAGCAGUUCUGAAGUGCACUUUAUUUAUUUGUGAAAGUGAUCACAUUUUGUUUCAUUUUUCUAUAGACAAAUCUACUAAUACAUACUCACGAUAAAACUAUAAAAGUUCUAGUCCGCACAUUGGGCGGGCCACCCGGCUAGUUAGUCUAAAGAUAACAAAAUGAGUCUGGUGUUUGAAUUAAAUUGAAGUAUUUUCUUGGACUUUCAAAUUGAGUAUUAUUAAAGUAGUAAGGACUAUUCACAUCCUUGGCUUGCCCCUGAUCAAUUAUUUCCAGAGAAGCAUUCAAUUCAUCAAUCAAUUACAUUGAUUUUAGUGGCUGGUACUUCUCCUCAACAUCAGUAUAUUCACCGUGGCCACUCCAAAUCGGCAAGAAUGAGGUACCAGUGCUCUGGAGCAGUGCAAGCUAAUUGCUUCUCAUGUGAAGGGGUGCGGGCGCAGGAGAGGUAUUUCUGGUGGGCCAAGGGACUAAGAAGCGACCGUGGCAGCGGUACAGACGCCCGCAAAGCCCCAUAGUUUGUUUUUGGUUUACAGGAAAAAUGCACAUCCAUACCGGCCUGGGGAAUAUAGGACCGUAUUGGAUGGAAAACCAUGUCCGGAUGGUUGCGAGCGGUUUGAGGGUUAGCUUUUGUAACGCCCGGUUAGUUAUGCUAUAGCAAUUCCCUGCUAAUGAUGUCACGUCACCACGAUUACUGUUGUUAACCUCACAAUGAUUCAAUCCCCUUCAAAUUCAAAUUUAAAAUAAAGGCAAACAUAAAAAGUUUUCAAACAUUAAAACUAAAAUCUUUGAGAGGUGACAAAUAAUGCAUAAGUAAUUAUGAUGGAGAAACCACACUUUAAUCAAAUGUUUAAAUACUCUAAAAUGAAAAAAAACAGUGGCUUAAACUAUUAUUUAAAUGCUUUUAAAAUAGUAAAAAUCUUCUAACUAAAUUAUUUGGGUACCAAACUUUUGGUGGCAGUGGUAUAUUUAGUAGAACUAAUUUAGAUGCUAAUUAUAUAAUUUACAAAAUUAGAGUAAAUUGAAAAAUAGGAUAAAACGGAAAAGGAAAGACAAAACAAUAAAAGCAAAAGGGGGCAACCCCUUGCUGGGCCUCGGCCUAGCUGGCCACUAGGCUAGCUAGGCUGGCCCCGCCGCCUCCCUUNNNNNNNNNNNNNNNNNNNNNNNNNNNNNNNNNNNNNNNNNNNNNNNNNNNNNNNNNNNNNNNNNNNNNNNNNNNNNNNNNNNNNNNNNNNNNNNNNNNNNNNNNNNNNNNNNNNNNNNNNNNNNNNNNNNNNNNNNNNNNNNNNNNNNNNNNNNNNNNNNNNNNNNNNNNNNNNNNNNNNNNNNNNNNNNNNNNNNNNNNNNNNNNNNNNNNNNNNNNNNNNNNNNNNNNNNNNNNNNNNNNNNNNNNNNNNNNNNNNNNNNNNNNNNNNNNNNNNNNNNNNNNNNNNNNNNNNNNNNNNNNNNNNNNNNNCAUCUGGAUCGGGGAGGGUAUUGCCCCCAUUGUCCCCGUUGCCGUCGCCGGAUCGCCCGCCGACGUUGCCAGGCCUCCUCCCCGCCGCCCGUCUCCGGCUGACCUCCCCUCUUGCUCCUCUUCCCCGACCCGAUCUGGAUCGUGAACGAGCAAUGAGCUCGAAGCCCCCCUUCACCGGCGCCAUCACCGUGCGCCACCACCACCGCCUGAAGACCUCACCGUCGCCGAACCUUGCGUCGCCUCCUCGUAUCCCUCCCCUACUCGCGUCCUCAAGCCAGGCCGAGCCCCUUCUCGGCAACGCUGUGAGACGCCCCCGUUUCCCUCCUCUUUCCAGCGCGUUCAUCGCGCUGCCUGCCGUGCCCCUCGUCGUGCGCACGCCCACCACCGCACCAGCCCCCGCUCCGCGCACGACCCUACCCGCGCCCGCGCCAUGAUCCCCUUUUCCGCCCUACCUUCCCGCGCUCGCCGCGAUCCUGAUGCUCCCCCGCGCCCUCUUUCGGGGGCGCCGACUGCCCCUGUCCCGGUGCUCGCCGCCGUGCCUCGCCACCGCUCUACUGCUACGUUACUACUGCGCUGCGGCCGCCGCCUCUUCCCGCUGCUCCGCUAGCGCCGAAGCUCCCGGUUGGCUCCACCACUGCUCACGUUAAACCGCCGGCCUAAAUGGCCUAACCCCCGGCUAAUGAACCCCCACUAACCCACUGACACCGGGACCCACAUUCCCUAAUUAACCAUUUAAUAAAUUAAAACUCUUAAAUUAACAUUAGUGUAUGACAUGUGCUUCCCCUGUUAAUUAAUAAUUUUACUGCUAGUUUUAUUAGUUUCUGUUUUUUCUGCAUAUUUCUUUUGUAUUUGAACAGGCUUUAUACAAUAAUAUUUAGCGUAUCAUACACAUACAAAUGUAAUCAUAGCAUAUACAUACAAAUAGUCUCAUCAAAUAAUGUCAUCAUCAUAAUCAUCAUCCAUCACAAAGUGGUCUCUCGUCAUCAUCUCGAAAAUAGCGAUACAAGUCUCGAUUACUUGCAACUACAUCGUCAUCCAUCUAAACAAUGAUAUACGCGAGAAGAGCUAUCACUAUGAGUGAGAGUGGAACUAUGCAGUACAUGAGUUUGUAUCCCUCUCUCACAUUAGCGUGAACCUAAACUAACUACUGGCUAUUGCUCGGAAACCGGAAACCGGUACACCUGGGCCUGACACUCCGGCCACUCAUCGUAUACUCCUGGCGUAGCACUUCUUCGCCAUCUAUGAUCUAUGCACCUGCAUCGUCACAUGAGUCGAUGAUAUGCAACAUAUAUAGUUGAGCAACAGAAAGAGAUAGACUUGGCAAAAAUAGAAGCAACAUAUCAUAAGCAUAAAUAACAAAGUUCAUCAUACGCAAAAUGCCCUAACUAGAGUGAUCUUCGCUAGUCGAGGAGGACGGUUUAAUUACAUCACAAAUAAUGUUUCGUCGUGCAUAACUCAAAGUUCCGUCAUACAGAAAGUAUGAACUAAAUGGACACAUUGUCAUAUUUCGAAAAUCACUCCAACAUGUCGUGCCAUCCAUCCAAGUCAAGGAGAUAGUACCCGAGCUUAGUGAAAGGCUUUAGGUCAAGACGCUGAGCGGCUACGCGUGUUCGGACAUCUUCCCACGACAUUUGUCCUUCAUAGAACAUCCCUGUUUUUUCGACGACCUCCUUCAUCACUGGUAGAAAAAGGGCCUGUUGUCCCGGUUCGUAAGGGCCUGUUGUCCCGGUUCUGGAACCGGGACUAAAGGGUCGGUACUAAUGCCCUGUCCCUUUAGUCCCGGUUCAAUCCAGAACCGGGACAGAUGGGCCUCCACGUGGCCUGUGCGCGGAGCCCAGGCAGGAGACCCUUUGGUCCCGGUUGGUGGCACCAACCGGGACCAAUAGGCAUCCACGCGUCAGCAUUUUUGUGGUUGGGGUUUUUGUUUUUUUGAAAGGGGGGGUGUUGGGGGUCUUGGGGGGUUAAUUUAGGUGUUUCAUAUAUUGUGUUAGCUAGCUAUAAUUAAUAGAGAGAAGUGUCCUCUCUUAUGUCCGUGCUUGGUCGACGCUACGUACUAUACAUACGUAUAGAGAGGACUAGACACGCUAGCUAGCUAGUAAGCAAACGAAGGAAACAGACGAUCGUCAUGAACAUAUAUGCAUACAGAGAGAAGUGAUAUCGAUCACCUCUCCUUCUCCGAGAGAUUGGUCGAACAACAAGUUCUCGUAUAUCUAUCCGACACUACCGGCUACAUAUAUACAAUAAUUAUCACUUACAAAUAUAAUCAUACGGACUCAGGGUCCACAUAGUAUUCUCCGUCUUUAGGGAUCACGUGGUCAAGAAAGAAUGCCGCCAAUUCCUCUUGAAUUGCUCGCAUGCGAGCUGGUGCUAGGAGUUCUUCCCGCUUCCGAAACAUCUAAUUCAAAGAAGGGGGUCAAUACAUAUAUAUAUGAAUGAAUGAAACUCAACACAAAUGAUGGUAAUAAAAUAAAAUUGUGAAUGUUGUUAUUUACGUACUUCAUAUUGUUCGUCAGUGUAGCCCCGCUCACAGGUCAUGUGGCGGAUGGACUCGCAAACGUAGUAUCCACAGAAAUCAUUCCCUUGUUCCUGCCACAACCACUUUACAAGAAAUAGAGGUCAAUCAAACUGAUAAGCAAGAAUGCCAAAUGGUAUUGAUGAAACCAGCGCUUGAAUGACUAGUAGAUGCGCGGAACAUGCUACUAUAGUACUUACUUUCGGGUGUCUAAAUUGCAGCUCCUUCGGCAGUCCCGGAGCUUUUCUGGUGAAUUUUCUCCAAACCCUGCCAGACAAAGAAAACAAUUACUUGAUAUAUCAGGAAAUGAACAAAGUUGCUGAUAUGGUGGAUAAUGAUCGAUUUAACUUACUUCUCGAGUAUUUGAGUCAUGUUUGCAUAGUCCUGGGGAUCUUUUCGUCUUGAGUCUAAGACGGUUACUAGUCCCUGCUCAAGCUUAAUCUCUAGGAGAAUAUAGUAGAAACUGCACACGCAUGCAUAACUCAUCAAUUACAUUACUAUAACCUUGACUAAUAUAUAAGGGAAACCGAACACACACAAGACAGUAACACUCACUUGAAGUUGUAAGGAAAGAGUAUUAUAUCUUUGUUUUCAUUUAUUACCAACGAUCGUAGCAAGUUGGCCUCGGUAGCUAUGGCAUGAAAUUUAACCUGAGUUGCAUCUAUGAGAUAUGUGUUAAUGAACCCAAUAUCACCGACUUAUCUUUUCUUCAAUUCGGCGAUCUUCAAUCUGCAUAAUAUAGUGAGGAUGAUUAUAAAUACAUGCAAUGAAAGAGCUGAGCUAUAUAUAGAGACUUAAUGACAGAAGUAGUACUACUUACAGACAGUAGCAGGCGACCGUUGUUUUAUCGAGGGCCAAUUGAUUGAAAAACUGAUAGAACUCCUCAAAUGGAACAGGCAACAGUUCAAUUCCAACGAGGUCAUGCUCCUUUUUAACUUUCACAUACAAAGUACUCCUCCCCCCAGAGUCUUUGCAGAUUUUCAAGUACAAAUCAUGCACUCUUCGCAUCAUCGUUGAUAGAGAUAUUUCAUCUUUGAAGAGAGGCUUCCCGUACUCGUAUCUUUGUAUCUGCACCUUCAGGGGUUCAUAAUGUACAUCGUCGGGCAGGUAAUCUGCAAGAUUGCUAUAACCGGGCACCAUGCUCGGACCAUUAGCGACAUUGUGGCUAGGCACCUUGAGCGGGGGGGACGAUUGCUUCGCUUGUUCGCCGAGUUGGGCAAUUUGUUUCCCAGCUCGUCGUUCUUUCAGCCUUUGAUCACUGACAGUACUUCCCGACCGCUCCGCUUCGGCAAAUUCCUUUCCAAUAAUGCACUCAUAGUUUCCUUUCGGCGGAGACUUGGGUGGUUUUGUCAUGGCAGCCAGAGUGUGCUUCGCUUUCACCGGAUCUACCUUCUCCUCCGGAAGUGGAUGUCUCUUUGCUUUUAACCCUUGAAACUAGUCAUCCACUUCGGUUCGUGCGAUCUCGGCGUUCUCCUCCGGGGUCCUCUCGUAUGGUAACUUCUCUGGAGUCUUCAGAGAAGGGCCGAAUCUAUAUGUCCUCCCGCCUCUGGCUGUACUGCUAGACGCCGGCCGAGCAGACGGAGCGGUUGUCUUCUUUACUUGCUUACGAGGCGGAGGAGAAGGACUAUGAUGCGCCGGAGAAGCCGGAGCGGCGGCAGGUCUCUUCCGCCCUUGCUGACGAGGCGGAGAAGGAGGAGGCUGGCUGCUCGGGCGCGUCAGCGCAGGCGGAGAAGGAGGCGGAGUGCUGCCACGCGCUGGAGAAGGAGCCGGUCGAGUGCCCUGAUCGUCACUCGCCGGAGGAGGAGGCGGUGGAGGAAGCGGAGUGCCCUGACUUGCCGGAGGAGGAGGCGGAGGCAUCCAGUUCGGAAGGUUGAUGAGCUCCUUCCGCCAUAGGCAUGGAGUCUUUAGAGCAGACCCCAGCCUAGUCUCCCCUUCACUGGUAGGGUGGUCAAGCUGGAGGUCCUCAAAUCCCUCCGUUAUUUCAUCCACCAUCACCCUAGCAUAUCCUUCUGGAAUCGGCCGGCAGUGAAAAGUUGCGUCGGGUUCAGUAGGAUAAACAGAGCCAACAGCCGCCUUGACCUUCAAAUUCAUCCAUUGUGUCAUAGUAAUUUCAAAAAUUUCCUACGCACACGCAAGAUCAUGGUGAUGCAUAGCAACGAGAGGGGAGAGUGUUGUCUACGUACCCUCGUAGACCAAAGCGGAAGCGUUGACGCAACAUAGAGGAAGUAGUCGUACGUCUUCCCGGUCCAACCGAUCCAAGCACCGUUACUCCGGCACCUCCGAGUUCUUGGCACACGUUCAGCUCGAUGACGCUCCCCGGGCUCCGAUCCAGCAAAGCUUCGGGGAGGAGUUCCGUCAGCACGACGGCGUGGUGACGAUCUUGAUGUUCAACCGUCGCAGGGCUUCGCCUAAGCACCGCUACAAUAUGACCGAGGUGUAAUAUCGUGGAGGGGGGCACCGCACACGGCUAAGGAACGAUCACGAAGAUCAACUUGUGUGUCUAGAGGUGCCCCCCUGCCCCCGUAUAUAAAGGAGUGGAGGAGGGGAGGGCCGGCCCUCUCUAUGGCGCGCCCUAGGGAGUCCUACUCCCACCGGGAGUAGGAUUCCCCCGUUCCUAGUCCAACUAGGAUUCCUUCCAUGUAGUAGGAGUAGGAGACAAGCAAGGGGAAAAGAGAAGGGAAGGAAGGAGGGGGCGCAGCCCCUCCCCCUACUCCAAUUCGGACUAGGCCUUGGGGGGGCACGGCCUGCCCUAGGCAGCCCCUCUCUCUUUCCCGUAUGGCCCAAUAAGGCCCAAUACUUUUCCCCCGUAUUCCUGUAACUCCCCGGUACUCCGAAAAAUACCUGAAUCACUCGGAACCUUUCCGAUGUCCGAAUAUAGUCGUCCAAUAUAUCGAUCUUUACGUCUCGACCAUUUCGAGACUCCUCGUCAUGUCCCCGAUCUCAUCCGGGACUCCGAACUCCUUCGGUACAUCAAAACUCAUAAACUCAUAAUAUAACUGUCAUCGAAACCUUAAGCGUGCGGACCCUACGGUUCGAGAACAAUGUAGACAUGACCGAGACACGUCUCCAGUCAAUAACCAAUAGCAGGACCUGGAUGCCCAUAUUGGCUCCUACAUAUUCUACGAAGAUCUUUAUCGGUCAGACCGCAUAACAACAUACGUUGUUCCCUUUGUCAUCGGUAUGUUACUUGCCCGAGAUUCGAUCGUCGGUAUCCAAUACCUAGUUCAAUCUCGUUACUGGCAAGUCUCUUUACUCGUUCCGUAAUACAUCAUCCCACAACUAACUCAUUAGUUGCAAUGCUUGCAAGGCUUAAGUGAUGUUCAUUACCGAGAGGGCCCAGAGAUACCUCUCCGACAUUCGGAGUGACAAAUCCUAAUCUCGAAAUACACCAACCCAACAUGUACCUUUGGAGACACCUGUAGAGCUCCUUUAUAAUCACCCAGUUACGUUGUGACGUUUGGUCGCACACAAAGUGUUCCUCCGGCAAAUGGGAAUUGCAUAAUCUCAUAGUCAUAGGAACAUGUAUAAGUCAUGAAGAAAGCAAUAGCAACAUACUAAACGAUCGGGUGCUAAGCUAAUGGAAUGGGUCAUGUCAAUCAGAUCAUUCAACUAAUGAUGUGAUCCCGUUAAUCAAAUAACAACUCUUUGUCCAUGGUUAGGAAACAUAACCAUCUUUGAUUAACGAGCUAACCAAGUAGAGGCAUACUAGUGACACUCUGUUUGUCUAUGUAUUCACACAUGUAUUAUGUUUCCGAUUAAUACAAUUCUAGCAUGAAUAAUAAACAUUUAUCAUGAUAUAAGGAAAUAAAUGAUAACUUUAUUAUUGCCUCUAGGGCAUAUUUCCUUCAGGAAGCCACGCUGCUUCUCCGCUGAGAUGGCGGGGUAGCUUCGGGGGAAGCUUCGGCAGUACAUUUGCUGCGAUUUGCUUCUCGUUCCUCUAUCGCUUGUACCCUUGCUUGCAUCGCCUGCAUUUGGGUCUGCUGCACUUUUUUCCUCCUCUCAUGGGAUUUGUAACCGCCUGCGUCCGGAAACCCAACCUUCCACGGAAUGGAGCCUGGCGUGCCUCGUGUCCGUCCAGGGUGCUCAGGAUUCCCGAGGGCCAUUGUGAGCUCGUCGUUCUCUCUGUCUGGAAAGAACGUCCCUUGCUGCGCUGCUUCGAUAUAGUGCUGAAGCUUCCUGACUGGUAUGUCCAUUUGAUCGUUCGUCCAAAUGCACUUCCCUGUUACAGGGUCCAAGCUUCCGGCAGCCCCGAAGAACCAAGUCCGGCAACGGUCUGGCCAGUUAAUUGUCUCUGGUUCGAUCCCUUUAUCAACUAGAUCAUUCUCAGUCUUGGCCCACUUAGGCCGGGCUACGAGGUAGCCACCUGACCCCGUGCGAUGGUGAUGCUUCUUCUUCGCAGCAUUUUUCUUGUUUGUCACUGACAUCUUCUUACUCUUUUCCGAUGUCUUGUGGGCCACAAAUGCGGGCCAGUGAUCUCUGAUCUUCUCAUAUCUGCCCUUGAACUCUGGUGCCUCAUUAUUUUCGACAAACUUAUUCAGCUCUUUCUUCCACCUCCUGAAUAGUUCUGCCAUCCUCUUAAGAGCAAAAGACUUGAUUAAUUGAUCUUUAACUGGCUUCUCUGGAUUAUCCUCUGGCGGUAGGGUGAAAUUUGACUUUAGCUCAGUCCAAAGAUCAUUUUUAUGCAUAUCAUUGACAUAAGACACCUCAGGGUCUUCUGUAGCCGGCUUAAACCAUUGCUGGAUGCUGAUCGGGAUCUUGUCCCUAACCAAAACCCCGCACUGAGCAACAAAUGCGCUCUUUGUCCAGAGGGGUUCAAUCAGUUGGCCGUCGGGCGUGAUUGCUAUGAUCUCAAACUUUUCAUCCGAGCUCAACUUUUUCUUCGGGCCUCGUCUCUUUACCGAAGUUGUGCUCGAUCCGGAGGGCUAGAAAAAAGAACAAAGAUUUAAUUAAUAUGUGUACAUACCAAAACAAUGAAUGCAUCAAUUAGCUAGUCAGCAGAAGCUUAACUAAUAUAUAUACCUGGCCGGACUCGGUUCGGUCACCGGAGACGUCAUCACGGUCUCCUUCUUGCACCGGCAUUGGGUCACCGGAGCCGUCCUCACGGUCUCCUUCUUGCACCGGCAUUAGCUCACCGGAGCCAUUAUAAUCAGCUGAUUCCAGACCAUCGGUCUCGUUGAGAAACAACGAGCAGAUGGCAUCACUUCCUCGUGCGAUUAUGUGCCCCAACAACUCUUCUUGUACUUCGUCUCGGGCGGUGUCCAUAGUUUCUACAAAUAUUGACAACAUGGCAAUUAUUAUUCAAACAUGAGAGAUGGAUAUAUUAGUGGCAAAAACGUAGAACUAAUAUUAAUUAGUGGCCUCGACGGUGCUUCUCUAGGGUUUGGGGUGGCCUCGACGCUGCUUCUCUAGGGUUUGGGGUGGCCUCGACAACGCUUCAAGGAUAAAAAAAGAAGAGGAAGAAGAAAAAAAAGAGGAGAAGAAAGAAUAGAGGAGUAAGAACUCCUCUAUUCUUUCUUCUCCUCUUUUUUUCUUCUUAUUCCUAUUUUUUUAUCGGGAACAAGGGUCGUCGAGGGUCACCGAGCGAUAGAGGAAACCCUAAAUAGCAAGUAUCGUGGGUGUGAGAUACAUGUGGCCGUCGGUGUCGGACAUUCAUCCACGUCCCACAAGUGACGUGGGCGUCGAAGCCCGCGCCACUUGUGGGACGUGGAUGUAGUGUCCGACACCGAGGGCCACAUGUAUCUCACACCGACGAUACUUUCUAUUUAGGGUUUCCUCUACCGUUCGGCGACCCUGACCCUCGACGACCCUCGUUCCACAAAGGUCGUCGAAACCAUAGAAAGAAUAGAGGUUGCCUAGUGUCAAAGGAUUCAACAAAACCAUGUCUUCAUCAUUAGGCGAAAGUAACAGGUGCAUGAUGGUACGAAGCUCUCCAAAGUUAUUUUGGAACGGAGUCCCAGAUAAGAUAAUUCUCUUUUUGGUACAAAGUUCAGCAAGAACCUUCCAAAUGUCGUUAUUUGGAAGGCCUUUGCUGAAAUUCAUUCAAAAAGGCAAAUUAUCCUAUCCGAGACACCAUUCCAAAAUAACUUUGGAGGACUUCGUCAUGCCCUGGUUACUUCCGGCUAAUGAUGAAGCCAUGGAUUUCUUCAAUACUUUGACACUAGGAAACCUCUCUCGACCCCUCGGCGAUCCUCGACCCCUCGACGACCCUGGAACCCUCGACCCCUAGAUGACCCUAGAACCCUCGACCCUCGAUCCCUCGACCCUCAAUCCCUCGACCCUAUAGAACCCUCGAAGAAAGGAAUAGCUAGAGGAGAAGAUCGAAGAAAAAAAAGAAGAAAAAAAAGAGGAGAAGAAGAAAGGAAGAGUGGAGAAGAAGAGAAAAUAGAAUAUUCUAUUUUCUCUUCUUCUCCACUAUUCCUUUCUUCUUCUCCUCUUCUUUUCCUUCUUUUUUCUUCUUCUUAUUUAUUUCUCCUCUUCUUUUCCUCUCCUCUUCUUCUUUCUUUCCUCUUCUUAUUUUCUUCUUUCAUAUCCUUCUUUUUCUAAAAUUGUAACUUUUGCAUAUAUAAAACUUUUCUAAAAUUGUAACUUUCUAUAUAUGAACAAAAAACUUUCUAUGAACAAAAAAACAUUUUUAACAUAUAUAUCUAGCAAAUUCUAGCCACAUACAUCACAUACACAUAUACAUUGUAGCCACAUACACAUAUACAUCACAUAUGAACAAAAAAAUANNNNNNNNNNNNNNNNNNNNNNNNNNNNNNNNNNNNNNNNNNNNNNNNNNNNNNNNNNNNNNNNNNNNNNNNNNNNNNNNNNNNNNNNNNNNNNNNNNNNNNNNNNNNNNNNNNNNNNNNNNNNNNNNNNNNNNNNNNNNNNNNNNNNNNNNNNNNNNNNNNNNNNNNNNNNNNNNNNNNNNNNNNNNNNNNNNNNNNNNNNNNNNNNNNNNNNNNNNNNNNNNNNNNNNNNNNNNNNNNNNNNNNNNNNNNNNNNNNNNNNNNNNNNNNNNNNNNNNNNNNNNNNNNNNNNNNNNNNNNNNNNNNNNNNNNNNNNNNNNNNNNNNNNNNNNNNNNNNNNNNNNNNNNNNNNNNNNNNNNNNNNNNNNNNNNNNNNNNNNNNNNNNNNNNNNNNNNNNNNNNNNNNNNNNNNNNNNNNNNNNNNNNNNNNNNNNNNNNNNNNNNNNNNNNNNNNNNNNNNNNNNNNNNNNNNNNNNNNNNNNNNNNNNNNNNNNNNNNNNNNNNNNNNNNNNNNNNNNNNNNNNNNNNNNNNNNNNNNNNNNNNNNNNNNNNNNNNNNNNNNNNNNNNNNNNNNNNNNNNNNNNNNNNNNNNNNNNNNNNNNNNNNNNNNNNNNNNNNNNNNNNNNNNNNNNNNNNNNNNNNNNNNNNNNNNNNNNNNNNNNNNNNNNNNNNNNNNNNNNNNNNNNNNNNNNNNNNNNNNNNNNNNNNNNNNNNNNNNNNNNNNNNNNNNNNNNNNNNNNNNNNNNNNNNNNNNNNNNNNNNNNNNNNNNNNNNNNNNNNNNNNNNNNNNNNNNNNNNNNNNNNNNNNNNNNNNNNNNNNNNNNNNNNNNNNNNNNNNNNNNNNNNNNNNNNNNNNNNNNNNNNNNNNNNNNNNNNNNNNNNNNNNNNNNNNNNNNNNNNNNNNNNNNNNNNNNNNNNNNNNNNNNNNNNNNNNNNNNNNNNNNNNNNNNNNNNNNNNNNNNNNNNNNNNNNNNNNNNNNNNNNNNNNNNNNNNNNNNNNNNNNNNNNNNNNNNNNNNNNNNNNNNNNNNNNNNNNNNNNNNNNNNNNNNNNNNNNNNNNNNNNNNNNNNNNNNNNNNNNNNNNNNNNNNNNNNNNNNNNNNNNNNNNNNNNNNNNNNNNNNNNNNNNNNNNNNNNNNNNNNNNNNNNNNNNNNNNNNNNNNNNNNNNNNNNNNNNNNNNNNNNNNNNNNNNNNNNNNNNNNNNNNNNNNNNNNNNNNNNNNNNNNNNNNNNNNNNNNNNNNNNNNNNNNNNNNNNNNNNNNNNNNNNNNNNNNNNNNNNNNNNNNNNNNNNNNNNNNNNNUUUUGUUUCUACUUACAACAAAAUACUUAUUGUUGCUAUUUUUUCCAGUUUUUUUGUUUUGUUUUCUGCAUUUUUUUUGCUUUAUUUUUUUAUUCUUUUUUCUUUUAGUUUUAGAAAAAUUAUAAACUUUCUGUUAGUGCCUUUAUAAACUUUUUGCUUUUAAUUUGAAUUCUUUGAAAAUUGUUUGAAUCACAAGUUUGUGAUUAACUUACUAAAAAAAUGAGAAUAGAUGCGCUUAUAGAGAAAAUUCAACCUAAAUUCCUAGUAAAUUUCUAUGAAUUUCAGAGAAAUUCACUAUGAAUUUAGGUUAAACUUUUCUCUAUUAGGGCAUCUAUUUUCACUUUGAGAGGAGCUCAACAAGGCAGAGAGGGAAGGGCUUAUAAACUGGUGUGAGCCCCCUUCGGUUGGCGAGGUGGGACUAAACUCUGCCUGCAACGACGACCAACCCUUUAGUCCCGGUUUGUGGCACAAACCGGGACUAAUGGUCAUGGGCCAGGGGUGAGGAGCAAAAUUAUAAACUUUCUGUUAGUGCCAUUAGUUUUAGAAAGUUGAAAGUUGAAAGUUGGCAUGGGCCAGGCACUAAUGGUCAUGGUAUUACGAGGGCCGAACCAUAAGACAUGAAAGCAUUUCAAAUGAACUCUGAAAAAGUUGAAAGUUGGCAUGGUAUCAUAAUUUCACCCACAUAGCAUGUGCAUGUACAAAACAGACAAUGGUAGCAUGUUCGUGUGUUACAAAGUUGGCAUGGUAUCAUCAUAAUAGUUGCGGGAGAAAGUCUUCACUUUUUCUUCGCUUGCGUCAUUUGCUUAUUGCGCUGUAAUCAUGGAUAAUCUUCAUUGUUUAUCAGGAUGCUUGGGUCAGCCUUGACAUUGAAGGGAGGAAUUUCAUGAAACUUUUCAUAAUCUUCAGACAUGUCUAUCUUGCCGUCCACUCCCAGGAUGUCCCUUUUUCCUGAAAGAACUAUGUGGCGCUUUGGCUCAUCGUAUGAUGUAUUCGCUUCCUUAUCUUUUCUUUUUCUCGGUUUGGUAGACAUGUCCUUCACAUAGAUAACCUGUGCUACAUCAUUGGCUAGGACGAACGGUUCGUCAGUGUACCCAAGAUUUUUCAGAUCCACUGUUGUCAUUCCGUACUGUGGGUCUACCUGUACCCCGCCGUCUAACAGAUUGACCCAUUUGCACUUAAACAAAGGGACCUUAAAAUCAGGUCCGUAGUCAAGUUCCCAUAUGUCCAUUAUGUAACCAUAAUAUGUGUCCUUUCCGCUCUCGGUUGCUGCAUCAAAGCAGACACCGCUGUUUUGGUUGGUGCUCUUUUGAUCUUGGGCGAUUGUGUAAAAUGUAUUCCCAUUUAUCUCGUAUCCUUUGUAAGUCAAUACAGUCAAAGAUGGUCCCCUGGACAACAAGUACAACUCAUCACAAACAGUGUUGUCACCUCCGAGACGUGUUUCCAAGCAACUACUGAAAGUCCUGAUGUGUUCACAUGUAAUCUAGUCGUUGCACUGCUCCGGGUGUUUGGAGCGCAGACUGUUCUUGUGUUCAUCGACAUACGGGGUCACCAAGGUAGAGUUUUGUAGAACUGUGUAGUUUGCUUGAGACCAAGAAUAUCCGUCCCUGCAUAUUAUUGAGUCUCUUCCAAGAGUGCCUUUUCCAGUCAGUCUCCCCUCAUACCGCGAUUUAGGGAGACCUAUCUUCUUAAGGCCAGGAAUGAAGUCAACACAAAACCCGAUAACAUCCUCUGUUUGAUGGCCCAUGGAGAUGCUUCCUUCUGACCUAGCGCGGUUACGGACAUAUUUCUUUAGGACUCCCAUGAACCUCUCAAAGGGGAACAUAUUGUGUAGAAAUACGGGCCCCAGGAUGACAAUCUCGUCGACUAGAUGAACUAGGACGUGCACCAUGAUAUUGAAGAAGGAUGGUGGGAACACCAGCUCGAAACUGACAAGACAUUGUGCCACAUCACUCCUUAGCCUUGGUACGAUUUCUGGAUCGAUCACCUUCUGAGAGAUUGCAUUGAGGAAUGCACAUAGCUUCACAAUGGCUAAUCGGACGUUUUCCGGUAGAAGCCCCCUCAAUGCAACCGGAAGCAGUUGCGUCAUAAUCACGUGGCAGUCAUGAGACUUUAGGUUCUGAAACUUUUUCUCUGGCAUAUUUAUUAUUCCCUUUAGAUUCGAUGAGAAGCCAGUCGUGACCUUCAUACUAAGCAGGCAUUCAAAGAAGAUUUCUUUCUCUUCUUUCGUAAGAGCGUAGCUGGCAGGACCUUUAUACUGCUUCGGAGGCAUGCCGUCUUUUUCGUGCAAACGUUGCAGUUCCUCCCGUGCCUCGGGUGUAUCUUUUGUCUUCCCAUACACGCCCAAGAAGCCUAGCAGGUUCACGCAAAGGUUCUUCGUCACGUGCAUCACGUCGAUUGAGGAGCGGACCUCUAGGUCUUUCCAGUAGGGUAGGUCCGAAAAUAUAGAUUUCUUCUUCCACAUGGGUGCGUGUCCCUCAGCGUCAUUCGGAACAGCUAGUCCACUGGGACCCUUUCCAAAGAUUACGUAGUGUAAAUCAUUGACCAUAGCAAGCACGUGAUUACCGGUGCGCAUGGCGGGCUUCUUCCGGUGAUCUGCCUCGCCUUUGAAAUGCUUGCCUUUCUUUUGACAUUGAUGGUUGGUCGGAAGAAAUCGACGAUGGCCCAGGUACACAUUCUUCCUGCAUUUGUCCAGGUAUAUACUCUUAGUGUCAUCUAAACAGUGCGUGCAUGUGUGGUAUCCUUUGUUUGUCUGUCCUGGAAGGCUACUGACAGCGGGCCAAUCGUUGAUGGUCUCAAACAGCAAUGCCUUAAGGUUAAAUUCCUCCUGUUUGUGCUCAUCCCACGUACGUACACCAUUUCCAUUCCACAGCUGUAAAAGUUCUUCAACUAAUGGCCUUAGGUACACAUCAAUUUCGUUGCCGGGUUGCUUAGGGCCUUGGAUGAGAACUGGCAUCAUAAUGAACUUCCGCUUCAUGCACAUCCAAGGAGGAAGGUGAAGGAAAUAUGCCCUAGAGGCAAUAAUAAAGUUAUUAUUUAUUUCCUUAUAUGAUGAUAAAUGUUUAUUAUUCAUGCUAGAAUUUUAUUAACUGGAAACAUAAUACAUGUGUGAAUACAUAGACAAACAGAGUGUCACUAGUAUGCCUCUACUUGACUAGCUCGUUAAUCAAAGAUGGUUAUGUUUCCUAACCAUGGACAAAGAGUUGUUAUUUGAUUAACGGGAUCACAUCAUUAGUUCAAUGAUCUGAUUGACAUGACCCAUUCCAUUAGCUUAGCACCCGAUCGUUUAGUAUGUUGCUAUUGCUUUCUUCAUGACUUAUACAUGUUCCUAUGACUAUGAGAUUAUGCAACUCCCGUUUGCCGGAGGAACACUUUAUGUGCUAUCAAACGUCACAACGUAACUGGGUGAUUAUAAAGGAGCUCUACAUGUGUCUCCAAAGGUACAUGUUGGGUUGGCGUAUUUCGAGAUUAGGAUUUGUCACUCCGAAUGUCGGAGAGCUAUCUCUGGGCCCUAUCGGUAAUGCACAUCACUUAAGCCUUGCAAGCAUUGCAACUAAUGAGUUAGUUGUGGGAUGAUGUAUUACGCAACGAGUAAAAAGACUUGCCGGUAACGAGAUUGAACUAGGUAUUGGAUACCGACGAUCGAAUCUCGGGCAGUAACAUACCGAUGACAAAGGGAACAACGUAUGUUGUUAUGCGGUCUGACCGAUAAAAGAUCUUCGUAGAAUAUGUAGGAACCAAUAUGGGCAUCUAGGUCCCGCUAUUGGUUAUUGACCGGAGACGUGUCUCAGUCAUGUCUACAUUGUUCUCGAACCCAUAGGGUCCGCACGCUUAAGGUUUCGAUGACAGUUAUAUUAUGAGUUUAUACGUUUUGAUGUACCAAAGGUUGUUCGGAGUCCCGGAUGAGAUCAUGGACAUGACGAGGAGUCUCAAAAAGGUUGAGACAUAAAGAUUGAUAUAUUAGAAGCCUAUGUUUGGAUAUCGGAAGUGUUCCGGGUGAAAUCGGGAUUUUACCGGAGUACCGGGAGGUUACCGGAACCCCCCGGGAGCUAUAUGGGCCUUAGUUGGCCUUAGUGGAAGAAGAGGAGAGGCAGCCAGGGCUGGACCGCGCGCCCCUCCCCCUAGUCCGAAUAGGACAAGGAGAGAGGGGGCCGGUGCCCCCCUCCUUCUCUCUCCCUCAUUUCCCACCUCGCGAAUCCUAUUCCAACUAGGAUUGGGGGGAAGUCCUACUCCCGGAGGGAGUAGGACUCCUCCUGGCGCGCCCUAUGAUGACCGGCCGGCCUUCCCCUCUUGAACCUUUAUAUACGGAGGUAGGGGCACCCGUAGAGACACAAGUUGAUCCACGUGAUCAUAUUCUUAACCGUGUGCGGUGCCCCCUGCCACCAUAAUCCUCGAUAAUAUUGUAGCGGUGCUUAGGCGAAGCCCUGCGACAGUAGUACAUCAAGAUCGUCACCACGCUGUCGUGCUGAUGGAACUCUUCCCCGACACUUUGUUGGAUCGGAGUCCGGGGAUCGUCAUCGAGCUGAACGUGUGCUAGAACUCGGAGGUGCCGUAGUUCCGGUGCUUGAUCGGUCGGGCCGUGGAGACGUACGACUACAUCAACCAAACGCUUCCGUUGUCGAUCUACAAGGGUACGUAGAUCACACUCUCCCCUCUCGUUGCUAUGCAUUACAUGAUCUUGCGUGUGCAUAGGAAAUUUUUUGAAAUUACUACGUUCCCCAACAGUAGCAUCCGAGCCUAGGUUUUUAUGGUUUGAUGUUAUAUGCACUAGUAGAACACAAGUGAGUUGUGGGCGAUAUAAGUCAUACUGCUUACCAGCAUGUCAUACUUUGGUUCGGCGGUAUUGUUGGACGAAGCGGCCCGGACCGACAUUACGCGUACGCUUACGCAAGACCGGUUCUCCCGACGUGCUUUGCACAUAGGUGGCUUGCGGGUGACAGUUUCUCCAACUUUAGUUGAACCGAGUGUGGCUACGCCCGGUCCUUGCGAAGGUUAAAACAGCACCAACUUGACAAACUAUCGUUGUGGUUUUGAUGCGUAGGUAAGAUUGGUUCUUGCUUAAGCCCGUAGCAGCCACGUAAAACUUGCAACAACAAAGUAGAGGACGUCUAACUUGUUUUUACAGGGCAUGUUGUGAUGUGAUAUGUUCAAGACAUGAUGCUAAAUUUUAUUGUAUGAGAUGAUCAUGUUUUGUCACCGAGUUAUCGGUAACUGGCAGGAGCCAUAUGGUUGUCGCUUUAUUGUAUGAAAUGCAAUCGCGCUGUAAUGCUUUACUUUAUCACUAAGCGGUAGCGAUUGUCGUGGAAGCAUAAGAUUGGCGAGACGAAAACAAUGCUACGAUGGAGAUCAAGGUGUCGCGCCGGUGACGAUGGUGAUCAUGACGGUGCUUUGGAGAUGGAGAUCACAGGCACAAGAUGAUGAUGGCCAUAUCAUAUCACUUAUAUUGAUUGCAUGUGAUAUUUAUCUUUGAUGCAUCUUAUCUUGAUUUGAUUGACGGUAGCAUUAUAAGAUGAUCUCUCACUAAAUUAUCAAGAUAAAAGUGUUCUCCCUGAGUAUGCACCAUUGCCAAAGUUCGUCGUGCCCAGACACCACGUGAUGAUCGGGUGUGAUAAGCUCUACGUCCAUCUACAACGGGUGCAAGCCAGUUUUGCACACACAGAAUACUCAGGUUAAACUUGACGAGCCUAGCAUAUGCAGAUAUGGCCUCGGAACACUGAGAUCGAAAGAUCGAGCGUGAAUCAUAUAGUAGAUAUGAUCAACAUAGCGAUGUUCACCAUUGAAAACUACUCCAUUUCACGUGAUGAUCGGUUAUGGUUUAGUUGAUUUGGAUCACGUGAUCACUUAGAGGAUUAGAGGGAUGUCUAUCUAAGUGGGAGUUCUUAAGUAAUAUGAUUAAAUUGAACUUAAAUUUAUCAUGAACUUAGUCCUGGUAGUAUUUUGCAAAUCAUGUUGUAGAUCAAUAGCUCGCGUUGUUGAUUCCCUGUGUUUAUUUUGAUAUGCUCCUAGAGAAAAUAGUGUUGAAAAAUGUUAGUAGCAGUGAUGCGGAUUGGAUCCGUGAUCUGAGGUUUAUCCUCAUUGCUGCACAGAAGAAUUAUGUCCUUGAUGCACCGCUAGGUGACAGACCUAUUGCAGGAGCAGAUGCAGACGUUACGAACGUUUGGCUAGCUCAAUAUGAUGACUACUUGAUACUUUAGUGCACCAUGCUUAACGGCUUAGAAUCGGGACUUCAAAGACGUUUUGAACGUCAUGGACCAUAUGAGAUGUUCCAGGAGUUGAAGUUAAUAUUUCAAGCAAAUACCCGAGUUGAGAGAUAUGAAGUCUCCAACAAGUUCUAUAGCUAAAAGAUGGAGGAGAAUCGCUCAAGCAGUGAGCAUGUGCUCAGAUUAUCUGCGUACUACAAUCGCUUGAAUCAAGUGGGAGUUAAUCUUCCAGAUAAAAUAGUGAUUGACAGAAUUCUCUAGUCACCAUCACCAAGUUAGUAGAACUUCGUGAUGAACUAUAAUAUGCAAGGGAUAACGGAAACAAUUCCCAAGCUCUUCGUGAUGCUGAAACCGACGAAGAUAGAAAUCAAGAAAAACAUCAAGUGUUGAUGGUUAACAAGACCACUAGUUUCAAGAAAAGGGCAAAGGGAAGAAGGGGAACUUCAAGAAGAACAGCAAGCAAGUUGCUGCUCAAGUGAAGAAGCCCAAGUCUGGUCCUAAGCCUGAGACUAAGUGCUUCUGCUGCAAAGGGACUGAUCACUGGAAGCAGAACUGCCCCAAGUAUUUGGCGGAUAAGAAGGAUGGCAAAGUGAACAAAAGUAUAUUUGAUAUACAUGUUAUUGAUGUGUACUUUACUAGUGUUUAUAGCAACCCCUCAGUAUUUGAUACUGGAUCAGUUGCUAAGAGUAGUAACUCGAAACAGGAGUUGCAGAAUAAACAGAGACUAGUCAAGGGUGAAGUGACGAUGUGUGUUGGAAGUAGUUCCAAGAUUGAUAUGAUCAUCAUCGUACACUCCCCUAUACUUUCGGGAUUAGUGUUGAACCUAAAUAAGUAUUAUUUGGUGUUUGCGUUGAGCAUGAAUAUGAUUUGAUCAUGUUUAUUGCAAUACGGUUAUUCAUUUAAGUAAGAGAAUAAAUUGUUGUUCUGUUUACAUGAAUAAAACCUUAUAUAGUUACACACCCAAUGAAAAUGGUUCGUUGGAUCUCGAUCAUAGUGAUACACAUAUUCAUAAUAUUGAAACCAAAAGAUGCAAAGUUAAUAAUGAUAGUGCAACUUAUUUGUGGCACUGCCUUUUAGGUCAUAUUGGUCUAAAGCACAUGAAGAAACUCCAUGCUGAUGGGCUUAUGGAAUCACUUGAUUAUGAAUCACUUGAUGCUUGCGAACCAUGCCUCAUGGGCAAGAUGACUAAGACUCCGUUCUCCGGAACAAUGGAGCGAGCAACUGACUUAUUGGAAAUAAUACAUACUGAUGUAUGCGAUCCGAUGAAUAUUAAGGCUUGCAGCAGGUAUCAUUAUUUUCUGACCUUCACAGAUGAUUUGAGCAGAUAUGGGGAUAUCUACUUGAUGAAACAUAAGUCUGAAACAUUUGAAUAGUUCAAAGAAUUUUAGAGUGAAGAGGAAAAUCAUCAUGACAAGAAAAUAAAAGUUUCUACGAUAUGAUCGCAGAGGUAAAAUAUUUGAGUUACGAGUUUGGCCUUCAAACAAUGUGAAAUAGUUUCACUACUCACGCCACCUGGAACACCAUAGUGUAAUGGUGUGUCCGAACGUCAUAACCGUACUUUAUUAGAUAUAGUGCGAUCUAUGAUGUCUCUUACCGAUCUACCACUAUCGUUUUAGGGUUAUGCAUUAGAGACAGCUGCAUUCACGUUAAAUAGGGCACCAUCUAAAUCCGUUGAGACGACACCGUGUGAACUAUGGUUUGGCAAGAAACCUAAGUUGUCGUUUCUUAAAGUUUGGAGUUGCGAUGCUUAUGUGAAAAAGUUUCAUCUCGAUAAGCUCAAACUCAAAUCGGAGAAAUAUGUCUUCAUAGGAUACCCAAAGGAGACAAUUGGGUACACCUUCUAUCACAGAUCCGAAGGCAAGACAUUCGUUGCUAAGAUUGGAUCCUUUCUAGAGAAGGAGUUUCUCUCGAAAGAAGUGAGUGGGGGGAAAGUAGAAAACUUGAUAAGGUAAUUGUACCUUCUCCCUUAUUGGAAAAUAUUUCAUCACAGAAAUCUGUUCCUGUGACUACUACACCAAUUAGUGAGGAAGCUAAUGAUGAUGAUCAUGUAACUUCAGAUCAAGUUACUACCAAAUCUCGUAGGUAAACCAGAGUGAGAUCCACACCAGAGUGGUACGGUAAUCCUAUUCUGGAGGUCAUGUUACUUGACCAUGACGAACCUACGAACAAUGAGGAAGCGAUGAUGAGCCCAGAUUCUGAUAAAUGGCUUGAGGCCAUGAAAUCUGAGAUAGGAUCCAUGUAUCAGAACAAUGUGUGGACUUUGGUGGACUUGCCCGAGGACCGGCAAGCCAUUGAUAAUAAAUGGAUCUUCAAGAGGAAGACGGACACGGAUAGUAGUGUUACUAUCUACAAAGCUAGAAUUGUCGCAAAAGGUUUUCGAUAAGUUCAAGGUGUUGACUACGAUGAGUGUUUCUCACUCGUAUCUAUGCUUAAGUAUGUCCGAAUCAUGUUAGCAAUUACCGCAUUUUAUGAAAUCUGGCAAAUGGAUAAACAAAACUGCAUUCCUUAAUGGAUUUAUUAAAGAAGAGUUGUAUGUGAUGCAACAAGAUAGUUUUGUCAAUCCUAAAGGUGCUAACAAAAAUGCAAGCUCCAGCGAUCCAUUUAUGGACUGGUGCAAGCAUCUCGGAGUUGGAAUAUACACUUUGAUAAGUUGAUCAAAGCAUAUAGUUAUAUACAGACUUGUGGUGAAGCCUGUAUUUACAAGAAAGUGAGUGGGAGCAUGACAACAUUUCUGAUAAGUAUAUGUGAAUGACAUAUUGUUGAUCAGAAAUAAUGUAGAAUUAUUCUGCAAAGCAUAAAGGAGUGUUUGAAAGGAGUUUUUCAAAGAAAGACUUCGGUGAAGCUGCUUACAUAUUGAGUAUCAAGAUCUAUAGAGAUAGAUCAAGACGCUUGAUAAGUUUUUUCAAUGAGUACAUACCUUGACAAGAUUUUGAAGUAGUUCAAAAUGGAACAGUCAAAGAAAAAGUUUCUUGCCUGUGUUACAAGGUGUGAAGUUGAGUAAGACUCAAAGCCCGACCACGGCAGAAGAUAGAAAGAGAAUGAAAGUCAUUCCCUAUGCCUCAGUCAUAGGUUCUAUAAAGUAUUCCAUGCUGUGUACCAGAUCUAUUGUGUACCAUACACUGGGUUAAGAGAGGGAGUACAAUAGUGAUCUAGGAGUAGAUCAAUGGACAGGGGUCAAAAUUAUCCUUACUGGAAUAAGGAUAUGUUUCUCGAUUACGGAGGUGACAAAAGGUUCGUCGUAAAGGGUUACGUCGAUGCAAGUUUUGACACUGAUCCAGAUGACUCUAAGUCUCAAUCUGGAUACAUAUUGAAAGUGGGAGCAAUUAGCUAGAGUAGCUCCAUGCAGAGCAUUGUUGACAUAGAAAUUUGCAAAAUACAUGCGGAUCUGAAUGUGGCAGACCCGUUGACUAAACUUCUCUCACAAGCAAAACAUGAUCACUUUUUGGGUCUUAAUCACAUAGCGAUGUGAACUAGAUUAUUGAAUCUAGUAAACCCUUUGGGUGUUAGUCACAUGGAGAUGUGAACCAAUCACAUAAAGAUGUGAACUAUUGAUGUUAAAUCACAUGGCGAUGUGAUCUAGAUUAUUGACUCUAGUGCAAGUGGGAGACUGAAGGAAAUAUGUCCUAGAGGCAAUAAUAAAGUUAUUAUUUAUUUCCUUAUAUGAUGAUAAAUGUUUAUUAUUCAUGCUAGAAUUUUAUUAACCGGAAACAUAAUACAUGUGUGAAUACAUAGACAAACAAAGUGUCACUAGUAUGCCUCUACUUGACUAGCUCGUUAAUCAAAGAUGGUUAUGUUUCCUAACCAUGGACAAAGAGUUGUUAUUUGAUUAACGGGAUCACAUCAUUAGUUCAAUGAUCUGAUUGACAUGACCCAUUCCAUUAGCUUAGCACCCGAUCGUUUAGUAUGUUGCUAUUGCUUUCUUCAUGACUUAUACAUGUUCCUAUGACUAUGAGAUUAUGCAACUCCCGUUUGCCGGAGGAACACUUUGUGUGCUACCAAACGUCACAACGUAACUGGGUGAUUAUAAAGGAGCUCUACAUGUGUCUCCAAAGGUACAUGUUGGGUUGGCGUAUUUCGAGAUUAGGAUUUGUCACUCCGAAUGUCGGAGAGCUAUCUCUGGGCCCUAUCGGUAAUGCACAUCACUUAAGCCUUGCAAGCAUUGCAACUAAUGAGUUAGUUGUGGGAUGAUGUAUUACGCAACGAGUAAAGAGACUUGCCGGUAACGAGAUUGAACUAGGUAUUGGAUACCGACGAUCGAAUCUCGGGCAAGUAACAUACCGAUGACAAAGGGAACAACGUAUGUUGUUAUGCGGUCUGACCGAUAAAAGAUCUUCGUAGAAUAUGUAGGAACCAAUAUGGGCAUCUAGGUCCCGCUAUUGGUUAUUGACCGGAGACGUGUCUCAGUCAUGUCUACAUUGUUCUCGAACCCGUAGGGUCCGCACGCUUAAGGUUUCGAUGACAGUUAUAUUAUGAGUUUAUACGUUUUGAUGUACCGAAGGUUGUU
rnacentral:lncRNA from 1 species